rnacentral:lncRNA from 1 species
UUUGUGUUUGAGACUUAAGAUUUUUAUAUAGUCUCAGAUAAUCCUGGUUACUCCAGGAGAGGCUCAUGGAAGCCUCAAUAUAGCUUACCUCAUGAAGGCCAUAAUAACCUACCUAUGGUGGCAGCCUCUAAAAUCGGCAACCUCAAAAGGACCCGACAAGAAUAUCUGGCACCUCAUACUAGAUUAAUUUAAAUUAUCUGAUUUAUAAAAAAAAAAUUGGUGACGUAUAUUAAUUUAAAUUAUCUGAUUUAAAUUAUCUCAAGCUUUCUUCUGAGCAAAACCAGGGGCGCGUCCUCCGUGCUUCCGUGGCGCAGCCAUACGUGUUCUCCUUUCACGCGCGCACCCAAGAACUCCGCCGCUCUCUCUCUCCCUCUCGUUCUCCAUUGCGACUCUCUCCCACGCCAUGCUAAUGCCUCGCUCGUUUGUCGCCGUCUCCUUCUUGCUUCCACUCCGUGCCAUCCCAAGCGGCCUCAUCACCCCUCUCGUCUUGAUUCCUCGCUUCCUCCCUUUCUUCUUCUUCUCUUCCUCUCUUCUUCUUCUUCUUCUUUUCUUCUUUAUAUAGUGAGGAGAAGAUAUUUAAGAAAUCUAAUGAACUUCUGAUCCCUAGACGUGAUUUUUUUUUUCUUGAUCUUGUUCUUAUUCUUCUUCUUGAUAGUUGAUCGUCGUGAUGAUGAGAUUUUUCUUCUUUUUGUUUCUUUAUCUCUCUCUCUCGUUUCGCACGGCGUACGUCUUCUGCUCACCCAUGCCUCAACCCUCUUAUCCUCGCUUCUCUCUUUCCUCCUUCUCCGCGUUUAGAAAGCGGACACGGCGGAAGAAGAAGCCCGGCCUCAACAUCUUCUUCUCUUGUCCUCGAAGCAGCUUUUCCACUUCUUCUUGAUAUCUUAAUGCUUCCUGAUCUCCUAAUUUCCUUGAUUAUAUGCGUCGGUUUGAGUUGAACUGUAGAUUUUGAAGUUUUGAUCGGUGAUCGACAAUCACGGUAUGGAUUUUGUUGAGAGAUUUGUAAAUUAUAGACCAUAAUAGGAUGGUUUGCUGGGAUCUAAGAGGAGCUUCUGGCUCUCUUCAUAAUGGCAGUUGUGAAGAUUUUAGAUUAUUAGGUUCUGAAGAACACCAGUAAGGUGAUUGAAUCAUUUGGACUUUUGAUAUAUGCAAGAUAGGUAACUUAACUUUUCUUUGUCCUUGUUUUGUGAAAUAGAAAUCAAAUUUUUCUUUAUGUCAGGUAUGUAAUAAACAUUAUUCACAGAAAUAGAAGAACUAGUAGAUGACAUAAGUGAUCGAUCACUAAUAUUUUUGAUAGGAUAAAGUGAGUCAUUAGUAGUAGCAAUAGCACGAGAACUAAUAUAAUCAUAUAGAAAAUCAAAUAUCUCUCAACGACUAAUAAGAUGAUUAGAACACCCAUAUUUAACAAUCCAAUCAUGAGCAAAAUCAAUGUCUAGUACUUAAGAAGAAGUAGAAAUACGUGCAUGAUGGCUAUCAAGAUAACUAUAAUCAACAAUAGUAGAAGUGAGAGCUCAACUUUCAGUUUUUUCUCUCAUCCAUGCUCUGAUAUAGAGAUACAAUAUUAGAUUGUUUAAGCUUCACCCAGCAAUCUUGAAUUUUAUGGCCAAAUUUUUAUAACUAUGAUAAUUUCUCUUGAAUUUAUAAAUUUUCUUAUGAUUAGGAUUAUUAUCCUUCUCAGAUUCUCCAAUUAGCCUUUUUUACUUCUGAUUGGUGUGCCGUCAGUUAAAUCUUGCUAUCGACAGAUCCGAUAGAUUCGUUCUUCCUCCUGUAAUUGAAAAGAUACUCAAUCUCAGUUAUAUAUUCUAGAUUAUAUUUGGUUUGUAGAAUUUUGAUACCAAUAUGGCUAGCUUUAAAGCGACAAAAAAUUUCGAAGAAAAGGAAUUGCAGGUACACAAUCAACACCUAACUUUCAAUGCUGGACCUUCUUCCUCUCAUCUUAUGGAGGAAGCUAUUAUUUCAACUCUAGAAAAGCGUAUUUGUACCAAACUCUUUAAAGAUAAAAUCGCAAGAAAAAUCCAUCGCUCGAGUAUUGUAUCUUUAAGACCAAUCAAAUUUUCAUUGCUUUCAAGUUUUUGAACUUUUAUUUUUCUCUUAUUUUUAAAGAAAUGCAGGAAAGCCCCUGACCUCUCUUUAGAAAAAGGAUGCCUAGGAGAUAACCUACCAUACAUAGAUCUAUAUCGUUAACAUGCCUUCCCCUCGAUUCCUAAACAUUUCAUCAUUUUUAUUUUAAGACCAUCCGACAAAACAUAAAGAAGUGAUAAAUGACUAUCUCUAAAUGUAUGAUGUUUUUAUAUCCCUUUAGAUCAAGCUGAAAGCUAUUGUUUCGACACCAAAAAAGCGUAUUCAUACUGACCUCUUUGAAGAUGGAACUCGCAAGAAAAAUCCAUCAGUCGAAUAUUAUAUCUUUAAUACUAAUCAAUUUUUCAUUACUUUCAAGUUUUUUAGCUUUUAUUUUUUUCUUACUUUAAAAAAAUGCAGGAACAUACAUGACCUUCCUUAGAAAAAAGGAUUUUUUUGAGGUAACCUACAAUGCAUAGAUCUAUAUCGUUAAUAUGCCUUCCCAUCGAUUCCUAAACAUAUCUUUCUUUUUUUGUCCGACAUCCUACAAAACAUAAAGAAAUGAUAGAUGGUUAUCUCAAAAUGCUUGAUGCCUAUAUAUCCCUUUAGAUCAAGUUGGGAUAACGGAAUUAGAAUCAUGAAGCACCACUACACACCGCAGUAUUCAACCCUGUCUUCUACUAGUUUUACACGUAUGUAUAAAUUUUUUUAAAUUACCUAGGAGCUAAAUGUUUCUCUCUAUUUUUCUUAAAAUGUAUUCGUAGCAUGGGUACAUUGCUAGUUUUGACAAUACGGCAAAGUCUCAGUCUAAACCAUUGGCAUUAGGAUUUUUAGAAUUAGGAUUUUAUAGUAGUUUACUAUGGCAACUCUUUUCAAGCCAUGAUACUUUGAACUAGUUGUUUUAAACAUUGUAAAGAGAUGAGCAAAUGAAGAGAUUUAAUCAUCCUUUCUUUGACUGUAAAAUUAAUGGCCAAAGAAGUCAACUUUUUGUUUGAAAGCCAUGAAUUUCUACAUAUUAUAGAUGAAUGCUAGUGGCAUGCUUAACACAUACAAGUCCGAUCGGAAGUAGUGUUUCUAGUGGCAAACAGGUGAGUAACGCAUAAGAACCUGCCAUUGGGAGGGGAACAACAACUGGAAAUGGUUGUUAAUGCCCCAUAGGUUGAGGAGCAAAAGGAGGAAUCCACUCGAGGAGGGGCUCGUGUCCAAUUAGUUAGUUGGUGAUGCAAUAGCUUACCAAAGCGAUGAUCAGUAGUUGGUCUAAGAGGAUGAUCAGCCACACUAGAAGGAUCAAAAGAAUUAAACAUCUUGCUCUUUCUUUAAAAAUUUCUGAUCUCUAGUGGACCUCAAAGUUUGUGAUCCCCAUAAUAGGAAACCAUUUCACACAAUUCUGAGGGCACUUGAAUAAGCUGCUGACACUCGGUUGCGUCUUUACCCCUAUCCAAUUUUUGGGCUUCCAGUAUGACCAAAGAUUUUCUAUCUACAUCCAGAAUAAUGACACAAUCAAGUUGUUGGUUCGACCCUAAAUUGAUCCUCUUCUUUUUCCUUCAAGGACCAGAGAAUGUUAAACUCUUGGCGGGCUGCUAGGUUUCGCUUACGCUAUAGUUCAAAAGAUUGCACCUUAAUUAUUCAACCGAAGUGUUAGGGUUCCAGAGCAUGAGGCAAUGUUUAGCAUUUUCGAGACCAUGCAAAUGAAUUGAUUUGUUUGUUAAGAGAAAGAAUUUAAGGUUAGUAACUAUCAAUAAGUUAGACCAAUUUUAUAAAUAAUGUUUUUAUUCUAUGUUUGCAAGCUUUGAAAAUAAGUUAUGUCAAAACAUAGGCCAACUGCAAAUAUAGUCUACUUUAGAGACUAAGUGUUGAACUAAAGACCAAUUGCGCUCUAUAUUGUUUGUAGAACUACGUCAUCAACUUGAAAUACAGAUAGAGACCUUAGAGCAAGAUCACUACAAGAAAAUACACUUUCAGUGACCACGUUCGGCGACUAAAUGAAUAUUGGUCGCUGCAAAUAAGGCUAUUUGCAACCAACAUCCUUGUUAGUUAUUGAAUGAUUGUCCUACACCGACUAAAUGCAUAUUUGGUCGCGGAAAAUUAAAACCAAAUUGGCGGGGUGGAGGUAAAACGUUUGGCGACUAAAGUUUGGUCGCUGAAAAUAAGGCUAUCUGCGACCAACAUUCCUGUUAGUUGCUGAAUAAUUGUCCUACACCGACUAAAUACAUAUUUGGUUGCGAAAAAGCAAUACCAAGUUGGCACGAGUCCAAUAUUUCACGCGGGCUGGAGGUAAAACUUUUGGCGACUAAAUUUUGGUCCUUAAAGGUUCACCUCCAGCGACUAAAAAAAAUUUAGUCCAGAAAAACUUUUAUGAAUGGCGUCUUUUUCCGAUGAAAAAAUUGGGCAGAAAGUUUGAGUUUUUUAGUGACCAAACUUUUGGUAGUGGAAGAUUUCCGUAAAACCGAACGAUGUUGUACUAGCUCCUAUAAGAUGCUAAUUUCUAAGUUCAAAAAAAAAAAACACCUUAAUUCACUUAGGCAUAUCCUCGUCUCUUCGGCUGAAUCUCAAUCCCACAACUUUUCUUCAUACUUAAAUUCUUUUUUAUUUUUAUUACUAUAAUAUAAUUUUAAAGCUCGAGCUCGGUGCUUGACUCCUUGUCAAAUUAAUAUACAGAUCGACAGAAUACACAUCAUGCGGACGUGGGAUCGGGAAUCCGCUUAGAAAUAUAUAGAAUUCUUGGACAUCCUACGGGCAGGAUCUUUUUUUCAUUAGCCCACCCGCAUGGCGGAUCGAAAAUCCACUUAGAAAUAAAUUUGCACGCAUCCUUGUUAGUUACUGAAUGAUUGUCCUACACCAACUAAAUGCAUAUUUGAUCGCGGAAAAUCAAAACCAAGUAGGUGCGAGUCCAGUAUUUCGCGCGGGCUUGAGGUAAAAUUUUUGGCGACUAAAUUUUGGUCCCUAAAGGUUCACCUCCAGCGUCUAAAAAAAAUUUAGUCGAGAAAAGUAUGCAUAUAGGGGACGUCGUAUGAGAAACCAAACAAAUCCUAAUUCCCUAUUCCUCUAUUCGGCUUUAACUCCUUGCCUUCACCCGUCGCCGUAAUUAAUUCCUUCGCCCGUUCGCCGUUCCCUUAUUCAGAAUCCCAAAUCCCUCCCACUCGGUGCUAGCCAAGCCUUUUUCGCUUCCGAGUUCCUGCCCUAUAUCUGGAGAACAGGAAGACCCUGUCCGGCUGCGGCGGUGGAACCUCUGGAGAAGACCCUGUCCGGCUGCGGCAGUGGAACCUCUGGAGAAGACCCUGUCCGGCUGUCUGCGCGCCCGCGAGUCUCUUCGACGUCCCAAGGUAUAUCUCCUCCGGAAUUUGUUUUAGCAUAGGCCGGGAGGGCUUUUGUAAGAGGGUAACAAGGCCGGGCUUGAGGGAGAGGGAGAGGGAGAGGUGGGGGUCGUCGGGGGUUGUCGGAAGAUUUGGAGGCGAGGCGGGAGAAGAAGAAACCUAGGAGGGCUUCUUCUCCUCCGCCGCCGCCGCAGCCACCGCGGAGGAAUUUUCCUCCUUCGCCAGGUCCAUUCCGGCCNNNNNNNNNNNNNNNNNNNNGCUCUGAUGUCCCCAUCACCGAUACAUAUACCUCUCUGUUAGACCUAGAUCUGAAUAGAGAAAUACAGAAUCAAUGCAUAGAGAGAGAGAGAGAGAGAGAUACCUCUCGGUUAGAUCUCGCUCAUCAGAUGGUCGUCGACGUACCGUUGCCAAGACAUCUUCGUUAAUUCCUUGUAUUUUCUCUUCGUCGUCUUCUUUCUCUUCUUGGCUCUGACUCUCUCCUUGUAUUGCUCUUUCUUUCGCCUUUCUAAAUUUGGGGUUUGAGCAAGAACAGUAGUAGGGGAAGGAGAAUGGAUCUCGGGUGUUGCUCCACCUGAUCGAACUAGCUAGUGUCCUUCACGUCUGCCUUCGUUCCAGGGGUGUAAGUGGAUUAUCUGUAGAAGGCGCAUGUCAACGAUAUCAGACUGAUCAUAUGGAGACAAAAAGAGACAACAGCUUCAGAUCAGAAAAGGUGACAGCAGCGUGUAAGUCUCCAUUGAUGUUUUCUGGUGCCUGGAAGAUUCAACAAAUGUUAACGCAAAUCCUUGAAGUUUCCACUCUCUGCACCCUUGAAGGUGAAUCUGAACUGCACCCUCACAGGACGGAUGGUGGUUGCUAGGUAGGGCAGAAGAAGGGGAAGGAUGAUAGCUAGUUAGGGCCAAGAGGAGAGAUCGCAUGAUGAAACCGGCCACACUCAACAGCCAAUCACCAAGGGCCCUGCGCAAGCCCGGCACAAUCAAAAGAUUUAGUUGCAAAUUUCAUUCGAAAUUCUGCUCCAACAAACUACCCUUUCAUGGAGAAGCAUAAGUAUUUGAUCUGUUCUUUCAUGCAACGUGAUGAGAGAGCAUAGAGUUUAUGUAAAAUUCAUAUCAAUUUCGCCAAAAAAAAAGAAAAAAGAACUGAACAUGGAAAGUCAUUUGUGAAGAUGGCAAUUGGUACUACAUACGCUCAUGAUGCCAUGCAAGGCAAUUCUGCUAGAUCGAAUUACAUAAGUACAACAACUAGCAUAGCAGUAAACAUUUCCCAUGGACAAAAACUCAUGGUUGACUAACAAUGAUAAUAAUUGUGGGGCUGCCUGCCAAUUACUUUUGUCUCAUUUUUAGGUCAUCAUUUCUAUUGAGUUAUUGAAUGUUCAAAUUUCCGCUGUCAAUGGAUGACUUCCUAUCGUUUACGUGUCUCAGGAGUGCUAGUUUGAUUGUUUUUGUGAUGAUACUGACAUUGUGCAUGGAAUUGCAAUUAACUUGUGAGUCGUGAUAUCUUGAGAAGAAUGCAUGUGUUGGAAAUUCUUUUUCCAACAUAUAAAUCAUUCCCACGAGAAGAAUAUCAUCUUUAAAUUAUAUUUAUGACUAGUCCAAUCAUCUCAGCUUGUCAAUGGCUAUGUCAAGUGAGAAUAUUUUUGUAAUAGACACAGCAAUAAACACGAAAUAUUCCAAAAAUAUCUUUCAAAAUAUUUAAUAAAAAAGUACAUAGAUACGAAUCACAAUCUAAAUGCGAAAAUACUAAAAUAAGGGUGGUUGCAGAAGCCUGGUUUUGUCGGAUCACCAGUCCACCUAAAACUCGGUCAAAUUAUUGAAAUGGAUUACGGAUUUGGAUAUUUAAUUCAUAAUUAAUUGACCAGUAAAAAUUAUAUUAUUCAAUAAUGUGGAAUUAGUAAUCAUUGAGUUAGAUCACUGGAGCUUUGGACAUGUGGCAAUCAAAUUGAGCUUGGAUCCUCACCCAAUAAAGCUACAAAUGGGUCGGAUUAACCUAUGACCUAACCCGACCCGAUCUAUUUUGGAGGACUUGUGGGGCCGAAUCGGAUUCUAAAAGUAGACCCGUAGCAUUUUUCGGGUCGGAUCUGGAUUUAUUAAAUUUAGAUCUGAUCCGACCCAUUUGAAAUUUGAGUAAUAAUUUUGAGUUUUUAAUCCUACAAUUCGAUCCGCCCUGAUCCGAAUUUGUAAAAUUAUUUGGGCCGGAGGGGGUGCAAACACAAGUUCUGAAACCAUAGAUGGGUUGAUCCAAAUCGGACUCGAAUUUUUUGGAUUGGAUCUGGAUUAUACAUGGACCCGACUCGACCCAAAUGAUCCGUUAAGUCAAAAAUUGUAGUGGUGGAUCCGACCCGAUCUUCUAUCGGAUCGAAUCUAAAUUCAAAAUUAGAUCCCGAACAAGAAAUCGGACUAGGUCGGGGUCACUCAUGAUUCUAUCUGACCUAUUUGCAUCCGUACCACCCAACGUCUAUCCAAACCGAGAUCCUAAUGCUUGCACAAAGAAGCAGCCCAUCCGAAUUCCGAACAGAGCUCUCGGUUAGCUUUUCCAGGCGUUCGGUCCAAUUGCGAUGGAUUCGGACCCCACCCAGAUGAGAUCUUUUCCGACAUGACCAAGUCAUGGAACUGGAAGCAUAGAAUUCCCGAUUCCAUGGUGUGCCUGCUCGCAUCACACACGUUGCUCUUGUGCCGACGGCCGAAGGUGCGCGCGCGUCUGAAGAGAUAAGGAUGGUCUCUUUAUUCCAUGCGGCAGCGGUGCCGACUUCCAUUACUGGUGCGAUCGUCAACUUCCUCUCUCUUCUCACCAUUCCCUUCUCUCCCCCUGACCAUGCGUCCAUGCCCAAUGGCUGUCCUUUGGCGCAUCUGAACCCCUUCCCUUAUCUCAAGUUCUUCCUUUCUCCGGAAGGGACCAAACGUAGUGGGGAAGGAACAAUUCACCAUUAAGCUGACUUAUCAUGGGCAUAACGCCAUCUCAAAAAGCUUACACCAGCCGUCAUUUCUCCUUAUAUUUCUUGAUACAAAAGGAGUACCAAGUUUUGACAACAGCCUGGUCUGGUUCUAAGAUUUGGUAGAUUUUCCUGCUGGCAUUGUCCAAGUUCCUUGCUUUUUCCAGCUUUUCUAAUGACGGCACUAAAAAAUUUCGAGGGGCCAAAUGUUUCUUCUACUCUUUGACCAUAUAAUUUGUGGGUCAAGCACGAUCUAUUUGGACCCUACAUCAUGUUUCAUCAGACAAGAAAUCUGUAGAGCAAAUCUUUGGUACAAAGCUAACAUAUAAUAACUGACAUGUAGAACGUGCCAGUUAGCCUGCUCGUAAAGUAUUUUGAUGGUUAUUGCAUGUUUUGAGGAUCAAAAAUUCGAACCUCGUCUUCAUCUAGUGUGCAGCAAAAAAUCUCUUGGGAACCUGUCCUUCAAAAAUUAAGAAGCACGCACGCGCGGUGUAACAUACCAUUUCCAUGGUAUUUAAAAUAUCAUACUGAGACAUUAAAUCAAGGAGAUGUGAUUUUUUCAUUUUUUCAAUUAUUAUCACACUACUUUUGAGUGUGAAUACUCUACCGCCAACAGUUCUGCCAAAUAGGGCCUAAGACAUUAAAUCAAUGAGCCAUGAUCUUUGGUAUUUCGAAAUUUGAGGAGCAAUUGAAAUGCUAAAGCCUUUCAUUUGAUAAGGUGCACCAUUCUUUUCUGAAAGGAAUGUUGUUGUUGUCUUGCACGUCGAUUUAAAGUUUCAUGCUUUGCUUUCCGUGAUUCUUAUACCGUCCCCUUGCGACUCCUCCACACAUAAAAGCAGUCCAUCUCUCCUAAUCGCUAUGUCCCACAUAAAAACGAUCGCAAUACGACUCGAUCGGCAAAGAGGGACGGACUCACCAUGGUUGUCCCUAAAUUUGACCCUAAGACCACUUCCAUGCCGUAGGGAGGAAGUCUAAUAAUUUUUAGACGGUAGAGGGGCCAUUCGCUAUGAGCGAAACAGGACAUUUGAUUGGGAUGUGGAUGAAGGCGUGGAUCUUAUCCGUCGCUCCAACCCCACUGGCCAUCUCUUCUUAAUACCAUUUGUGGGGCCAAGUCGUACAAACCCCAAAGACAGGUGAUGGUAUCGAAUCUUUAAUUAAGAGAGACAAGCAGAUGGGAGAGGUGUAUUAUUAACUAAACCACGCUCUUGAUUCCUUCUAAACCUAUUUUUUAAGAGCAGUGCUAUGGGUCCCUACUAUGGUCCAAUGAAAAACAUAAGGCACCAGAUGAUUGAUCCAAUUGACUGGUAAGACUGAUACGGGGCAGGACUGUGGUACCAACCCUAUGUAAUGGUGCCAUAGUAUUGGGGUUAAGCAUGAUAAUUUAUAACUCGAUCCAUCAAUCCGACUCGCGAACGUACGAUUUAAGCAGGUUUGAAUUUAACAUAAAUAAGUUUAAGUCGUAAAUAGGUUAAAUUGCCUAAACUUGUUUAUUAAAUGAAUUGGAUUCGGAUUUAAAUCUUGGACUCAUUUAAUUCAUUUUGACCUAUUUAAUAACUAGGUUGGGUUAUGAUCCGACUCGUCUAAUCUAUUUAACCAGUUUGAAAUUUGAUUAACUUAGUUCUGAUCUAUUUAAUCGCUUAAUCUAUUUAACCUAUUAAAAACCAGUCGAACAUAUUUAUUCUGUUUCAUGAAUAAGUUAUGUUGGUCAAUUGGAUUAUCAAUUUAAUAAAAAAAAACUGAGAUUUAGAUUAGAAAUUUUGAUCGAUAUAAUAAAUAGAUUGAAUUUGGAUUGUUGAAUUUUUGAUUUGAUCUAUAUACAAUCCGAUUUCUGACCUAGUUGGCCGGGUGCGGGAGCUUUUUAUUAUUAUCUUUUUGUUUUUUUUACGCACUAUCUCAUCUAUAUGCCUUUUCACCAUGCAUUCGCAUCCAUACCCGCACACAUGAGCUGAUUUGUCAAUUGACGAAACAAGUAUCCUAUCAUUCAAAUUCAAUGAAUGACAAUAAAUAAUUUGUUAGGCUGUUCAGGAGGAGUGGCAUGUUUAAGAUGCUCCACGUCCUCACCCUCACCAGUUGGCUUUGACUAAUCAAGAUAGAAACGGGUACAUGAUUUCUCUGACGCGGAACAUCUUUAUUACGCACUUCUCGGGGGUGCAGCGUAAUGGAGGCAUGCCAUGCUCUCUAUCCACAAACGUUUUAAAAUAAUUAAUCCAUCUCAUUUAAGAAUUAAAAAUGCGACCGCCCGCAGAAAUGUUCCUUGAGCUUCAAGUUGCAAGCAGUUUAUAUCCAUCUGUCCAUCCAUGCAACGACUAAAGAGCUUCUUUUUAUUUUCCUCCUCCAAGCCGGACCUUCCUUCUCCAGAGGCACCAAAUUUCGAUACAUGGGUAAAGGUCUCGAGGAAACAUUUCGUGGAGCCCCGUCGCCACAAGCCGAAGAUGCCGAUGAGCUCCGCGAAUCUGCGUCUCUCUCAAAUGACUCCAGCGACUCCAUGUUCUCAUCUUCAUCUAAUCUCACAGAUGACGCAACUUCCUCAUCUCCUAAGUCAUUCUCGCCAUCAUCGAAUUCAUCGAAAUUGAAUUCGGACGGGCCUCUUUUCGAGCUAUCUUCGCUCAUGGCUCAGCUUCCUAUCAGGUGAGUACAUCAGUCUUUUAACUCUGAAUCUGCCGUUCUCUGUUUACAUAGCAAUGCAGAGGUCCAAGCAAACAACAGAGAGAUUUAGAAAAUAUGAACAAGAUAAAAACCAUCAAAAAGAUAAUCAAUAUAUCAGCCAACUUUCCAAAGCUAACUUUUUGUUCCUGGUAAUUCCAUGAUUGGUCCAUUUAUCAAAUUACUCAUUUUGUUUACUACGCAUUAGAUUUAGUAAUUUCGAUGACAUUCUGGGGGUCUGCAGGAGAGGGCUGUCUAAAUACUUUCAAGGGAAAUCACAGUCCUUUACAUCCCUGUCCGAUGCUAGAUGCAUAGAUGAUCUUGCCAAGAAAGAGACCCCUUACAAGAAGAGGAUGAAACCAUGCAAGAGCUAUGCAGGAGGUUUCGAUGCAAGCCAAAAGCCAUGCUAUACACCAGGGCCUUGUAACAAGACCAUAGCAAAGAAAACUUCCAGGGGUUCAAGUGGUUCUCUAGUUGCCAGGAGAAGCAGCAGUAGCCUUUUAUCUAUUAGCAAACCACCUCCCAUACCUGUGAAUAAGAACAUGUAAUUUUUUUUGGUAUUUAAUUAUAGAAUAUGAAGAAGAGAUGCUGCCUGAUUUCAUGACAAGCAAUCUAUUUGAUAGAAGAAAUUAGGCAGCAGAAUUUAUCGUGCUCCUUUUUGUGUAUUAGUUCUAUGAAUAAAAGAGAAGUAGGACCAUUUCGUUAAGCAUCACACUGUAUUCAGUGGGUUUUAUCAUUACUAUACAGUAAUUUUUUUGGGGGGUAGAGCGACAUCUCAAACUGAGAAAAAAAAACUGUAAACUCUAGAACAUUGCAUCACACUUUUUUUUGAUGAAAAAUGGAGGAAGCGAAUUACUUCCCCAAGCUUAAAUCAAUCAAAAAUUAUUUACAGCGUUUCAGAGAACAUUGCAUCACACUUGAACUCUGUUUAACUGCUCGUUCGCAAAAAUGUUUUUCAAUGCUUGACAUUCCAUUUUUCCUUUUCUAAUUUACAAAAACCGCUUGAUGCACAAGUAGAUUCAACAAUUCAUGGAUCGAUAGUUAAUUUUCCGUCGAGCUCAAAUAAUUUGCGGUUCAAGCAAUAAAGAGGUCGUCUUCUGCUACAANNNNNNNNNNNNNNNNNNNNNNNNNNNNNNNNNNNNNNNNNNNNNNNNNNNNNNNNNNNNNNNNNNNNNNNNNNNNNNNNNNNNNNNNNNNNNNNNNNNNNNNNNNNNNNNNNNNNNNNNNNNNNNNNNNNNNNNNNNNNNNNNNNNNNNNNNNNNNNNNNNNNNNNNNNNNNNNNNNNNNNNNNNNNNNNNNNNNNNNNNNNNNNNNNNNNNNNNNNNNNNNNNNNNNNNNNNNNNNNNNNNNNNNNNNNNNNNNNNNNNNNNNNNNNNNNNNNNNNNNNNNNNNNNNNNNNNNNNNNNNNNNNNNNNNNNNNNNNNNNNNNNNNNNNNNNNNNNNNNNNNNNNNNNNNNNNNNNNNNNNNNNNNNNNNNNNNNNNNNNNNNNNNNNNNNNNNNNNNNNNNNNNNNNNNNNNNNNNNNNNNNNNNNNNNNNNNNNNNNNNNNNNNNNNNNNNNNNNNNNNNNNNNNNNNNNNNNNNNNNNNNNNNNNNNNNNNNNNNNNNNNNNNNNNNNNNNNNNNNNNNNNNNNNNNNNNNNNNNNNNNNNNNNNNNNNNNNNNNNNNNNNNNNNNNNNNNNNNNNNNNNNNNNNNNNNNNNNNNNNNNNNCCAGCAUCCUCAUGAUUGAUGAUCAUCUUAGACUUGUCAUUCACUGUUAUAUUUUGGACGAGAGCCCCUUUUCGCAAUAGGCUAGUCUCCUCAACAUAAAAUUUUCAGAUGGUCUAGCCAACAUAAAUGAUCUUUCGAAAAGGUAUUCAGUAACACUCUUAUACUAAAUCUAAUGGGACGCUGGAAAUUUCAUCAAGACAAGGGAUAUUACCAGGGAAAGUAGAAAGGGGAAUAAAAUAAGGUAACUUGGAUAAAGUUUGUGGUAAUUCCAAGCUGAUCCAGCAUCAUUUUUAAUUUUACCCGGCUACUUUUGCAGUUCCAGAGGGGAUGAUUUCAACCGUAUCUCGCAGUGCCUGGGCAAUGUUUGCACGACCUUUUGCUGCUUGCAACCAGUAUGGCCGUAACCUACCUUUUGCUGCUCAGCGUGUCAAGAAUAAAAGUAGCAUCUGCAAAUAGAGAAUUGUUCUAAAAGUAAGGUAUUCAACUUGGUUCCCAACCUACCUUUACCUUAAUGGCAGUAAAAAUUUAGCCAUUAGCAGUCUAGAUCACAUGAUCCUGAUAGCACUUUCAGAAACAAGCAAAAAAAAAAGACAAAACAUAUUAACAUGGCGUACUCCGCUUGAAUUAGAGUUUGAAACCAAACUUAUCCUCGAAAGGAUAAAGGAGCCGAUUCAAGCAAGAUUCAAUGUAAAUCUAACUUUUUAUCUAUUCAUAGGAUUUGGAUGGUUGUGUUUCUCAGCAGCCGCAAUGAAAGAAAUGAAAUAAAAGAUUUCAAUUAAAAUGACUACUUUGAUCAACAACAAAAUUUUCAGUUUUUUGGAGGUAACUACGUACCAACGAAAUCGGAGAAUUUACGAAGGUAUUCAAGUUAUUAAGUAUAGAGAUAGUAAACUAAAAGACCGGUUCAAAAGAAUAUUUAGAGCAGCAUAGAUUCUCCAAAGAACAUAACCCGAUUUUAGAUUGGUUAGUGUAUAACCUAAUUUGUAGAAAUCAAUUAAAAAACAACUUUUCCCUUACUGGGAAGUCAAAAAGGUCUUUGCUGACUCUCCCUCGACAAUGAUAGCUUCAUCAUGCCUUCACCAAGCAAAAUUUAAUGUAUAAAGUGCACAACUUUGCUUUGUUAGAACUUAGAAUCUGGUACCUAUGUGCUGGAUUAAAUAUGAUACCAAACAUUCCUAGGGAUCGUCUAGCCUAGAGCAAAAAAAAAAAAGAAGAAGAAGAUGAUUUGCUCCAAGAAAAAAAUUGCAGGCAACGUAUUAAGACAUUUUUGGCACAUGCCAAGCAUAUAUUUCUUAAUUUUUAAAAUUAAAAAUAAAAAACAGUUAGAUAGAUAGUAAUGCUAGUGGAAGGACCUAAACCUCAAACCUUAUGGUUAUCAAAUAAAUGCUAGAGGUGGAGGCCGCAGUCGAAUUCCUGUUUGAAUAAAAUAGGAUUUCGACAGCUAAAAAAUUUCGAAAUUUUUAAAUAAAGUCGGCAAAUCGCUUGCCGGCUUAACUUAAAUAUCAUAAUUUUUUUUAAUUUUGCAAGUCCACUUAAAUCUUGCUGGAUGACCUGAAAUAGCAAAAAUAUGAAAGUUCACCUACUCGAAAGUAUUCGAUGGAAUUCUUCGAUACCUAAAUCAUAGCUAUUUUGGUAAUAGCUCGCAUAUCUUGCCAAAACAUCAUGCUCAUGCAUCUAGCCCACGUAGAUUGCUUGUAUGUUGCACACGCAAGAAAACCAUACGCGAUCAUGCACCGAGCUAUCACUAGCUAGAGGAGCUUAAAAUUUGAAUGACUUUGCGUGCGCUUUUAUGGUGGCUAUGUAGCGAGUUUUCAUUAGUUGGUCAAUCACGACAACUAUAAUCAGCUCCAACACAUAUCACGAUGCAAAAGAUAUUUAAUUAUAUAUAUAUAACAAUAAUUAUAAUAACUUAUAAAAUAUAAAAAAAUAUUUUAUUAUUUUUAAAAAUUAGUUUUUCAAGCAAGGUACUACUAUCAUGCAUCUAAACUUUCACAUCUCUUCUUUCCUACCGUUAGCAACCUACCUUCUAACCAACCGCUUUUUUUUCUCCGAUCUCCUUCGCAACCAUCACCUUGGUGAAGUGCCUUCAAUUGAUGGCUCUACAAAUGCAAGGUCAUGUAAGAAAGAUUUUAGAUAUCCAUUGAGAGACAUUGGUGAGGUGAGUGGAAGCUGCCUAAGGCUCUCCGUGACGUUUUGUUUUCAGAUUUUAUUGAGUGUAUCCAUACUCAUGUAGUAUGAUGCGCCCGCUCUAGCCAAAAAAAAAGAGAGGCUUUUUUUGUUCCAUACGAAUUAUUAUUUUUCAUCUCUACUCUCCUCUAAAAACUCCAAUCAAAUAUAAAAUAUUUCUCUUUUUCUCUAUUGACCACAUUUUUCCUCCUGCGGACCAAACAAUCCCAUAUUUGUUUUAAUUUUCUAUUUUAAAUUUUUGCCUGCUAAAUAUAUUUUACAAUUUUCAUUAUGAAAAUAAAAAAUAAUGGAGGCUGCUCAAUAUAUUCUUGUUGCGGGAAAUUUAGAGAAUUGGAAAUAGAAUUCUUUUUUAAAAAUUUUAAAAUAAAAAUAAUGGCGAUGCCAAAUGCAGCCUUAUUUUUGAUUCUAAAUAUUUUAAUAUACAUAAUAAAUCACUAAAAGUAUGUAUGCGGUGGGCCAGGUCAGGUUAAAAUAAAUAAAGCGAAUCCGAUCGUUGGCUAAAAUAAAUGACAUGGUCAUAACGAGACCGGACUGCAUUGGGCCAUUUUUCCACCUAGCCAGGAGACAACAGCAGGAAAGUAGAGGCCUUCUUGUGCCCAAGUACUAUAAAAUCUAGUCUGAAAAGGGAUUGGAACAAGUGAUGGAUCCAAAACUAGAACUAGGUUCGGUAUCUAUUUGCCACAUUCAAAAUGGGAAUCCAUUCGAGCCCAAUUGAAAGAUUGCAAAGGCUCGCCCAAUCUAACUUGCAAAAUGGUGAUUGAACACGACCUAAAAAUCAAAAUUAACCAAUAUGAAAUAUUCUAAGACUACUUAAUACAUAGUCAUUUAUUUUACAUCAAGUUCUUUUAACAAAAAAUCAAAGAUGUUUCUUUGAUGUGCUUUGAAUUUGCUAAGAAGAUCGCAGGCCUCCAUUUUAAAAGAUCGAAUCAGCCACAUAUAGGCUGGGUUUGGGUUAUAUUUUUCGCGCAAAAAGAUCAUUGGCCUUCUCUCACGAUUUAAACUAUUGAAUCAGAACUUGUGCAGAUCUUAAAGUAAUUAAUUUUUUUUAAAUUUUGUCUGCAUAGAUUUUGAAAUGGCUAUUAUGCGAUUGAAUGAUUGGCACGUAAGAUAAAUCAUUCUUUAGCUCAAAAACAUACAACCGGAAACCAUAAAGGACAGUGUGGACCAUGGCCCUGGCCCCCUUUACAACUGGUGUUUCUUUGGCUCGUCGUCCCCCUCCCAAAAUUGAACGGGGGAAAGCUAUAUAUGGAGAGAGACGUGGAGGAAUUUUUUCUCUUUUCAAUUUUUCUUCGGCGUUUCUAUUAAAAAAAAACUUUCUUCAGUAAUGAAAGGUUGCAGGUUAAAAAUUAAAAUAAGAAUGGUUGUAAGUAAAUAGUCCUUAAAAUUAUUCAAAAAAUAUUUGUUUGGCCAAAAAAAUCUGCACAAAGCACCGUCACCUAGCAUGUCCAUUUAACCUUUUCUUUUUGAAUAUUUUAAAAAAACCAUUUUAGAUUUCUUUCUAUUUGUCUUUUUUCAGAUGUUUUCUUUGCUAAAUUUUCUAUUCAUAGGUUUAUAUUUUAAUAUUCUUUUAACUCAAUACAUUUUUCUUCAUAAGAGGUAGGUAUAAUCAUUAAGAUCAUAAAUCAGAAAAUAAAGAAAAAAAGUAUUGUGCCUUCUAUAGAUAUUAUUACAAUUUUUAUAUUUACUAUCAAUAAAGUACAAGCACACAUUUUAUAAUCAAAUAAUGCAUUACUGUUAGACUUCUCCAGAGAGAAAUCUUGGCUCCACCCUGCACAUUUACAAUCAAAAUUGCAAUCCUCAUUUUGUCUUUGCAUAUUGAGACCUAUUAAAAGUUUUUUUUUUUUUUUAAGCAAGAGAUCUCGAUUCAAAUAUUAAUGAUGGUGAAUAAUAACUAUAUUUUUUAAAAAAAGUAAAAAUGGUCAUUAAUUGAAAAAAAAGUAAAAAUGGUCCACUAAGCGGCAUCUUAUUAAUGAUCCGGUAGCAAGCGGCCGAAUAAUGUAAAACUUAAGAGAAUACUGCAUCAAAAAGUUGUCAGUGCUUUUCUGUAAAAAAUUUUUUUUUUGUCAAAACCAUGGCUUAUUGCCCACAGGCUGCCGUUAACCUAUUACACUAGAAAAUAAAAUUAGUGACUUUGUCCUCGUUCUUAUCCCUUUGUCCCCCCAAGUCUUUCAUGAGUCUGACGUGCGUUCUAAUUCCUCUCUCGACGUGCACAAACUAACGUGCUCCGAGCAAUCUCCUACGUCCGGAACCGGAUUCAACGAUCUCACGCCUACGGGACAAAAUUAUUUUAGCAUUCCAACGGAACAUUUGAUACGGUAAAUUCGGCAGCCUCGUCCAUAUAGUGAUGCUGGGAUCGAAGAACAGAAACGAAAGGGCAAAAAAACGGAGGGGUGAGAUGCAGAGCGGUGGAAGGAAAGGGUCGAAAGGGCACUCGAAAUCGGAGCAGGGAGGUCGCAAGGACCGGAGAUCGGCCACAGGCAUGAGCGGGGAGCCGAAGAAGGGCGGGCACGGAGGGAAGUUCACCUGGGCCGGCGACCACCGCUACUCCCAAGUCGAGUACGGUGGCGAGAUGGGGAAGCUGGAUGCCAAGGAUCCUAACUUCGAAGACCCACCGGAAGAGAAACGACUAACGGUCUGAUGCUCGUGCUAUGAAAUCUUUGUGGAUGGUUAGAUUCCACUUCGAGCGAAGAUCGGAUCGACGCCUCUGAUGUUGCCUUGUUGUAGUUAAAUAAAGUUAAAUCUGUGACUGAUGUGUCUAUAAUUGUGUCUCCUCCCAUCAUAUUUAAGAUUUCCGUAUCUCUCAGUCUCCUUUUUGGCCAUGGAUCGGAUCUUGUUCGCAAUUGAAAGUAUGACAAUGCAUUUUGGCCAUCAAUUAGAAAUUGAUCAAGAAAAAAAUUGGAUAAGAGGAUCCGGUGCACACAAUUUAGCAGUUGUAGAUUAAAAAGGGCCGUUCUUGUAAGAUAAAUUAGUUAAUUAGAGUGCGGGGACCGUAAACAAAUUCAUAGAGCAAUUUGUUUUGUCGUAUACUACCACACCAGCUGGAGAGCACCGCCCAUCCUCUCUUUUUUUUUCCCUUCUUUUAUUUAUUUACAAUGGUUUACACCUUGCGGAUGCGGGUAGGACCAACAAAAUCCUAAAAUAACCAAACAGAGAAGAAAUUUGGCACUGUGUCAUGUCCUUUCUAAACAAAACCUCUAGAAUAGUAAGCUAUAUGGGAAGCAACUCAUUCAGCUGCAUUAUUUACUUUUCUAUAAACAUGUGUAGUUUGAUAAGCACUAUGCUUAUGUAGAUAUUCAUGGAACGGAUAAACACAUAAGAUAUUUAUGGAUGCGAGCAAAACUGGGUUCAAGGUCUGCACCUCAGUGUGGAUGAAACAACGUGUUCAACCGAGCUAUGGGAACCUUAACACCGAGCGAAGUAACGAAGAAAACGUAGUCUCAGCAUGGAGACUUAAAAAGAGUGGUGCCGUGGGUCCUUCAGCUUUGUUUUUUGCUCAAAUCCAUUCCCUAAGAGAGGUUGGCUUGUUGGUGAGACUGUUCCUGGGUGUUUUGCUCUCCCAAACAUCUGUUCUUCCGUUGUUUUCGGGGGAAAUUGAAGUCUUCAGUGUUUUGCUCUGUUUGCAAAAAAAAAAAAAUCUAUUCUUCUGUUGUUUUUGGGGAAAAUUGAAGUCUUCAGAGCUGGCUCUUCUUUUGGUUCUUUGUCACUAUAGGGCUGUUUUUCCUUGCUAUAUACCAUACAUUCUUUUCUUUUCCCUCAGUUGUAAAUUUGCUUUCAUUCUGCAAUAAAAUUCAGGUGACUAAGGGAUAAUCUCUUAGUCUCCUUUUCCUCACAAAUAAAUAUUUAAAUAAAUAAAAAAGAAUCUCAGACGACAAAACAAGAACAGGCAGAAAAAACAAUUCAAUGUAUACAUUUCUGCACUUGGAGACCCAGGAAUUCCUGAUGACCAUAUAUACAAUAGCUUCUUCCUGCAUAGGCUUACUAAAAUUUCAGACAAAUCAUAUUUAAUAGUAAGUUUAUUGGUGAGCAGCCACUGGAAAACUUCAGCAAUGCAAAAGAGGCAAGACGGCCUUGCGAUCAUGGGCCUGGCUCGAACAAUACUGUACGAUGAGAUGUUCAAAUCCUUCAUGGCAUCUUCGCGGCCAUCAUAAACCUUCUAGAUCUGCCUCCAUUGCAUUCCUGGUAGGGGAACAAGUUGGUGUAGAGCUCAAGUCCGUCCGUCAUGGACUUGUAUGGAUAUCAGCAAUCUGUAUGAUUUGUAGCUUCUUUAGAUAAGCUUUGAGCCCUGAGAUUAACUUGAUGUUGCAUACAAACAAUAAUUAGCUACAUGCUGUAAUAACAGAAAAAAAUAGAAGGAGCACGCAUCAGGGACGAUGGGUAAUUUUGUUAGCUUGAAAAGAGGGCUACGAAGAUUGAAGACAAGUUAGUGUUUAUUAUAUCGCUGUUGAUUUAUUUAUGAAGAUUAUUUAUUUUUUUAGGUUACAUUUAUGAAGAACUAGGUUGGGAAGAUAAUGUAGGGUAAGAUCCACCCAAUUCAUUUGUUAAGCUUUUAAAAACACUUCUUUCCAUUGGUCAUCUUAUUGUAGUUGACGCGUGUGAAUGAAGGAUUGGAUGUAGGAUACAGUUAGCCAUUUAUUCUGGGACUUCCCGUAUUUCCCUUUCAUGCAUAGCAAGUGAGAAUCCAUGCUUAAAAAGUGUUCCAAGCUUACAUAAGUUCCACUCAGAAUGUUGGUGCGAAAUGGCACUGGUGGUGGAAUCCAGUUGCUGCUCACUUGUUCCUCGCCAGUAUAUUUUGUGCUGCUUACGUGGACGAAUUGGAUGCUGGUACUCCAUAUGAAGUCAGCAGCUCCUCUCCCAAUAUUACAUCUAUACACUCAUACAAAAAGAACAGUUCAAUCCUUUCAAGAUAAGAGGGGUUCAGAAAUUUCACUGAAGAAGUCCCUCAGGCCCUUGAGCCAUUCGCUUUGCUUCGUUCAGUGGCACUCUUCAUGAUGCCAUUUUAAAGGAUCAAUAAUAACAUUAUUCCCCGCCAGCUGAGCGACUUUUUGGGUGACACUUUUUGACGUAAGCUUUUUCCUAGCCUCACAGGAUAAACCAUUCCCUGAGGGCCUCAUGACGCAGGUUAGUAAUGCCAUUUUCCCAUGCAUUAAAUCACCUUGAGGCAACCUUCACAAAUACACGGAAAAUUUUAGAACACUUCCAAUAACACGAUGCCAAGUGUCGACAACACCAAGCAAAUAAAGCAAAUGGCAUUCACCGGUCCAAUCACAACCCGUCAGACAAAGAAUCCAGCUCCGGAGAAACACUCUCCAAAUUCCCACUCAUUCCCAUCCCCUGCCCAAAAUGCAGAGCCUUUGGUUGCUCCCUUUGCUUGCAUUCCUCCACCUCUCCUUCCCCAAAUCCUCGGCUAACAUUGGAAUUGGUGGUCGUGUCGGAGUCUGGAUCAACGGGAGGGGCAUCACUACCACCACCCACACCCAAGCCCCACCGCCCAGAGCCUCAGAUCCCGGCCCUAGCAGGGAGUACAUAGUCCUCCAAGCGUGGAAAUCAGCCAUGACGGAGGACCCAUCUGGAAUUCUAAGUUCUUGGGUUGGCCCUGAUGUGUGCUCCUAUAGAGGUAUCUUCUGCUCAGAUCCCCCUGAAGAGAUGUCGUCAUCCACUGCCAGUAGUGUGGUGGCGGGCAUAGAUCUCAACCAUGCCAACCUCAAGGGAUCUCUGGUGAAGGAGCUCUCCCUCCUCACCCACCUCUCCGUCAUCCACCUCAACAGCAACAGCUUCUCAGGCACCGUCCCGGACUCCUUCAAAGAGUUCCAGUACCUCUCAGAGCUGGAUCUCAGCAACAACCGCCUCUCAGGGCCUUUCCCAACCGCAGUUCUCCUCAUCCCAAACCUCAAGUAUCUGGAUCUCAGGUUCAACAGCUUCUCAGGGGAGGUCCCAGACGAGGUCUUUGAGAAGGACCUGGAUGCCAUCUUCCUCAACAACAACCAGUUUGGAGGCCAGAUCCCCAUGAGCGUCUGGGGCUCUCCUGCUACUGUGAUCACCCUGGCUAACAACAAGUUCUCAGGGUCCAUUCCUGCUAGCUUUGGCUACACGGGUGCUAGGAUUAGAGAGAUCCUCUUCCUCAACAACAAGCUCACAGGCUGCAUUCCAGAGGGACUUGGCUAUCUAUCAGGGAUAGAGGUCCUGGACUUGAGCUUCAACGCACUCACAGGUCACCUCCCUGACUCUCUGUCGUGCCUCACUGGGAUGGAGGUGCUUAAUAUAGCACACAACCAGCUAACAGGGGAACUUUCUGACUUGGUUUGUGAUAUGAAGAGACUUGUAAACCUUACGUUGUCUUAUAACUUCUUCUCCGGGUUCAGCCAAGAUUGUGCAGGGCUCUUCUUCAGGAAUGUGGGGUUUGAUUUUGCUGGGAAUUGUGUACCUGGGGGGCACAUGCAGAGGCCUCCACCCGAGUGCAUGGGAGUGUCUUGGGGUGGUCUCAGCUGCCUGAGGAUCCCAUUCACAAAGCCUAUAGCUUGCGCUGCAGGAGCCAUCAUGGGUCAAGUGGGUGGAAUGGUUGGGAUCCCAUUUCACUUCCCCGCUUCACUGCCUCCUUCCGUGCCAUGAAGCUGUGUUAGGACGAGACUGGGACUAGACCGGUGGUGCCUACUUGGAAAUCUAAUGGCGCAGACAGCAGGCCGUAUGUGUAUUUAAUUAUUCAAGCUCUCGUCAAUAUAUAUCCUGAGUGCUCAAGUUCAAUUCUUCCUUCUAUUCUAUUUUUCGGUGGCUUUAGAUUGCUUUGAUGUUCGCAUGAAGCAUUAGACAUGCGUAUAGCCACCUUGGAUCAAGCUUUUGGUUUUAAGAGCUGAGCAUCUGUAUUAAUAUUUAUUAAUGUUAUCAUACAGACUUGCCAAGAGAGGAGUUCUCUUUAUAUCCAAUUAGAGAUAGUUUUUACCGAUCAGAAAUAGAAGAUCUUCUACUUUAAAUGGUGAUGUUACACGAGUCCUGAUCAUCAACAAACUGGAGCAAUCAACUCAUGGGCUGCAGGGUGUCUAGAGGGAGUGCAUUCCUGAAGUAGAUGAAUCCUAUGAUGUUAGACACCAAACCACUUCAUAUUAAGAGUGUUAACAUUCCUUAACCUUCGCUCGACAAAAGAUUUGUGCUUCCAACUGACGUUAGUUUGUUUGAUACAGUCCACCUGAGGGUCGCAGCCGGCUACGAUGACUAUGAAGAAACUACAAAUUCCGACAGAGUCUAUUUCGAUUAUGAAAACUGUCUUUAGUGAGAAUUUGUAUUUCGUCCUCGCUUCUCUGCAUCUCACUGGUGAAGCCUCCGAUUCUGUAGGGAUCUCGCUUUUUAAAAGUUCUCUUAAAAUGACAACAUAUAAAAUACAAAUUCUCCUCUAUUAAUCUUGGAAUGAGUUGAUGGUUAACUUAGAUGUGUCAUGCCUUCGAUAAACCUCAGCUCUCUGAUGACACAUUGUCUGCUGUUGCAGCUUCAAAUAUAUGUUCGCGGUGCCAGGGUACAAACAAUUUGUGGAAUCAUUGUUCUUACAAAUAAUACGUUUACAAUAUAAUUGUAUGAAUUUGGAAAAGAUUCAACAAAUUGCUUAGUCCUUUUCCAAACAAUAUCAUUGAAUGUAGUACAUGGGAUUGGGGAGUUUGAAGGAUCGCAUGGCCAUAGGUGAACCCAACAAGUCACUCCAUUGAUCCCCAGAGUUCCCAUGGAUCCUGUAUCCUUGAGCUUCCAACUCUGCCCGUCUCCCUGAUUUAUAUCUCACUGCUUUCUUGCCAAUAUCAGAAUCUUCCCUGUCUCGUGACAUAUUAUCCUUGAUCAGCAAAUACUUGUCAAAUUCAUAUAUAAAAGUUGGCUGAAAACCAGUUUACCCUAUGGUACAUCAAGUUAAUUGAGGGUUCAGGAAUGUUUCAAUCAUUCAGAAAAGCACAUAAGAAUAUUUAGCCCAAAUAGAUGAUACUAGGAAUCUAGUAUAGCAGUUUUCCUGGGUGACUGCAUACAGUACAUUAAUUUGGAAGAUCCUGAUAUAUGAUAUCCCAUUAUGGGAAAACUAAAUGAUGAGAAGUUCUAAUUAAAAAAGUAAGAGUCUAAAAUUUGAUAGUUAUGCUAAACAGACCGAAAGUUGAGUUUUUGCAAGUGAACUGUUAAGAACUUAGCAUUCAACCAGCAGCUAACUAAAGGGGCAGAAGAUAAGUAGAAAUGGGAUGAUCACUAUAAAUAUGCAUAAUUCCCAUAGUUGAAGAAUUACAGAACAUAAUUCUCUAGGCGGUGUGAAAAAAAAGAAAGAAAAUGAAAAUUUAACUGCAUGUGAACUUCAUCCAGCAUUAGCUCAUAGUAGAACAGAUACAUUAUAAGAAUUGGCCACUAUGAUAGAGAUCUAUAAUACUGCAAGUUAAGCAACUGAUGGUUUAGAUUGAUUAAUACUGAUGAAAUUUUCCAACUCCAGUUAUUUUAAAUUUAAAUCAAUAAUAUAACUUAAGCAAUGUAGUGGGUGUGACAUUGCAUUUGAGGAAAUAAUGGAUUAAAGUGUUUUAUGUAUAUAAAUAGACCACACUGGUGAAAUUUUCCUGGUGAGCAAGAUCCAGUUUCACAGCACAGGAAUUUUACAUGCAACAAGCAUCAUCACACUUGCUAGUGAAAGCUUAUCUUUCAUAAAAAAUUGUACCAAAUUGUUAAUUAGGGGAAGAAGGCCUGAUGAUUUCAAGGAUGAGCCUUUCUUAUAUUGCUACAGGGGCUGCAAAUAGAUCAUGCUGACCAGAAACUGAGAUAUAUACUAAAAUUACCUAACUUUGAGUGAAACAUGGAUCUAUGAAUUGAGUCGAAAGUCAAACUUACAUCUAUUAAAUGAACCAGUGAAGUUCCAGUUAAUAGAAAGUUGGGAUCACACAUGAUCUAACCACUAUAUAGUUGCAUCAACCUACAGUAGAGCCAUAGUCAAUUGACUUGCCUCGAAAAUGGAGAAACAUAACUGGUAAUACUCAUCUCCGAAAGUCAUAGCUAAACCUACUUGGAUAAAAUGAACAAGGAUUAUUCAAAUUUUGUUAAAACAUAGUUCAAAUGAUUGGAGGUUCAAGCGAAUACUGGUGAUUCCAUUUUUGCAAUACAAUAUAUGAACAACAUACAUGUUGAAUUAUAGAAGCCAAAGUGUAGAAAGAGAAUGGAAGUGGCAAUGCAGGGGAACUGAAGGAAUCAAUCAUGAUUUACUUUAUGGAGUGGCAGAGGAAACAGGAUUUGGAAUGUGGCUCAAGAACUGGCUGCUACCAUUAUAAGAUGAUCCUUUUUUCCCAACUACAAAGGCAUUGUACUGUAUUUGGUAAGCCUAGAUGAGAUUGAAAGUAACACAUAUAAGAGAUAGUCAAGUUCAUCUCCUAAGUUGUUUUAGGAUCUCCCAAGGGCACCUAGAUCAGUUUAAAAAAUUAGAUUUAUUUUAUAAAAAUCUGCUCUUACAAACAGAUUGUUUGAUUUAAUCAUUUAAAGGCUGCGAGUAUAUUAUUUUCAAUGAGCAAGCUGGACCAACUCCAGCCAUAAUGCAAACUCUCAAUAAGCAAAAUUAAAUUGUUAGGACUUUUUUCAGAAUAUGCAUUAGUUAAGAUAGAGAUCUUGAGACAUUAUUCAUUACAUGGUUUUAUAGAACAUUUAAUGUAGAAUAUAUUUGAAGAUUACCGCGACUUCUAGUGUAAAAUAUUGAGACUUUUGAAGAUGAGGUAGCAGUUUUUAGCUUUUCUAAAUUUCAAUAACAUUUAUAUUUCUGUGCAGUUUAAUAAUUUCUGGCAUUGGAAGCUACAGCAAUUCUUGUCCACAGAUGAAGCUUCAAUCCUCCUGUUUCAAUACACACUUUGUUGGCAAACUUUUGAAGGCUGGUUUAGAUUAUACGAUCAGAAUCUAAACAAAUCACUGCCAAAGUAUAUACCAUAAUAUGAACUGGAAAAUCUACCGGGCAGAAAACAAAAGAAAAACAAAAAAUUUGUUAUGAACCAAAAUUUAGUCUCCACAACAUUAUGUGAAUAUGUACCUCAAUAAAAUGCAUGCAAAAGAUAAGUAUAUAACUUAUUGUGCUUUGUGCUGACAUUUGGGUAUCUAUAAACCAGAUUUUUUUUCAUCACUUAUUCACCUUAAUGAAGAUGCUUAUCCAUUACCCAUUAGCUCAAGCUCCAAAUUAACUCUACAAAUUUCAUAGCAUAAGUUUUGACUCCACUAAUGCAAGUUGAACAGUGUUACAACUUACAACAUUAAGAAGAAACGCACUAGAGAAUCAUUCGUUAAAGCAGAAGAAAGAGAGCAAAUGUACCUCAAAAUGAGCCUAUUCCAAGAAUGGUAUCCUGCGAACGAUAGAUUCUCUGCAGUGACAUUCCUUUGAGCCUCGACACGGCCGGUCAGAAGGACCACCUGAAAUCCUAGACCCAGGAGCUCCUCAUACAGCCUCAAACUCGCCGGCAAAGCCGGCGCCUUUGCCAGAUUCACCCACUCAUCGAAUGUCGUCUCGUUGAAAUCCUCUGACCUACGAAAUUUCGAUACUUUGCAUUAAGGGUAAAAUCUCUGGAAAAAAAAAACCCAUUCGUAUUAAUUGCACGGUAUUAACUUCAAAGCGGGUAAUUGUCAAUACUUUAAAUUAAAAAAUAAAAAACCAGCAUUUUCAAAGCAAAGAAUCUUUCUUUGACUCGUUGUAAAUCAAGAAAAUUGGGAGAAAAGGGGAUAUCCUGUACCCGUAUCCGUUGACGGCGUAAUAGGGGAGGUUGGAGAGCAGCGUCUCAUCGACGUCAAAGAUCCAGACGUCCUUCCCGUCGCCGACGACCUGAACGGUCUGGGCGAAGGCCAGGGACUCGGCGGCGACUACGGCGGAGUCCGAUGCGAAGCGAUCGCCGUUCAUGUACUCCGCCACGAACUGGAGGCAUCUGGCCGGAAUCGUCUUCCAGUAGCCGGCGUUGUUGGUCUCCUCGGAGAGCCGCCAGCUGUCGCAGUAGAGGUCGUCGCCGUCGCCGCAAGGCGGGCCCUCAGAGACCAUCCGGAGGACGGAUUGGGAGGCGGCCGCGGAGGCGAUGGCGGAGAGGACGAGGAGGAGGGGAAGGAAUCGAAGUAAUCCCAUCUGAUUUGGAGUUGGAUAGAAUAAAAAGGAAACCCUGACCCUAACCCUAGAAGGUUUGGAUUCUUGGGGCUUCCCCUUCUUCCCUCGUUCUCCGUAGGAAGGGAAAGGAGAAGGAAGAGAAGAGCGGGUUCGGGGCGGACUUUUCCCAUUCUUAUGUAUCAUUAUACUACAACGAAAUGGCAUCUUUCGUAAAAUAUUCUUCAUCUUCUCGGCGAUUGUGGAGAUAUUACCGUUUUGCUGCGCUAUAAAUUUCACCGGAACGAUACCUUGUCGCGUGGCAGCAGACGAUUGGUGAUAUUUGCCUGUUCACCCCAGGUUUAAGGAGGAGAAGACCGUUGUGGUGACUAGGUGGCGCGGCAAAGCGUUCUCUCAAGCUAUCCUCGUCUGGUCCGUAUCAAGACUUGUUGACCGUUAGCGAGCUCGAAGAAGGUCAGCUUCCCACAAUUGGUUCGCUAGAACGCGUGCCAAGCCAAAAAACAUAAACUCAGUAAAAACAAAACAUAACCAGCAUUAGAACAUAUCUCAACCUCACCACCAAUCCAAAACUUAGUAAACUGGAAGAUUAUUUGCAAAGGCAAAGGUGCAGAUGGUAUGAGAAUUCUUAAUUUGGCAGAAUUUUUUAACCGAGCUCUGCUCUCCAAGUAGGCACAGAGACUUUUGAAUGAUAGGUAGCCAUAGAUCACUAAAUCUAAUAAGAUUUAUUGUUAUAACUCUGUCCUUACAUCUAAAAAGACUAGCAAGAAAGUUUUUUAAAAAUUUUUUAGUCUAAUAUAAUUAUUCAAAAUCUCUUUAGCGAAUAAUCGAUAUAAGACUAAAUACACGUCUGCACGGAUCCUCACAUAUUCCUCCCGUUUAAGCCAUGUCGUCUUUGUCAGGCUAAGAGUUCUAAUCUAUUAAAAUCUAACCAUAACCAUCACGAUCGACUCGUGAUCAGCCUCUAUGAACUCAUACUGCAGUGUCUCCUUGUCCGUAUUUGCUAUAAGCCGAGCUCGCUCUGAUAUCUUUUAUUACAAUUCAGGACCUUAUCCAAAAUAGUAGAAAGAAUUUCAGAAACAUGCGCAGCAGAAGAAUGGCAAGGGCUUCAUCUGUUUGGAGGAACAUUUGCAAAGGGUUAGACCCUUUCUGGGUUUGCUUGAGAUUUAUGCUAGGCGAUGGGAAGAAAAUACUCUAUUGACAUGAUAUCCAAAUUAGUGAGCACUCGAUGUCAGUACUCUUCCUAAUCUCAAGAGCAGAAAAUAUGGAAGCUGUGAUUGCUAAACUAUUGGAAACUACUCAACUGGGCGCUGGUCCCUGAUUCUCAGCAGUUGCACCAAAGGAACUGCAAGACUUAGCAAACACACUCCAAAGCAGCACUUCUACAAAGCAAACAAGACAAGCCAACAUGGAAAUGGUCUGAAAGCAGGGUGUUCUUCGUCCAAUUUCUAAAUCAACAAGGAGUGAUCUGCCCAAUCGCGCCAAGUCCAUGGAAAGAGCCUGCCCCGGAGAAGAUCAAGAUCUUUAUGUGGUUAGGCCUUCGGAACAGGAACAAGAUCAAGAUCAAUAGCCCUCGAGCUCUGAAGAUAUAGGCCACCUGUUGUUAUCUGCCCUUAUACCAGAUGCUGCUGGGAAUUUACAUGGACUAGAAGAAUGUCCCUUCUGUUAACUGCCCUAAACNNNNNNNNNNNNNNNNNNNNNNNNAGUGUCACGAGAAUGGAAUGCUUGUGCCCUUAUUAUAUGUUGAAAUUUAAACUAUGGAUGCAAUUUCUUGUAACAACACAAAUAAUUAAGAAAAAGUUCAGGAAGAAAAUUCAGCUUUAGAGGUACACGGAUUGCAUUGUUCUCAUAGGUAGAUUUCGCAUUUUCCAAAAUCAAUGACUUGGCACGAAGGGUUCCAGCAAGCGUACUUUCCAAAAUUCAACUAUAACAGCACCAUUUUAAGAAUGUGUUCCGAAGUAUAAAGGUUUGAUUGAAUUACUUUUGGUUGUCCCUUACCUCAAUAAUAGCAUGUGGUAGUAUUUUGCAGAAAAGAGGGCUCUUCUGCAAAGAAGAGAGGAGGGAAAUAAAAAGAGCUUUUUCCAAAACGAAAUGAAGAGAGAUUGAUUGAGAAAGAAAAUCACAUACGUAUAAAAGAAUUUUUAAGGUCAACCGGCCGAAGGCAGCGAACCAUCCAAUAAUAAUAACAAUAACGGCCAUUCAGAUAUCCAACGGUAAAAACUCUCACGGCAAAGGCAUGAAACAACCUUUUUUUUUUUUUUGAAAAAUGGAUAAGAACAAAGGAGCUUUAAACAUUUUGAAAUGCAAAAAUAAAAAAAUAAUUAACAUUAUAUCCCUUAUUGUAGGGACUCAGGAACUUCAUUCUCUUCAAGAAAAAUAAGUAUAGCUUAGGCUCUUCCUUUUUCUCAAAAAAAAUGAGAACCUGUCCUUUUAAGUCUCAUUAGCAUGGGACAAUUAAGUUUUAUUUCUCAUUUAUUACCAAACCUUCAAAUCAUCCGAGCUUUUUUUUAAAAGAUUGAAGUAGGAGAUAGCAAGAUGCUGCCCCCUGUUUACUAAGAACAGAGUAGACGCAGCAUCCAGGACGUUAUCUUUCAGAAAUUGAAACACGAUAGACAUGAAAACUCUAGAUGAACUGAAGUACAGCAGAUGUUCUAACUAAUGUAGUACAUUGGAUCAGGAACCUUGAAAGUACGACCACCCUCUGGUUGCCCCAAGAUAUCACUCCACUGAUCUCCAAUGUUUCCAACAACGCUAUAACCUUCCUCUUCCAAUUUCUGCCUCAUACCCGACUUAUACGCCACGCUCGAGCCACUCACGUUUAACCCUCUGCAAACAAAAACAGAGCAACACAAUUUACAAAAGAUUGUGUCAGCAUCCUAAAAACAAGUGACAUUUUAAUCUAUGUUGCUGAGUGUUUGAACUUUGAUGGUGAUCUCAGCAUCUUGACCGGUGCCAACCGGAGUGACAUAAUGGCAACGCAAUUAACUUUCGAAGUCAUACUUUGUAAACGUUCAAAUAACGGUACUUUUGACUAAAGGCGCAUGGCCAUGUCCCAUUAUUGAGAACAAGUCCUCGACCGCUUUUGACAAAGUCAAAAGCACGCAGGCCAGUGGCGGCUGAUGAGAGUUAAAAUAUAGAGUUUAUCGCAUGAAUAUCUUUUUAUAAAUUAAAGUUUGUGUAUAUACUUAUUUUUUAUUUUUAUAAAAUACUGUUUUUCACAAAUACUCUUAAUAUAAUGAUUCUUCUAAUACCAUUAAUAAAAAACAAUAUUUAUUUUAAUUAAAAUAAAAUAAAAUUUUAAAAUUAUUUUUUUUGUCCUCAAUCACUAUCGCCUUAUAAAUGUUUUGUUUUUUCUCAUCUACUCGUUAAGAAUAUUUAAGUUAUUUUAAUUUAAAAUCGUUAAUUUUUAACAGUGUUAAAUGGUGCGGGUAUAUAUGCAAAAAUAAGAAUAAAAAAAAGUAGAAUAGCAAAAUAAGUAUUUUACGAGAGUAUACAUAUAAAUAUUAAUUUUGGAAGAGUAUUUAUGUAAAAUUCGAUAUUUAGAAAAAUAUUCAUGAAAAAAAUCUUAAAAUAUAAUUUUUUUAAAAAAAUAUCAUGCACAAAAAUGCAUAAGAGCCCAAUUUUGCCAUCAAAAGAGAGCUCCAUUAGGAUGUCUCGCAAGUAAAUUAAAUUGGUGCUUGAUACCACAUUGCAACCAUGUGUUAUACCAACUCGCACCAACUCACUGAUGCCAUAUGGUUUACAGUACUGCUCGGAUACUAUGAUUGGGCCAAAGUUAUUUGACCACCUGGGAUGAAAGAAUACUAAUAAUCGUGAAAAUAAGAGAGAUAAUAAUGAAUCAAAGAAAAAGAGGGAUAGUAAUAAAUAUCACAAGAAAAGGGCUGAUACUUUAGCAGGAGUUUUUCCCAUGUAUGAUAUCCGACCAUCUUGAGAUUAUGAGCCGUGAUGUCCCUUUGAUCCUCGGUUCUACCCGUCAAGAAUACAAUUUUGAUGCCUAGAGACAACAAUUUCUUAUAUAGCUCCAAACUUUCUGGCAGCGCAGGUGCUUUCCCCUUCAUCACCCAUGCAUUGAAUGAUGUAGCAUUAUACAGUUCGACCCUACAAAAAUCAGAUUUUUGCACUUUAGAAAAGCUAAUCAUGCUCUUUGAAAAUUAUGCGUUUAAUUGAAAUACGUUAGGAAAUUUAAUUCGAUUCAUCAAUGUUGCCAGAUUUUUUUUUAAAAAAAAUAAAGGGGGCGAAUUUGAAAGAAUUAAUACGCAUGAGAAAAAAGAUGAAAACAUCUUUUGUGACCUUAAAGUAUUCCAAAGAUUUAGUGGAAAACCAUUGCAAACUACUUCUUCUUUCUUUAUUAACUUGGGACAUCUUGUCCUCUACUUAGUAUAUCCUCAAAAAAGAAAUUCAAAAAGAGGCUGCUCCAAGAGCUUCUCUGUCCUUUUAACUCUGAAUAAUAGAUAAGUUUUUUUUUUUUUCACAUUAGCAAAUAAGCCUGAUAUGGCCGGAAGGAACCGGGAGGGAACCGUGAAGACCGAAGGGGGGAGAGAGAGCAGGGUGCGGUUACCCAAAGCCGUGGCGAGCGUAGUAAGGGAGAUUGGAUAGGGUGGUCUCAUCGACGUCGAAGACCCAGACGUCCUUCCCGUCGGCGCGGAGGUCGAGGCUCUCGGCGUACUUCGCGGCCUCCCCGGCGACAACUGCCGAGUCCCUGCGAUAGAGACCGCCGAGCAUGUAGUGGCCGACGUACCCUUCGCAGGUGCGGGGGAUGGUCUUCCACCCCCGCAUGUUGUUGGCUUCCACCGCGACGCGCCAGCUCUCGCACGUCACGCCGCUCAACCGGUGCGCACCGGAGCCGGACAGGGGGCGCAGGAGGUGGAUGGGGAGCGGGAAUGGGGGGUCUUCCACGCGCGAAGAAGCGUGGGACGAAGUCACGAGGGCGGCCAAGAGGACGAUGGCGACGGCAAGCUCCAUUGCGGUCUCUUUCACCCGCUCCGCUAUACCUUCUAACUGCGAACUUUGGGGCCUGGACUUAUGGUCUUUAUAGGCGAGGCUCGUCAUACCUACCACAAGGCAACUGGAGGUUGGUGUUAGAAAACGAAGAGUGAAAACAGGAAACAGGGGAGGAGGAAAACCGCUGAAUUCAUUUCCAAUUUUCUUCGCUCUUCUUUGUACUUAUACACAUUCGAGCUUGGUCAAAGUAUAACUAAUCUAGCUAUUAAGCAAUGUAAAUUAUAACUGAAUAUAACUAAUCUAAAAAUUUAUAAUGAAGAAGCUUCCAAAACAUUAAAUUUAUUUCAGCUGAUUCACUGUUUCAAUCCGUUUCAACCGUAACGUUAUGACGGUUGUGAAAUGUUAUAAGAGUUUAAAUUUAAAUUUGACCGUUGGAGCUUUCAUGUGAACUGGUUGUUCUAUUGGAAAGAAGUGGUGAAAUCGUUGCUUGCCGGUUUGCUGGAAGAGACUGUAACUAAGUGUCCUUGUUAUUUUGAGAGUUAGUGGCUGGCUCCUUUGCUUGCACCGAGCUGCAAGUGACUGCAAGUGAUUUCUGUGAAUAUUACCUGGCAAUUGUCUGGUUGCUGAUAUCUUCUGUGAAUAUUGCCGGUUUGACAACUAUCCACGCAUUUGGCAAGUCCAACUCCACAAGCUCAGUUUUUUUUUCUUUUCUUUUCUUGCUCAGUUUUCAAAACAAACAAGAGCCUUCUGUUUCCGAUAUGAAUGAUACGGCGGCCAUCCAUGCAUUAGUACCUCUCUUCAGUAACAUGCAGGGCCAUAAUUGGGCCAACUCAUGUCAUGGUUUUUAUUGUAAAGUAGCUGCAGUUAUAUUUGGCCGCAAGCACUCAGAUUUUAUUUGGAUUAUUUGGUAGAGGUAACUUUGCUAUUGGACUAGAAUCAAUAUAAAAUAAUUACUAAUAUGUAGUAACUAUAAAUAUUAAUUAAUCACUGUGGCGAUAUACUGUAUUAUUAUAUAUGUAAGUGCAUAAUAUGUGAAAUAUGGUCAAUAGCUGGUCAUUUGUUUGUUUAAUGCAACAAGAAAGAGACAUGAAUUCUGCAUGUUGAAGAUACAACCUUACAGAUCAUCUUUUUAACAUCAUACAACCCAAAAAUUACAAUUGCAUUUAUCAAUUAUAGAUAACCAAAAAAAAAAGUUCGCGUGACAUGCUAGGGUGUUGCAUAGGUGUUUGAACAUUGAAAAUAUUUAAAGCGUGACAAGUGGGUUUUGCAAAAAAAACAUAAAAUUACUAAUUUGAUAAGCUGGCACCUUUCAUCUAUCAUUGCUCGUGAAUAACUAGUUUUUCCUCAUCGUCAUUAUGCACGGGUUUAUGAGAGAAGUUUAGUCUUCCCUUCUGCUCUAUGUCCUAUUGCCUAAAAAAAAUAUAUAAUUUUUAUUGAUUUAAAAUAACAAAUAACUAUUGGCUGUCUAAAAAGGUAAUAAAGUAAUUUGUGACCAAACCCAGUAAUUAAGAAGAGGUCGAAAAGGGAAAUUAUUCAUUCCUAAAAUCUGGAAAUUCUGUCAUCUAUUUUUCUUUUUGUGCAAGAUAAAAAAAUAUAGUUUCUCUAGUCAACUCAAUCCCCCUAUCUAAAGGAAAUUAAAAGGAACAAACUAAUUUCAUGACAAUUGUGAUCUGAAACAUGAGUUGUUUUGCAUGCGGAUUGUCGCAUGCGGUCAUGUAAAUAUCUGAUAUUCUACAGGAAACUGAAUUUUUGGACAACACAUUCACCUACCAAGGCCUAUUUUUUGGUGAGAACCGAUGAUCUCCUUCCCAUUAGAAACCACGUCAAGCUUUCAACUCUUUAAUUCCUUCUCCUAUUUUCGUGCAGCUUGUUACUGUGGUAGUUUACUAGUUAUACGGAACGUUGCGAACCUAAAAAACGCUACUUACAUAAAUGUUUUAACACAAAAUGAAUAAUAUUAUACAGCUUUAGCAAUUCAAACUAUAUAUUUGUCUCUGGCUUGUGGUAAUUUGUCACACUUCUAAGUUUUCUUUUGUUUUGAUAUCAUAGAUUGUGACGGCCGUUCAUAACUUACGGUGAUAUCCCCAAUUCUGCACUCUCAAACUUAUUUUUGAAUGAAAUAACAAGGCUUAGCUUCCNNNNNNNNNNNNNNNNNNNNNNNNNNNNNNNNNNNNNNNNNNNNNNNNNNNNNNNNNNNNNNNNNNNNNNNNNNNNNNNNNNNNNNNNNNNNNNNNNNNNNNNNNNNNNNNNNNNNNNNNNNNNNNNNNNNNNNNNNNNNNNNNNNNNNNNNNNNNNNNNNNNNNNNNNNNNNNNNNNNNNNNNNNNNNNNNNNNNNNNNNNNNNNNNNNNNNNNNNNNNNNNNNNNNNNNNNNNNNNNNNNNNNNNNNNNNNNNNNNNNNNNNNNNNNNNNNNNNNNNNNNNNNNNNNNNNNNNNNNNNNNNNNNNNNNNNNNNNNNNNNNNNNNNNNNNNNNNNNNNNNNNNNNNNNNNNNNNNNNNNNNNNNNNNNNNNNNNNNNNNNNNNNNNNNNNNNNNNNNNNNNNNNNNNNNNNNNNNNNNNNNNNNNNNNNNNNNNNNNNNNNNNNNNNNNNNNNNNNNNNNNNNNNNNNNNNNNNNNNNNNNNNNNNNNNNNNNNNNNNNNNNNNNNNNNNNNNNNNNNNNNNNNNNNNNNNNNNNNNNNNNNNNNNNNNNNNNNNNNNNNNNNNNNNNNNNNNNNNNNNNNNNNNNNNNNNNNNNNNNNNNNNNNNNNNNNNNNNNNNNNNNNNNNNNNNNNNNNNNNNNNNNNNNNNNNNNNNNNNNNNNNNNNNNNNNNNNNNNNNNNNNNNNNNNNNNNNNNNNNNNNNNNNNNNNNNNNNNNNNNNNNNNNNNNNNNNNNNNNNNNNNNNNNNNNNNNNNNNNNNNNNNNNNNNNNNNNNNNNNNNNNNNNNNNNNNNNNNNNNNNNNNNNNNNNNNNNNNNNNNNNNNNNNNNNNNNNNNNNNNNNNNNNNNNNNNNNNNNNNNNNNNNNNNNNNNNNNNNNNNNNNNNNNNNNNNNNNNNNNNNNNNNNNNNNNNNNNNNNNNNNNNNNNNNNNNNNNNNNNNNNNNNNNNNNNNNNNNNNNNNNNNNNNNNNNNNNNNNNNNNNNNNNNNNNNNNNNNNNNNNNNNNNNNNNNNNNNNNNNNNNNNNNNNNNNNNNNNNNNNNNNNNNNNNNNNNNNNNNNNNNNNNNNNNNNNNNNNNNNNNNNNNNNNNNNNNNNNNNNNNNNNNNNNNNNNNNNNNNNNNNNNNNNNNNNNNNNNNNNNNNNNNNNNNNNNNNNNNNNNNNNNNNNNNNNNNNNNNNNNNNNNNNNNNNNNNNNNNNNNNNNNNNNNNNNNNNNNNNNNNNNNNNNNNNNNNNNNNNNNNNNNNNNNNNNNNNNNNNNNNNNNNNNNNNNNNNNNNNNNNNNNNNNNNNNNNNNNNNNNNNNNNNNNNNNNNNNNNNNNNNNNNNNNNNNNNNNNNNNNNNNNNNNNNNNNNNNNNNNNNNNNNNNNNNNNNNNNNNNNNNNNNNNNNNNNNNNUGGAGGAAGACAGAGUAGGGCCGGCUGCGAGUGAAAUUUUGAAUCGGUGGUUCUCCACCGUGGAGGGAUUUGAAAUUUGGGAGGAAGAGAUUAGGGGCCCUACUCUGGCUGUGAGCCUGUGAAUCUGUGAUCUAAUCCCUAAUUUAGAGCGCCAUUAGGGCUGGCUGUAAGCCUAUGAAUCUGUGAUCAUUGCUGUCCCAAUUUUUUUUUUAAUUAAACGAGUUAAAUGGGUCGAGUCGGGUUACCCGUUUAAUAAACAGGUCAGGUUCAGGUUGCAAUUUUUUGACCUGUUUAUUAAACAGGUCGGAUUCAGGUUUACAAUUUUCUGACCUGAUCUGCAUCUGACCCGACCCGUUUAUGUCUGAUCCAACCCGAUUGCCACCCCUAAUUAUAAGGCACAGACCUUUCCGCGGAUUAGCCGAUGUGGGACUAAAGUUUGGAACCCCAUCCCAUAACACAGCCCCUCCAGCGGGAAGGUCUGUGCGCGGCCGGGGCCCUCUUUCUAGCGCCAUCUGUUGCAGAAUUUUCACCCUGACAACAACCCACACACCGGCCGAGCAGGGAAAGCGACUGCAUCCCUUCCCGAGGUAUUGUCCGCUUUGGGGCUAACUCUGCGGGCGCAGAGCUCGCACAGGGCGCACACCCGACCUGCGGGUGCGGAGCUCGCACAAGGGGCUUGGGCGACCUCUCACAGUUUUGUCCCACAAAAGAGUCCUCGGGAGGAAAAAUUUGACCUCCUCAUUAUAAGGCACAGAUCUUUCCGCUGAUUAGCUGAUGUGGGACUAAAGUUCGGAACCCCAUUCCACAACAGCUAUUAAUUAGCUUGGCAUGGUUAGAUUGUGCAGGUGUUAACUAAUACGGCAUGUCGCAAUCGUCUUCAGGGAGGAACGACUUCUGUGAUUUAUUUAUGGACAGGUAUACUCGAACUAAAUACUUUCGUCUUCAGAAAUUAUUUCUCUCUAUAACGAGCAUGAAUCACUAGUGCAAGCGUCAUGGGUUGCAUUUUUUUCUACACUAGAUGUACAGUUGAUAAGAGCAGUGGUUAGGGCAGGUAUCCUGCUGAAAGCGAUGGUACCAUUAUAAUUUUGAUAUCCAGAAUACUAAUCAUUUAAGAUAAACCAAUAUACAAAAAUGUCCCUCCGAGUCAGAUACUCAUCCCUUCAUCCAUGAUUGGGUGGUGGCAAAGAGAUUUCCCUUAAUCCAUGAUUGAGUGUUGGGUUGGAAAUUUCUUACGAAGAUGACAUCUAUACUCGUUGUUUAGAGAUUUUUUGCGAUAAUUGAUAUUGAUGUUGUCGUUUUUUUCGAUGGAACAAGGUGGAAGUAAACACUUCCCCCAAUUUAUUGGAUCAAAACAUAAUUGUACCAAAGAAGCGAAAGAGACGGAGAGAGACAAAAAGGGGUGUAAAUAGGGAAAAAUUACAGAGGAACUUCCCCAGCCAAGAGGCUGUAGAAGCCCGAGUCAAGGUGCUGGGAGAAGCCAAAGAAGAAAUACUGCUCCAAAGUUUGUGGUUGCCUUCGGUCCCUUUCUCUAAACACAAGUGCUUCCGUAUGCAAAAUCUUUUGAGGCACCGCAUAGAUCUAAUAACGCCGCUCGAGAAAAACUCCUCAACUUCCUUCUCACCAAAUGUACGACAAGAAGGACAUUAGAGUUGGUCAAGUCUGACUGGAUGGUCCGCUUACAGAGAAUGGAAAAGCAAGUUGCUGUCCUUCGGGGGAAGGCUCCUUUUCGUCUAUUCAGUUCAUACUUUUUCUUCUUUUUUUUGCUAAAGAUUCAGUUCUUACUUCUCUUCCACUUUAUUUUAUAUCCCUUUUUAAGUUGCCGGCUUGGGUUAUGUAAUGUAAUAACCCAGAUUUUGGGCUCGUGGAAUUAGAUAAAAUUUUGCGACCUCUUUGUAGAGUUGCCGUGUGCCGUUAAAGAUCAAAUGCUUCCUUUGGCUGAGCUGGAAGAGAAGACUAAUAUGAGGGAUGCACUGGGGAAGAAGCUUGCGAAGAACUCGAGUGGCUGUGUGCUCUGCAGACUGCAAUCACCCAUCAGAAUCUGUUGACCAUUUGUUCUCCAGCUGCAAAUUCUUCUCAUCGAUUUGGAUGGAGAUUAUGUUCAUUGCGCUGUGUGUUGCACACUCAUGCUUCCUUUGAAGGUAUUUGUCUGAAUUGGAGGAGACGAAACUUCACUAAGUCAACGCAAACCGUGGUAUUCAUGCUCAAUUGGAGUGGUCCAUUCUCUACAAUAGUAAUGAUCUUGUGGAACAUGGAACAAUAUGGCGUAGUAUCAAAGGUCUUAAAGAUCAUCUUCUUGAUGCAUAAAAAACGUCCUUCCUUGAUCCACUACUGGGACACCGUUUUGAUUGCUCACCACCUCUACCGGUACUCAAGUUCAGAUUAAGCGCUGAGGAAGAAUGUAAUUCUGCGACCUCAAGCUGUUUCAUCACCCCAACUUAAAACAAUUGGUUUUGUUAUUUUUGCCUCUCUCCUCGUCUAUUGUAAAUCUCUGUUUCACCGCAGGGGAUUACCAACUUUGAGCUUUCUUUUGUAAUCCUUUUUCUAAUUCUUAAUAAAAGCCGGGUGGUCUGACCUCCCUUCUACUGAAAAAAAUAAAAAUAAAAAAAUAAAUCUUUCCGAUAAAUGUCUGAAAUUUUUUCCUUCUCCAAGUGGUCCAUAAAUCAUGCAUGUUGGCUAGUCAUCCUCUAACCACCGACAACCAUUGAUCCUCUAAUGGCGGGUUUCUUAAUUUCAAAACUUGAUUUCNNNNNNNNNNNNNNNNNNNNNNNNNNNNNNNNNNNNNNNNNNNNNNNNNNNNNNNNNNNNNNNNNNGACUGGUAUGUUUUGUAAUAGAAUUUGAAUUGGGAAUUUGGGAUUUUUUAAGAUUCAGAUGAGAUGGACUCUCUCUUGCUGCAGUGUUCAUUUUCUUUUAAAGAAAUGGUUGGAUAUUAUUAGUUUUUAUUUUCUUUCCUGAGAAUAGGUCAGGCGUCUGAAAGAUCCUGACGAUCUUGCACAUGAAAUAGCUAUCCCAAACCCUGGGAUAUCCCCCGGGGACCAGACGGACCAUUGCGGGCAUGGGACAGGGAAGGAGGACAACGGACAGCUCACUCUUACCAAACGGAUAUCGGGCUAUCUCAAUAUCUGGGACAUCCCCGGGGUACGAAGACUAUUGCGGGCACAGGACAGGAAAGGAGGGCCACAGACAGCUCACUCUUACCAAACGGAUAUUAGGCUAUAUUGGACUCCCUCUCUCAGGGCAAUGUGCGAUUCAGGAUAAGGUGGACCCACUAUUCAGACCAAGUCGCUACAUCAUUUAUGCAAGCACAUCCAUCUACUGGACAUUAGGUGCAAAGUGGUACAAACUGCCGAAGCAAAAUGAAUUUGUCGAGGAACAUAUGAUUCAUGCUCGAGCAUUGGUCCCCUUCUCCCCUGCUUACAUCAACAACAAAAAAAUUUAAAAAAAAAAUCAUCUCCCCUUCCAUCUGAUUUUUUCACUGCCUUCUUUACUGCCAAAUUCCAGCCUCAUGUUUCUUAAGGAUUUGUUUGUUUCGGGGGAAGAGGAGAUAAAAAAUAAAAUAAAAUAGAAAAAUAAAAAAAUAUUUUAUAUUUGGUUUUUUUUAAAAGAGAAAAAAAUAACUUUUUCAUAAAAAUAAGAUUUUUUUUAUUUUAUGGAAAGAAAAAAUCCAUAUGGGAUGUGGAAAAGUCCAGCUCCUACAGGCUCGAAAUUAGGAUUUUUUUUUUCUGAAAGUGCCCUUAAGCUUUUAAAUAGAAUUGGCUAAGUUUUUUCUUUUUAUCAAGAGCAUAACAAGUAUUUUAUAUAGUUUUUCUAAAAAAAUAGAUACUUAAUCAAACAUAAACCACUUUAUAAUGUGUUUUUUUUUUGUCCACAAAACAUGAAAAAAUCAUUUUUCAGGCAUCAGUUCUCAAAAAAAAUAUUUCAGUAAAGAAAUUUUUUUUUCACAAACUAAAUAAGUCCACAGUUCCUUGGAUCUCUCAAUUGCCCGCAAUUGAACUUUAAAACUCAAUUGAGCAAGGAAAACUUGUUUCAGACGUUUGAUUGGCUCAAAAUGGGGCUAAUGUUGCAUAAUAUAAAGAAGAAAAGGCUCGUAGGUGGCUUCAAUCCUCGAAAGCUACUUCAGUCGACCCACUUAAAGAAAACCAAAUAAGCCCUAAGCUCCUUUUCUUCCCUUUUUCCUCCCUUGCUUCUCCAUUUCUCUCUCCUAUCUGUCUCUCUCCGGUGGCAUAUGGUGGAAGUAACGAAUCUUCUUAUGACAAAAAAACAGGUUGGAUAAAACUCCGCACCCAUUUCCAAAUCCAAUUUGAAUGGGAUUAUGAUAGAUAGAGAUUUUAUGUCCGAUCAAAUCCAGAUCCGAAUUUGGAUGUCUGUUUAUAAAUAUUGUCAGAACCUGAUCGGAUCAUAUUCGAAUAAAAAUUUCUUUAUUAGAUGUUGAUUUUAAUUUUGAUUUAGAGAUUUUUAAAUUCAGAUAUAUUGUAUCACCCACGAUAUUUUUUCUUUGAAUGGCAAGCACUCAAUCCCAUGCACCAAUCUAGUUUAUCUUACUUAAUCACAUAUAUAAAUCAUUAAAUAAUCAUUUGAUGUAUAUUAUAAUAUUUUCUAUUAUAAUUAUUUUUUAAUUAAAAAUAAAUCUUUUUUCUUUGAUAAAAAUGCAAAUGGAUAUACAUUAUUUUAUACUUCAUGAUAUUUUCAAAGACUUAUUAUUAAAAAUACUUAAUAUUUAUAUUAAGAACUUUUUUGUAUCUCUAUAUUUAUAUAAUUUUUCUUACAAGCUCUCUAACAAUAGAUAAUUCAUGUUUAUUUUUUAUUUAUACUAUAAGUAAAGAUAAUAAUGAUAUUUGAUGCAAAAAAACUUAAUAUUCUUAUAUUUUAUUUUUAAUUAUUAAUAUUUUUGUCUAUAAUAUGAUAAUAAAACCUGCACAGCCAGUGAUCUAAAUAUUUGAUGAAGUGCAUCCGAUCUAUUGGUGCGCCGCAUCCAAUCUACAUAGUGAAUUUUAUUUAUAUCUUUUAUAAUUACAUAAUUAAUAUUAGUUUUCAUCAUUAUAAUAAAAUUCAAUUCAUAUCCAAGUAAUAUUCAAGUUAUAUCCAUAUUUGGAUAGAAAAAUGGAUAUAACUAAUAUGCAACCUCUGUCUGCAUAAGUUUAAAAUAAACAUAAAUAUGCUUAAUAUUUGAUUCGUAUCGAUUUUCAUUUAGAAAAAAAUAUGGAUAAUAAUUUUAGUAUUUAUUUAAUUUCUAUAUCUAAAUUUAUAUUUAUUAAAGAAUGUAGAUAUAAAUAUAGAUAUAUCGGGAUCCAAUCCAUUCGUUUCUAACCUUAGGUAAAAAUAUAUAUGAAACUAGAACACCUCAUUUUUAUAAGCUCCAAUUAAGCUCUAUGCUACUCCAAAUAUUGUUGUUACUGACUCAGCAAAACAUCAACCACAGAGAGUAGAACCGAAUGCAGACGUCGGAAAUUAAGUAGCAUAAGCACUUGAGGACAUGAAAUAGCUUCAUUAAUGAGCCCACGUUCCAUUAAAUCCUUUUGCACCUUUGGGAGCCAUCCAUUUCAGAACUUUCAGGCCCAAGUUUGAUGCACUAACUAUGCGAGCGGAGGCCGGUAUCCCAUUAACGAUUCAAACCGUACGAGUAAUUUUCAUCAGAAUUUUUUUUUAUAGUAACAGCAUUAGCAAAGUAAUAACAACAAUAGAAAGUGUUUUAAGAAUUUCCAGAAAAUAUUCUCAAAGACGCAUCCAAAAAGUUUAAAAGAAAAAAAAAUCAAAAAGCCCAACACUAGCAAGCCAGGUUAUCUGGUUUUAUGCAUUUCUAGCAUUUUUUUUCAAAGCAAGUAAUACAUAUAGAAUAUAGCUUCAGCCAAGGAAUUCAACCCGGAGCCAAUCUGGUCCGUGGUUUGGAUAUUAGUCCGCAACCCAGCCAUGAGACUCGAACUCAACUCGGUAUGUAUCUUUAGAAGUUGGAUCCAAAGUUCCAAACCCAUUAGAAGACUGGGAAACAAGGGUUGCCGAGCCGGGCCAGCCUCUGGGCCUCAUUCCCUUUAUUCUGGACCUAGGCUCAGCUCGUGGUGCCGCACCAAUGUCAGGCUCAACAAAUCUUCCUUGGGAUAAGGAAUUGAAUUGUCACAAGCAAAGAUAACAUAUUCGUUCCCCGUCCGUGAUAUAAUAUAUAAGUUGGCAUCCUAUUCUUAGUGGAGGAAACAAAGUACGACAGGCAAAUAAAAUGGUGGAAACUAUCUUAAUUUUGUAGUUGGAAUUUUUAUGAAGAGCAUUAUGCUUCGGGCCUGGUUUGAUAGGUCUAAAUAAAAUGGUUCAUGAAUUACUUGCUUCAUUCCAUGCCAAUUUACAUGGAUAUCCAUGGUCCGAGCCUUCUCCGUUAUGGUCUGUGAGAAAUCCCAGGAAGCCCGGAGCCAGAGGGACCCGCACCACUAGAGUCCGCAGAAAGAAACUAAUUUUUAUCUGACAGGCGAAGAUUACUGCAGGUUAUGAGUCUCGAUUUAUUUUUCAAAAGUUAGGCAACCAAUAAUAGGUGAGAGAUUUUGGGGAUUUGUGUGUGUUAGUCUUGGGUUGAUUGCAGGGUUCCAACUAACAAGCAAUCACUAUGAGUUUGUCAAUUUUUAAUACUAGAAGACAUCAGUGAGAGCUUAAGGAUCACAUCAUUGCGAGGACAAACUGGAUUAGCAGAACGGAGGUCACCCGAUUAAACAAUGUGUUAUCUAGUAUCCAUGUUCUGGAAAGAUGACCGGUACCAUUAAGCUUUCUCGAACUUUACACUGAUGUUAUACAAUUAUGAGGAGUAUCCUCCGUGCUUUAGCAGGAGGAAUCAAAGCAAAUGUUUUAGCUCCUCAUCCACGCAUUGGGGUGAUCGACAUAAAUAUUAUAUGAACAAGAAGUAGAGCAGUGAUCUUCUUAAUCAUGAUUAUUUAAAAUAUAUUUAACACAUAUUGGUUAUUUUAGUUUGUACACUUCUCGUCUUGUUUUUCUCUUCCUCUUUUUAUCGUAUGUUCGGAUAUAUCAUGGAUCCGACGGGCGAAGGCUGCUGCAGGCCUUUGGCAUGAGUCUCACUUUAUUUUUUAAAAGCUAGGCAAUCAAUAAUAGGAAAGAGAAUUUAGGGAUUUAUGUUAGCUAUUUUGGAAUCAAUAAAAAAAAUCAUAUAUACCAUGGACUCCAUAUUAAUAAAAGUAGAGUGCAUGUAAUAAUAUAUAGAAGGAAAAAUCAGAUGCAUAGUCAAUGAAAAGUUAGAUGCGCAACCUUGCAUAUAAAUGUCCACCUGGUUUACUAUACGUUACUGUCAUGCAUAAUGCAGAUGUUUGAAUAUGGUAAUCCAUUGCAUGCCAAAUCUACAUGAGAUAUUAGAGGGGCAUUAGAUCUGUAUAUAGACAAAAAAAAAAAUGAUAUGCCAACCAAAAACAAGUUUGCCUUGAGCUAACAUCAACCAAUCUUACAUCGUGCUUUGGUCGAGAGGCAUGAACUAAAAUCAGAUUGGAUUGAGUUUUGCAGGAACGAUUCACAAGAUUGAAUCCACUACAACUUUUAUUAGUAGAGUGUCAAGAAUUAUGUAUUUGAAAUUUAAUUAAAACCAUUUUCGUGAUGCUUAGAAUACAGUGCCGACUAAACUAGGCCGGAGUUACAAUAGAGCCUGAAAAUAUAUACAACCCAAACCAAUCCAAUUGCAAUGCAAACAAAGUUGUUCAGCUAAGAAUAGGACUAUUGGGUUUUAGGGGCCUGGUAAUUACUUCGGUCACCCUUAAAUCUAGGGCUAAAAUCAGAUCAUCUAUAUUCAUAUUUGUUUUAUCUAACUAUAAAUACAGACAUGGAUAUUAAUCGGACGUAAAAAUUCAUAUCUAUAUUUAUUUUAAAUGGAUAGGGAUAUAAAUCGAAUACGGAAAGUAUUGAUAUACAUGCGGAUAUAAGUUGAAUAAUUAAACUUUAUGACGACAGAAUUAAAGAUAUUAUAAGUGGAUGGUAAAUCGAAUAAAUUACAUAUUAAUAUGGUUAUAUAUUUUUCUUAAAAGUUAAUAAACUUUAUAUAAAAUUAAAUAGGAUUAUAAAUAGAAUCAGAUAUUUGGAUAUUGAUACGGAUCGGAUAGCGGUCUAUCCAUAUCGAUAUCUAUUUUUCUUUAACAGAUAUGGAUACAGAUGCAGAUAUUAAUUGGAUGCUUAAAUUUCCAUACAUAUCCGAAUAGAUACAGAUAUAAAAAUAUAUUCGUUUGGAUAUUAUCCGGCCUACUUUUAUCUCUGCUUAAACCGUGCAACAUGCAACAAGUUGCACACUUCCCGCAUAAACCACACUAGGCUCCCUUUGUUGUGCAGGGCCCACGUCAGCUCAAGUUGGGCUGGUACCAACCAUGCAACGUGCGGAUCGCGUUCAUCUUAAAUUACGAUUCGGGGAAAUUAAGAUAGGAUUAUGAUUCAACGUAGAAUCCAUUCCGUGACUUUCAAGAGUAGCGUAGUGUUUGCACGAAUCUAUUGUACAUUCCCUAAUAUAUAUAGUUUUCUCCCAUAGAUAAUGAUAACCCCAAGCACCACACAGAAUACCAGUCCACCAAGGCUUACAAGGAAGACAAUGAGAGGCAAAGAUAUAUACUCCGCAUCCAGAGCCAAUCACACGGAAAGAAACCCCGAUGGCCUUCAAAUCCCACUACCCUGACAAUAAAAGCAACCAAAACAAGGAACUCAGCCUUUCUAGCACAGGAAGAAUCGCAGAAUCCUUUUACAUACUUCUCUUCAAUCAUUUUAAAUGGGCAACUCAUCCUUUGGUGAGAAGAAGGGCCCAUCACUAGCUUCCUCGUGCCGUCAACUUAAACUUGCCUAGCUCUCGAAGUAUAAAAUAUAAUGGCAGGAGCAAUCCCUGAGGGAUUAAAGCUAGAGAACCAUUCUAAAAAGCAGCUCAUUUGAGAGAAUCCAAAAGGGACGCCCAUGUUCUGUUAUUCUACUCCCCACUACACAAUUCCUCUUGCAACUUCUUUAUGGGACCGAAUCAGAACAUGGGAGCCCCAACAGGGCUGAUCCGUGCCCUUUGAAGGGCAUCCGAGAUCUUCCAUAAAGAGAAAGAAUGAACAAGGGCUUUUUGGAGGGGGCGAACAAGACAUGGCAUUCUUUUCUAUCUACUAUGGAAAGGGACGCAUGGACUGAGACUCAGCUACAUCACCCGCAAUUCUGUUCCCCUCAUCGAUCUCCAAUAUAGGAAGAAAUUUUUUUUUUCCUUUGUUUGGCUGACGAUUUUGGAACUAAAGGCAUCCAUUGGCUUUGUACGUACAAGGAUUCUGCAAACAAGGCGAAAACAACUAAAUCAACCAUUUCGGAUAAGCUUGCACCGGUUUGCUGCUAAUAAGUAACUCACGAAGCUGCUCGGAAAGAAAAUUGCAACUAUUCCAGGUGCAACAAACCUGCUCGCAAUAUCAUCAAAAAAAAAGAGAGAAAACAACAAAUCUGCUCACGAUUUAUUGCAACUUUAUGUACGCACUGGACUGCCCUCUACUGCUGCAGCUCGGUCUGUGGUGUUGUAGGUCAAAAAUUUGGUGGUUGAGUUUUCUUUUUUCUCCCUGAAGCUAGAGCUACAUGCGAACUUACACAUGAUAUAUUGAACAAUGUAAAAGUGUUGGACGCAAGAACUAAACUUACAAGUGAUCAGCAAAGACGCGAGCGAAAAUAGAAAGGAAAAUACCUUGAUUUAGUAUUAUAUAUUCCACUCUACGUAGAAAUAGUCUUCUUAAACUUUGGAUACUUAGGAGAGAAUUGGAGCAAAAGAGAGAAAAUUAACAUGAUUCAGAAGAAAAAAGAUGCAGGAAUGAGAAGUAUGGAAGGAAGUAAAUUUGAAACGUAAUGGAGGGAAGCGAGCAUUAAUUGCCCUCCUCUGGAAAAGAGGAAAAAAGAAGGCUGUUUUGGCCCUAUCUUCUUGUAAGCUCUUUAUUCCUUGUGCUGUGACAGUGAAACUACAAAGAAGGUUCCACAAGUCUCUCUGCAUGGACGUCCAAAGCAAAGAAAAGGAUGUGCAAAGAGACAACCAUGCACGUUCCUCUCUCUCUCUCUCUCUCUGUGGCAACAAUGAGAGUAACUAAAGGUAGGUCAUCACUGCUGAGAAACUUCGCAUCUCGUAGAGCACAAUCGAAUAGAAUACUGCAUAAAGCGGGACUAAAGUGGUUCUUUAUUUAAGCAUAUUUAACACACACAGACCUGCACUCGCAUCAUUCUCUUAUCUUUUGUAAUAGAUUAAAGAAAGGUUUAGGCGGUACAUUUUGAUUACAAAUGACGUUAUGAUUACCUUGUUAAGUAGUUUGUUGGGGAACAUUUAUGUAAGAGUUUUGAAAGAAAUUUCAGAUAUUCAUACGGCUUUCUUAUAAAUGCACUAAAAUUCCAUGAGCUGAUUCUCUUGCCAGAAUCAUCUUGAUCCAAAAUUCUUUUCGACUAAUAAGGAAGUAACUUUUUCUCAAAUAAAAUGGUGGGUGCCUGCUAUCUUAGUUUUAUGGUUAAAAGGGAUAAAUCACUUGGCUACAUUAUACACAUAAUAUUAGAAUUAUUUUUUAGCAACAUUGAAAAUUCAAAAGAUUAUGCAAUGCCUGGUGUACUCAAACAACAUCCUAAGCUUGUUAAAGUUCUUAAAAUGAUAGAGCCAAGAGAGCUAAAAUCUGUGACACACUAGUUUCUUAAUUAGACUGUAACCAGCUGCUGUUUUGUUGUCUUUAUACACUUAAUAUUUCCGAAUUCUUAAAAGGAAAGAAAGGAUUAGGCAAAAAACCAAUUUAAAUUGAAAAAGAGAAACAUUUAUUCUUCAAGCUUCAAAACCAUUGAAAACUUCACUUCCAUCAAAAACAACCACUACAAUUGAAAGGUUCCCCCUCAAGGAAAGCCUUCUUGUUUUCCCUUCCUCUUCUCAUUUUUUCUUUUAAACAUAUAGGAAAAAUUACACAUGAACAAUAAAGUAAAAAAUAAUAUGUAAAUAAUAGUUAAAAUUACAAUUAGUAAUAAUAAUAACAACAAUGAAAAGUGAUGAUGGGGAUGAUAUGGUAAUGAUGGCAGUGUUGAUUUUGAUGCAUGGUUCAUUGGCUCUAGGCAUUUUGGCCUUCGCUUCUACUGCCAACAACAGCAACAGCUUUCUUUUUCUUUUUCUAUCCUUCUUCUUCUUCUUUUUUUUUUUUUUUUGCUUUUUUUCCUUUUCUUUUUCACCAACACCUUUUCACUUUGUUUCUAUCCAACCUGGAUUAUCGUACAGUUAGUUUUUUUUACUUGCUGAGCCGUCAGCUACUUACCCAAGUCCCUUUGCGAAGAAGAGAGAGGGUAACCCCUUUUUUUUUUUUUUUGCUGCCUCCCAACUUGUUUCACUCCUUGAAAAAAACAACACUGUAAGUCCAAGUACUGAUGAUGCUAAUAAUGAUGUUCUGUUAGCUUUCUUGGUUUUCCUCUUCUUUGUUGUUACCCAUGAUGAUCUGGGUUGUCAGGUGACCAGUAUGAGUACUGCCAUUCUUGGGAGUGUGGAAUUGAUGUUUCCUGCCAUGGCAUGCAAAGGAUUCAAAAAACAAAAAUGUCAGGUUUUUUAUAUGUAGAUAUUUGCAUGAGGCCCAACCACUUUUGAUCACCACCCUUGUAUAAAAAGAAGAGAUUAUGUAUCGGUAAAAUAAAAAAAAAGACAUGAGGCAUGGACAAAUUUAGUUAAGAAUUUAAAUACACAUAUUUUGCAAGAGGAAAAAGAUUUACAUUUUGCUUCUUAUUUCAAAACAAAUAACAAACAACAUGGAGAAAAAACCACAGUAACAUGGCACUGCUUGGUCUAUUCUGGUGUUGGUAGAUAUAUAUAAACCAUGCAAUAAACAGAAAAUGGGUGGCAUUUUGGUUUUACAUCAUUAGACAUGAAAAGCAGGAAAGAGCCUCUUUUUUCUUUUUCUUUUUCUCUUCUAUAGCAGUUUUAACAUGUUCUUUAUUACUGCGAGUCCUAGUGUGAAAGGAAGACAGCCCGCAAGAUAAAAAGCUUGUGUCUUCACUUUUGUUGGUUUGAAAGGAAAGAAAGGCAGGUUCGGUUUUUAUAUAUCCAGGUCAUGUAAUAGAGGAGGAUGUCGAUCUCUCUCCUUCUCCCUCUCUCUGCCCGCGCGUAUGCAUGCGUGAUGCGUGCAUGCGAGCGUGCUUGCGAGAGUGCUUGCGUGCGUGUGUCUCUUCCCAACAUCCCUUCCCCUUCUCACACGCCCAUUCUUCCUCCAAGGUCCAGAUUCUAUUUUUGUUUGCAUGCUCAAAAAGAGAGAGCCAGUAAAAUAAGUAUACGAAGUGAUGCAAAUGAAAGGGGGAGGAGACACAUUGUUGUACUGUUUGACAUCUGUUGUCCUCAUACGAAACCAGAUGGCCCCACCUUUGAUUUUAAAUUCACCAGCUGAAACCCAGUUCUGCGCAUAGCUUGGGUUGCCCAAGAAGAAACAAACAUUGUCCAAUUAGAAUAAAAAUACUUUGAUUUUCGUUUCUUUGUCUCAUCCGGACCUACUUACGGUAAUUAGCUUCGUUACAAAUAUGUUGUUUUUUUCCCCUGAUAACUCGAUAGUGUUCUCUUUUAUAGCUGCAGGUAGUUUUAACAAACUAAACCGACCAAGAAAAAGGAAAUGGAAAGAGAAAGAGAAGCGUUUCUCAUGUGAAUUGGCAAUAUUAAACAUCUAGAUUCCGGGUUUUGAAGGUUCAGACUUACUCCUUUAAUGCCGGCCGCAGUGCAACCCAUUAUCAAUUCUUCCAGGCCAGAAGUAGAUCUAUGAUCCAGCUUCUGCUGCUGCUGCUGGUGCUGCUGCUGUUCACAGUUGAAUACCCAGUCAAAAAUUUUACAAGGAAACAUCUAAUGAGAAACUAUUAAUUUCUAAAUCACAGCAAUCCAGCCAAUCUAUUGGUCGGUCCCACACUCGGACCAUAUGCCAUGUCGGACAUGGUUAUGGUGUCGCCAUAUGAGAACACCAGUGUAAGCAAAAGAGGAUAUAUAUAUAAAUGGCUGGGAUCCAGCAACAUUAAGAUGCUAAGCACUCCCACGUACGCUAUAAAGGAUUGACACGUAGGUGACAGUUUAAUGCAAAUGGUCCAACACACCAACUCAAAGCCACCCUUGCUUAGGCUAUCAAGAUGUAGUUAUCCAAUGAAAUUAGGAGAUACCUGAAACUUAUCAGUUUGGAGCAGGAGCCCCGAGACAUGGUAAGGGUCAUCGAGCACAAUCGAGGUUGGGUGUGGAGGAGGAGGCGAGAUGAUGGUGGAGAUGGGGUUUGUAGGCCUGCUAAUAUGGAAGGCUGCAAUCGGCGGCGCCUGCCGAUGCUGAUGUUCUUGAGCCACAUGAUGAUGCUGCGGUAAUGUGUGGAAGUGCUCAUGUUCCUCAUGCUCCUCUCGUGCCUUCGGUGCUGUCUCUCCCAUGCCGACCUGCUCCAAACCCAUAAAAUUAACAGUUGGAGAUCAAUAUAUAUAUACUCUUUUCCCCCAUUUUCUCCUUCCCUUCUCUUUCAUGCGACCCUUUUCUCCCACCUCUUUUUGUUUUUUUGUUCAAGGGAAGGUGAAUUGAUUGAAGCUAUAUUAAACGGUGAUAAAGUGUUUACAGAGUUUUUUUGAUAUAAUAUUUAUAGUGUCUUUUGUUAUGAUGAACGUGGACAUUGGUUCUUUGGGUUGCUUGCAAUUGGAACAAAAUGAUGUGAAAGUUUAGCUAAGAGGGUCUAUUUUGUUCUUUUGCUUUAUAAAGAUAGGCCAGGCCCUAUGCUAUUUGUGUUUACGACUGGACUUGUCAAAGUGAAGCAAUAGAUGGUACGAUAUAAAUGACGGAAUUAUAUCAUAUAAAUGUUCGUAUACAUGUGAUAUUUACGUUACGGUGUGUUAUUAAUGAUGGAAUUAUGGACUUACAUGCCACUGAAGAUUUUAUAGAUCAGUUCGAGGAAGGAGGAAAGACCAAGUACUUUUUAAGUAUUAUUCAAGUAAAAUUCCUUGUGUUUUACUUGGGGAAGCCCUUGUCAUAACUAAAGUUCAGAAACUUAGAACAUGCAUUCUCGAGUCUCUUGUAGUCUCCUAAGGCGAAUCUAAAAAAUCAUAUUAUGAAAAAAAAGAAGAAGUGUUCCUAUAAAGGUAAAUAAACAGCAUGGAAUUGAAAAGCUCCUUCAACUUUGCUUACCCUUUCUGAUAUGUACAAAUAGAUUGGGGAUACUCAUAACUUUGCCAUCAUUGUAAACCAACAGUAUAUUUAUGCGAACACUGUCGAUAGGUUGUUCAUGGGUACAUCACAAAAGGAACAUCCAACCAACUUCUCGUACGUUUUGUAGUGUUGCAAUCUAAGUUAGGUUGUUUCCGAACGAAUAAGAACAAUAGUUUAAUUUGAAGUACGAAUAGGCGCAGCAAAUGCAUUAAUCGUUUUUGGCCCCUCGAGAGAACAAAUGCAUCAGUUGUGGAAAUAAAUGGAUCAUUCAGUGCAAGACUUUAUAGACACGUACCUCAUCAAAGCUCUUCCUAAAUGGAGCAAAGCUGAAAUUAUCUGGCUUGAUGUUCUGCUGGAUCUCCAAGGCACUGUAUCCUGAGAUACCAACCCCGGAAGUGAGCUCAUCCCUCUGGCCGACCACCUCUUUUGAGGAGCAGCUCCCACUCGCACUGUCCCGCCUGUUGUCCAUUAUCCCCUCCCCAGCUGCUGCUGCUGCUGCUGCUGCACUACUCCUGUCUGACCAGUUACACUGCCUUGGCUGGGUCUGGUAGAAUAUCUUAGACACCACCAGCUCCCCUUCCUUCUCCUCCUCUAGCUCGCCCAAGUGGUACUGGUGCAUGACCCAGUUGGUCUUCUCAGGUUUCCUGUGCUUCCCAAAGUUGGUGUAUAGCACUAGUAUUUUCUUGCAGCCCUUUUGCUUUCCAUUGACCAUUACCGGCCUAGUUUUGCCGGUCUUAUGCCACCUUGUCUCGCCCUUCUGGAGGUCGCACUCUGUUUGGAUCUUCCUUCUCUUUCUUGUGCCCGUGGUGUAGGCCUUUGAUGGCCUGUGGAAGAAGUGUUUGCUCAGGCCAUCUCUCGUCACACCUGAAACGGAGGCACACCAGAUAAAUAUUGGAUGGGAAUUAUUUGAAGUUAGGUGUGACGUCCAAUGGGACCAGCAGCUCAGAUUUUCCUGUCAGAUGCAACAACCUUGAGAGGCAAAACCAAACCAAACCAACCUUCAGAGAGGUGAGGAACCUAUUUAGAAACUUCUGCAGUAUCUUUCCACCAUCACGAAGAGAGAGAGAGAGAGAGAGAGAGAGAGAUCCAGUUUACAAAAAACCAAGGAAUAGUUCUUUUAUUUCUAUUUUUUUUAUAAAUAGCAAUUCUUUUGCAUGUACCCACAUGGAGAGAGAGAGAGAGCGAGGGAGAGAGGGAGAGAGGGAGAGAGGGAGAAACACCAAGUGAGUGCUGAAGAAAGGAGGAAGAAUGGAACUUAUACCUCAUAAAACUUUUUUCUAUAUACUCAAAGAACCCAAAGAAAAACUGCAUAAAAUAACAAUUACUUUGAGAGAGCUAUCUAACCUGGGAGUUUCUCAGGAUGAGUGUAGCAGAUGCCAUCUUCUCCUUCUAUUGUGGGUAUAAACUCAUCUAUCAGAGGAUGGGACCUUGAUGCUUCUCCUUUAACCUUAGCCUCGAGGUGUUCUAUCAAUUCUUGGUCCGUUGGAUCAAAUUUUACUCCUGCUGGUAGCCCAAGCCAGUCCUGCAAUUCUCAACCAUAACACGGAAACUACUUCAUUCUUGUAACUCUACUGCUUAAUUAAAGACUUUCCGAGAAUCCCUCCGAUGACUAAUAAACUAGACUUUACAAAAUUAAAACUACAAGUAUACGGAGUUCUUAUUAGUUCCAUUUAAUAACAGUUACUUCUACCAUAAAGAGAGGCACAAAUGUUGUGAUGGUCUUUUAUGUUUGCGUACCGGCUUUCCAUCGAGCUCGUGGCCACAGCUGGGACACUGCUUUGAUCCACACAUCCGAUGCUCUUCGAGCUUGGCAUCGAUGAGAUCGGAGCUGCUGACUGAACCUAUGUGACUCCUGUUCAUGGCUACUUCAUGGGCAGCAGACGUAUUCCUUCAUUACUAUACUGUAAAUCUCUUAGAAGAAAUCACGCCAACUAUUCAAACCGAGUAUACGAAUCGAAAUCGGAAUUCCCCUCUGCAAACAUUUAUGAGCACCAAAAAGAAUUAGCAAACAGUUCUUGCUCAAUUGAACUAAAUAAGCCAAAACAUAAAGGAAAGGAAAGUAAAUAAUAAAACCGGGUGCAUAAAUAGUACAAAAACCACUGAUUCAACUGAUCACGAAGAAAGAAGCAGCAGAAGGCGAAAAGUAUUUACCGAGAAAUUACAAUUAAUAGCAAUGAAGGUGGAAGAAAAUUAUUCUUGAAUGAAACCUGGGUCCAGGAUAAGGAAUUCAGCGAAAACCAGAUAAGAGAAGAGACCUGGAGCUAAGGAGAAGGAAGGAGAAAGAAAGGGAGGGAGAAGAGGGAGAGGGAGAGAUGCCAAGAUAAGAAAGAAGCGAAGGGAGAAAAGGGGAGACUGCAAGUGUUCUAUUGAUCUAUAAAACCUUCUUUAACUUGAAAAAAAAAUACACCAGAAUUCCUACUUUAACUGAAGCCCAUGAGAAAAAGGAAAAGUUCCCUAAAAAACAGACUCUCACACAUACAGCAACCCUCUAAACCUAUGCCCAAAAUCUGGCUGUGUAGGCUGAGAGAGAGAGAGAGAGAGAGAGAGAGAGAGAGAGAGUNNNNNNNNNNNNNNNNNNNNGAGAGAGAGAGAGAGAGAGCUUACUUUUGGGUGUUUUUUUAGGGGUUCGGCUACUAAAGCAAAAGCACGAAACGGCCUUCACAGCUGUUACUGCACAUUCCAAAGAGCCCAAACUGAACACUAUUAAACAUAAAGCAUUAACACUCACACAUGGAAUUUGCUCAUAAAGAGAGCUAAUUCAGGUUUGUCUCCCUAAAGAAAAAGACCCACUUCUUGGAUUAAGCCAAAAAGAAUAUUUUGAACCACCAGUCCUUCAAAGAAGAAAGUAUCCUUCCAAAAAUAAAAUAGAAGCUGGAUCUCUAUUUUUUUUUCUCGCAUGAAAUGAUGGAAUUUGAGAUAUUUUUCCUUUAUCUAAUAAUGAAGCUGUAGAAGGGUUGGGGGGGUUGCGGGGUUGAUAGAAACUCACAUGGGCUUCGGGAUGUGCUGAAAUGAUGAUCCUUUUUGGCAUGAGGGAGGAGGUUUGCAGAGGGAACGGGGGGGCGCAGAGGUGAAUCCAAAGGUUGCUUCAUACGCAAGGCAAAUGGGCAGUACACUUGAUGGACCCCAAAUAAAAUAAACUAAACUAUAUAAUAUACCACAUGAACAAGCAAACUUUAACGACACGCAGGACCAUAUGUUAUUAUAUGCUAUUCCGAACUUUAAAUGUAUAGGCGUACUUGUAGAAUAUUACCGGCAAUAUUUAAUAUAAAUAAUAUUUUUUAAAAAAUCUGAGCCUCUUUUCGCUUUUUCCUGUAGCAUUUCAUGUUUAUGUCCAACCCCUUGCGGCAUGCGGCCUCAUGCAAUGCAUUGUUAAGAAAAUUAUACAGGUGUUAUGGAAUAUUUGGACCCACGGCUCGAUCGAAUAUCUUCUUGUUGAGGGAAAGGGGGGGGGAGGGAAGAACGGAAGAAGGGCAGGCUAGUAGCAGUAUUAGCUUGCGGUGGUUUCUGCCUGUGAGGUGUGUACGUGUAUGGCCGCAAGGAAGGAGAGAAGCGACAUGGUUAGGGUUGUCUAAAAUUGGCUCUGGUUUCCUUCUCCUGCCGUAGUACUCCACUCGUUAACAACCUUCAUAUCUCUCUCCACGAUUCCUUGAACUUGAGAUUAUAUGUACUCUUGCAUGCAUCAGCGCAUCUCUAUUAUUCUUGUCAUCUUGGCAUAUACGAGCAAAUAUAGUCAUUUGCUCUCUACUUUUAUGUUGCAAUUUAUUAUAUAAUAUAUGGUUUGAAAGCUUAUUGCACUACCCAAAGGACCACACGAGGUGGUCGUACCUGCUAUUCUCAAUGGUUUUUUAUUUUUAUUUUUUGGGUAAAAUGGAGAAGUAAGGUACUUCAACAUAUUAUGUUGGAUUGUAGUCUCAAUCUUGGGGACCACGUCUAUGCCGAGUCACUUGGAGAUCUUAUCAUUGAAAAGCUGUCUGAUACAUUUAUACCCACAUGUACUGGGUGUCCAUGACUUAAGGAGGUUCUCCAGUUCGAUACCUCCGCAUGGAGGAGGACUAUUCUUCGACUCUCAUGACAUGUAUAUGGGAGCAAUUCCAACCUGAUCCUUACAGGUAAAAAUUAAUUAAUAUUGGAUAAAAGAUAAAUAUUUAUUCUAUAAAUAUGAGAUGAGUCCAUAUAUAAAUAGAGCUUUGGAUUUAGACCUAAAUCUAAGACGCAUUCCACAUAUCCCCUUACAAAUGAUGGAAUUUACAAAUUUCUAUGCAUCUGUUGCAUAUGCCGCCCAAAAUUGCUAACGAAGCAAUAUUUCCCAUUAGCACAAGGCAUCUUACCUCACUUUGGAUGUGAUGGCAAAAGCAAGCAGACUCAAAGAGUCAUGCCGAUCUCAAAUCCAUUCAUAACUUGAUUAUUAAGCAUAUGUAUAAGUUUGUAGUCCAAGAUUGAUCUCUAUAGUUUCUGAAGGAAAAGGAAGGAGAACCACCUCUAUUAUAAUUAAUUAUAUAGAUUUUAGUUUUUGAGACACACCAUUUAAGAAUUAAGAUGAAGUCGGACCAUCCGGGUGGCAUUCAGAAAGAUACAUAUAACCGCUGAGUCAAGUCCAGAUUCAUCAGGUCCACCAUAGUUUGACUUUUGGUGUCAUGAGAAUUACAAGAGAGAAUAAGAUUACGCCUCCUCUAGCUAGCUGUGUAGCUGUGCUAUCGAACCAGCCAUGAGACGGUUGGCUGUUCACGCACGAACGAAUGCAGCUGUAAUAUGAUCGUGAGGGCUAUCGACGACUACGGGAGAGGAGGGGGUGAAGUAGUAGAGGUAGGAGGCAGUGUGAAAAAGGGUGAGCGGCGAAAGACUGCAAGAUCUAGGACGAAACCCGGAAGCGGUGGUGGGCUCCAUAUCCAUUCCGUGUUAGGACAGUUGGGCCGCAACUCUCAGGGUUGAGCAUUGCUCAAAUGGAAAGGUAAGAUAAUCUGCGGGUCCCACGACCCACCGCCGCGCCGGAGCCCGAUCGCAAUUGCCCAAACCGAUGAUGUAGAUUCUAGAUCACAUCCAUCCAGAAACCCAUCUUGCCACCGCCCCUCGCAGAUGCAUGACUUUUAAGGCUUGUUUGGCUCGUAGAAGAAGAAGGGGAAAAAAGUGUAGUCAACGAGAAAGUAAUAAGAUGCCUCUUAUUUGAUUGGAGUUUUCAAAGAAAAGAGAUGAGAAAAUGGUAUUCCCAUGAGAAUAUGAUUCCCACAUUUCAUGAAAAAAAAUUUUCCAUAAGAAAUACAUUCCCAUGAGGCGGAAAUCACUUCAUCUUUAUUUUUUUCCAAAAAGAUCCUUCAGCAUUAAAGAUACAUUAAAGACCUAAUUUUUAUCAAGGAUUAAUAGGAAUUACACAUAAUUUUUCCAGAAAAGUGGAUGGUCAACCAAACAUAAGCACUCUGAAAAUCUGUCACUUUUCCAUAUUUAAUCAAACUUGUCAAAAGUACAUUCCCAGACAUUAGGAAUCAUAUUCCUAGGCCCAGUUUCUUUUUAGGAAUCAUAUUUCUAGGCCCAGUUGCCGAUAUAGGGCUUCGGCCCAUAGGAUUGUUAAUUUCGUGUGUAGGUUUAAAGAGUUUUGCAGAGUGCAGGCAAUAAAUAUCAUCACCUUUUGUUUUUCUUGAUUAGAAUCGUACAACUUUUUAGCGAUCAUGUGACGAUACUUAUCGUUUUAUGCAGACAUAAGUCUUAGCACAUGCCAUCAACACGUGGAAAAUCAAGAGUGUGUCAGCUCUCAAUAACAUUAAAAGCCCAAGCAACAGACCCCGUCCGCCCAUGUUAUUUGUCGUGAAAUAUUUGCCUAGAACUCCAAAUAUUGAGAAUAAAGAGUAAUGGUUAUGACACCACUAAUUUGCCGUUAUAUUGGAAAUAUAAUGGAAAAAAGGUAUAAUUUGAGGAGCCGCAUUUUUUUUUGCGGCCUCUCAAUCGGCACCUCCGGAACCGAACCCACAAAAUGCUAGUAGAUGCAAUGUAUCCGAAAUUCUCCUCUAUAACUAUUAUAUUACUCGCAUGACGUUAUAGUAGCCGAAAAUGUGGUGAAACUUUGAGCCCAUUCUUGUACCUAGUUCACCAGGCCCAGAUGGGCUGAUGAACGACUAGCUUGAACUUAACUACAAGAUGGUUGAUGUUUCAUGAAAGAUUAGCCUGUAAUUGUGCAAGCACAGUAACAUAGUUUUCUAAAGCAAAAUAACAGCAAUAACAUUAAGAACUGACAACUGGUCGUUCAUUUUAAUGCUUAGAGAGGAAGAACGGGUGGAGAAGUUUUCUUGCUAUCCCUAAAUACAGCGAAAAUCUGAAUGCAGCCCUAAUCCUAUUACUUCUGAGGCAUCCUAGGCAAUGUGGAGCAUCAGAUUUACUUGAAACUAUGUCAAAAUAAUAAGUUUGAUGGCUUCAGAACACGCAAUAUUGGAAAAUCAUUGCGAAAUAUAAUACUGCAUACCAAACAGCUUGCUGCAGUGAGCAUAACUACAAGUCUGGCAUUCAAGGAAUAAUUUAGCUAGAAGUAAAAUAAAUAAAUUUAAGAAUCAUUAAUCCCUGAUGCUCUUACUGAUUGAGAAAGUUAGUGGCGAGAUCCUCGAAGGAUGUGAUACUACCAACCGGGAGACUCCCGAACCACCUAUUAGUUAUAUUUCAAUAUUUUUUUUACUUGAUAAACAUAUAAAUAUAUUAAGUAGAAAACCCAAGAAAAAGAGUAGGAGUAGAUCAGCAGAAGCUCAAAUGCAACAGCUUGUUCGACUAAAGCCAGAGGUGCCAGAUGUUGCAGAUAUCUCAUUUAAGUAGCAGGCCAAGAAAAGUAGUUGGCUACAACGAGAAGGGAUUUAAGUACCCUUUAAAUUUGGGAAGAAGGCUUAGAUGAUCUAUUAGAUGUUGAAGAAAUCUUGAUAUUUAUAGUUACUUUGACAGCCUGUUAAAGAAUAGCAGCUUGUCAUUUACAUUUAUCAAAUUUCUUACACAUUCAUCUAUAUAUGAAAUGAGUAAAGGUUUUUUUUUCCAGAAAAAACAGCCACAUCUUAGGUGCUCUUCCAACAAAAUUAAAUUGCAUUAAUAUAGCAUUCUAAUGAGAAACAAAUCGAAGAAAAAUGAAAAGACGAAAGGAAAAAUAUGCAAGCAUAAUUUAUGGGGCUACUUAAUAUUGAGCAGAGUACAUACUGUUACACCAGUGCUGAUUUGCCAUGUUUAUGGCAAGGAAUGAUAAACAUAUUAGGUUUGUAUAAAAAACAUUUACCUAAAUAUCUUAGAGACAUGUAGAAAAAUCAAGUGCCUCCAAUGCAUAUGCGGCUGUUGCUGUAAGUUCCUGCAUAACUUUGUUACAGAUAAAAAGAUAACCAUUAGAAACCACCAGACUACAGAAGAGACAUCACCAUUGCAAAUUAAAUCAAACAUAAGAACAAGGCUGGCAAAAAGGGGACACAGCUGGACAAGAAUAUCCUAUAAAUGAUCUAACACCAAGAGAAAACCCUUAAUAGAAAGGUGCUUAACAUGAGUUAUUUCUAUUAAUAUAAGCGAUGCAUUCAGGGUCAGUGGCACCGGGGAAUGAAGAGCAACAAAACAAGCAUCUUCACUAUUUCACAUAAAAAUAAAAAAAAAUCAUGCAACUCUUCAGCUAAGGUUUUGGUCAAUGAGAGCCUACAAGAUGGAUUUUAAAGUUAUCAGAUUUUAAACCUAUGUUUCUAGAUUUCAGGGGAUUCAGAUAGUAAUUUGAAACAUGGAUUCCUCACUCUCUCCUGUGUGAGCUUAUUGCAAUAAUUCCAUCUGUCUCUUGCCUUGAGGAGAAAGAAAAACUCCUUCAAAUAUAUUAAAAUCUCCCUGAAGCAUACUAAAAUCAGAAAACACACCCUUUUUACUCAGAGUACUCAUACCUUAUGAAUCUGAUUUCUCUGGAAUCCGCUCUGACUUCCCAUGCACAUUAUUUAUUUUUGGCAUACUUGUUUCUCUCCAAAUUGCUUGAACUUCAUCAGUUCGAAACCUCUGGGUAAAUGUUGAUUCCUCUAAAGGGGUGGUCACACCAUGUGCAAAUGCAAGGAGACCAGUAUAUGCUAUCAUUGCCCCAUUAUCGACACAGUACCUAUCAUCAGUUGCAAAAAGCCUACCACCCCUUUCCGAGCACAUUGUCCUCAUCAUCUCUUGCAAUCGUUCAUUACAUCCGACACCACCAACAAUGAGAACAUCCUUCUUAUCACAGUGUGCCAUUGCUCGUUCUGUGAUUUCAACAAGCAUAGCAAACACUGUUUCCUGGAACGUGACACAGAAAAAUAGAAUAUAAAUCACCUAUUCCAAUUAACCAAAUCAGUCAAAAAAACAAAAAAAGCUGCAAUUGUUUAAGGUUUGAGUUAUUUAAAUAUGUUUCAUCUAAAAUCCGUAACCAUGAAUCAUGAUCAAGAAUUUUCACCCUUAUUAGCAAUAAAAUGAGUGUAUAAUAAAUAUACCUGCAAGGAGUAACAAAGAUCUGCAGGUGUGCAUUCAUUGUUUUUAAGCUUCUCGACAGCAGUAGCUUCUAUAUAGCUCAAUAUCCCACUAAAUGAAACAUCCAUACCUUUGACAACAUAAGGAAGAUCUAUAAAUUUUUCUCCUUUCUUUGCAAGCUGAAUCAACGAAACACCACUUCAGAUGAUUAUCAAUUACUAUAUGAUACAUUAAAGGAAGAUUGAUAUGUCUCCAGUGAAGAACUUAAGCAAAUGAUCUCAUGGAAAAACAUAAGGUGAUAGGUGGCCUUCAAAAUCACGAAAAAAAAAGUGGAACUGUAAAAACUGACCUGUAUAUAUCGCAGUAUCAUCUGAGCAAAGAAAUUGGCAAAAACUUAUUUAUGAAAAAAAGGAGCAACAUUAACAAUCUUUUUAAAAUUAUGCCAGCACAACUAAAUCAUAGUGCUGCUUUGCUUCCUAUAUCAUUCCCUCCUUUCUCCAUAGUAACUACAGAACUUCUCAAAAGAAGGGACCUAGAUCAAUAGCAUACUUCCUGUUUGGGUGUGCUUAUGGUUGGUAAGUCUUAAGGGAAAGAAUGUAAGAGUCUAGGAUUUUCUGAAGGUAGGGAAGAUGACCAGAAGAAAAUCCUCAAGACAAUUUCAGAGUAUCACUUGUUUAUGAGAAAAGUAUAACUGGACUGGAUUUCAUUUUCAGAUAUUGACAACCAAGAGGUACAUAAUUCCAUUACAUGCAGACUCAAAGAGAACAUCAGAGUGUCAAAAAGCAUAUAAUUAUUCUUAAUUUGCCUAGAUUGAUAGUACUCAUUUUGGAAAUUAUAUUGAGCAUGCUGCCUAGGUGAUAUAGCUAUUUAAUUAGUAGACAGAUGUAGCCAUUUAAUCAAUAGAAAGAUAGCUUUAAAGGACCAUAGAUAGUAUGACCAACCAAAGAUAAGUUUUAUCAAUUUGAUUGACAAGAUCAUUUUUGUUUGUUACGCAAGGGUUUUGAAUUUUUCACCUCUGAGGUAAGGUAUUUUGUUACCAAGUGGUGCAAUAUGUACCAUAACCACCAAACAUGAUGCUGUUAAUUUAGACAUGUAGAUUUGCUGGUGUAAAUGGUACACAGUCAUACCCUGUAGUCCCUAUCAAUAAAUAACCAUGUCAUCUAUCAAUCUGCAACAGCUUGUCUAGUUUAAUAUAAGAUCCAAAGGACAGAUGCAAUUUGAUGGUAGAAAUAUGAAGUACAAAAUUAUUCAAGUCCUUAUGUCAUCAUAUAAGAAUAUAAGACAGAUUUUUUUAUGUAUUUCAUAUUAAUCUGACAUUUUUUUUCCACCAACAAGUAGUCUAAGAAGUUCAUCCAUGGAUUAAUUUCCAUGAGGCCCUUUAAAUUGCAUGCACAGUUGAUGAUGAGCUGAUAACCAUGAAUAAACACAUGGGUUUAAAGAUGCUCUUGGAAGGAGAGAUAAAUAAAGGGGUUUCAGCUGCAGUUCCACAAUUUUAUCCCACUAACCAUUGGAAUACCAACCAGACAAUGAAUAAAGCUAUUCGCUGGUUAGCUGGUUAGAGGGUGAAUACCAAUGAUUCAAGUUAUUCAAUGUUGGUCAGCUAUUCAGCAUCCAAAUGCAAUCUUAGAUGGUGGGUACUCAUGGUUAAAUCUACUUAGGGGUGGUUAGCAAAUCAGCAUCCAAACACAGCCCAAAAGAAUACUAGAGUGUCAACAGACAUCUAAUUAUUCUUAGUUUCCAUAAAUUGAUAGAUUCAUUUUACAAAUUAUAUUGCAAACGCUACCUAGGUGAUGUAGCUAUCUAAUUAAUAGAAAGAAAGCUCCAAAGGACUAUAGAUUGUAUGACCAACUAAAUAACAGUUUGAGCAAUUUUAUUAACAACAUCAUUUUUAUUCAUUAAGCAAAAUUUUUGAAAUUUUGACCUCCAAGGUGACAUAUUUUGUUUCCAAGUAGUGCGAUAAGUACUAUAAACAACAAAUGUUAUGCUAUUGUUUUAGACCAUAUAGAUUUACUGGUGUAAACAGAACACAGUCAUACCCUGCAAUUCCUGUCGAUCAAUUACAAUGUGAUCCAUCCAUACAUAACAGCUUUUCAAGUUUAAUCUAAAAUCGAAAGAGUUGAUGCAAAUUUGAUGGUAGAAAUAUAGAUUACAAAAUAACUCAGUCUUUAUUUCAUCGUAUAAGACAGAUUUCUAUGUAUUUCAUAUUAACCUAAUUUUUUUCUACGAACAAAUUGCCUAAGAGGUUCAUCCAUAGAUUAGUUGCAACAGGGCCCUUUAAUUUACAAUAUACCAUUGAUGAUGAGCUGAUAACCAGGAAUAAACAUUUGAGUUUAAAGAUGAUCACUUGGAAGCAACGAUAAAUGAAGAGGUUUCGGCUGCAACUACAUAGUUUGAUGAAGGCACACUUCAGGUGACAAAAAAUUCAGAUUGCCCUUUUUUUUAUUCUUUUUGAAUCACUAACAGUCUAAUACUGAUUAAACAAGACUAAAGUUAAACUAAAGCUCUAAUUUAAUUUAAAAAAUAUCAUGAUAUAUUUGAUGCUACAUUGUCAUCUGUAUCAUCAUACUGUCGGAAACAAAUCCUAACCAUGACAUUUUCAUCUUUAUCGUCAUAUGUCGAAAUCAAAUCUUGUCAUUAAAAUAAAACUCUCAUCAAUAGAAUGGGCUCUUCAUGGGAAGUAGUCGAAUCAAAACAGCGUUACAGACCAAACUUAAAUUUCGACGGAAUAUUGGUGGAUCCAAUAAAAUCUGAGCUGAGGGGAUUCGUUAUGGAUGAGGAUCGUGAGAGAGAUUUAGGUGUCUCAGAAUUGGAUUAACGACGGUGACUGAAUGGAGAUCGAAUAAGGCAUCGAACCCAAGAAAAUUCUGGAAAAGUGAGAAAAGGAAAGGAAAUCAGCAAACCUGCUCGAUGUUAUACCCAGGGCUGGGAUCGUUGGAGAGGGUGAGGACCCGGGCGAAGCGAUCGAGGCAGUUUCCGACGGCGAUGUCGAUUGUCUCCCCAAAGAUGCGGUACCUGCCCUCGCUGUAGGCGAUGACCUGGGUGUUCCCCCCGCUGACGUAAAGGACGACGGGGUCGUCCGCGCCGGUGACGACGCGGCCCAUCUCGAUGUGGGCGACGCAGUGGUUGACGGCGACGAUGGGCUUGCGCCAUAGCUGGGAGAGGACGCGGACGGCGAGGGCGCAGACCUGGAGGGGGGCGCCCAUGCCGGGGCCCCUGGUGUAGCAGAGGCAGUCGACGUCGGCGGGGGAGAGGCCGGCGGCGUCCAGGGCGGAGCGGAGGAGGGGGAGGAGGUGGCGGAGGUCGUGGUGAGCGGUCUCGCGGGGGAGGAAGCCCUGGCCCGGGGGGGUGAUGUAGGUGUGGCGCGGGUUAGAGAGGAUAGUGCCAUCCAGGGUUACGAUGCCCACCCCGAUCUUGUUCGCCGACCCCUCAAAUCCGNNNNNNNNNNGGUCCUCUCCUUCCUCUUUCCUCUCUCUCUCUCUCUCGCUCUCUGCAGCCUUCGGUCUUGCUCUAUGAAUCCAAGAAUAUGGGAGAGCAGAGAUGGGGGCGGGAAAUGGAGAGUUAGGGAUCGGGAAGGCAACGGGUCCAGACUCCAGAGACUAGAUACUAGAGUGGGAAGUCGCCCACCAGCCACCAGAUAGUCGGAACUAUGUCGGUAAACGCAAUGCCGUCUUGAGUUAAAAAUAUCUAUAACAUAUCACCGUAUAAAUUAUCCAAUAGUUAAUUACAGGCUAACUAAAAUGUAUUGUUACAUACUAUACUAGCUUUCUGUCAUGAUUCGGUUGGGAUAUUCUUAGACUCAAGUUGAAAUUGCUUUCUAGCCUGCCAAUCAGAUUUAGGCUUACUUGAUCACAUUCAAGUCGAGCCUAAUUUGAUUUUAUUUCAAGCUUAGUCCGAUAUUUAUUGGGAAUGACAGAACAAAAGUUCGCUCUUGUUAGCUGGCUCAGUAUGAUGUGAUCUAAAGAUAGACCAUAAAAGUUUUAGAUCCAAGCUCUAUUCUACCAUAAAAAUAUCAUACCCUCUAAUUUUUAUAGAGAUUAUCGAUAAAUUCAAAUUUUUCCUCCAUGGUCUCUCUUGUCACCUCCACCCUCAAGACUCCAAACAAUGUUCCAUCUUUUGCCAUCAUACAUGCAUCUCAAUCUGUCCCCUCCCUCUCCAUGGCCUAUGGUUUUCUUUUUUCAUGUGGAUUUACAUAAUUGGAUUUGGAUCCAAUACCUGAUAUUUAGAUUUAAAAUGGCUUUGCAAUUUCAUAUCUACUAAUAUCUAGAGCCUAUUCAAUUAAUGGAUACUAAGUAUUCGAAUUGAAUAGACAGGGUCCUCCUAAUCUUCUAUUGGUGUAUUUGACCCAAUCCUAUUAUAUGGAUUAGUAUUUCUACAUAUAUGGUGAGUAACGGAAAAAAAAAAAAGCUAAAGAUGUCCUACCUUGCCUUAAUUGAGAGAUAUUUUAUCCAAAAUUGUCUUAGCAUCAACUAUUCCAUGUGUAGUAUCAAUUCUCAAGUGCCAUAUUGCACCGAUGAAUUGCGCGAUGAACAAAUAGUUUUUGUUAAGGUCUUAGAUUGCAUUAACCACAAUUCUGCUUUCAUCUUAGUUUUGCAAGAUUUUUUUUUUCAAAAAUUGUAUGUAAGUUUUUUCGGUUUGAAAUUCGGACGGAAAUGUGAAACGUUUUAUUUAAAUGAGAGGUAUUUUUGCCUUAAAAGGUAUUUUUCAGACCAUUUGUCGGUUUCUGAUCGGGCGUUCGAGAUAAUCUCAUGGAGACGGGGAUCAUGCAUACGAACAACACACGUGGAGCAUCGUAACUCGUCCGCAUCAGCUCUCAGUACAAGCCGGCGUCAACUCUUGCUUCUAGAAGAUGCCAGCGGGGUGCGUGGCCUCCGGCGCUCGGAAAAUAGAGCAGCAAGGGCCGAGAAGAGCCUUCUACCUCGCGAGAAUCGAAAGUAUGAAGUGAAGCAGUCGGCCUCGCUCCUCUCCUGGGGGCUGGAGCUCCUCGUGUCACCGUACUCUCUCUUUCUCUCUUCUCUGGCUCCGGCUUCUCUUUAGGGAAGAAGGACCGGAAUUCCGUCUCCGCUUCCGACCUAGGGUUUCCGCGAUCCCAUCAUGUACCGUGCCGCAGGUUCCCAUCUCAAAGCUCUCAAGGUCGGAUCCGUAAACCCCUAUCCCUAGUAUCUUCUUCGUUUUUCAUUUCUUGAUCCACUCGAUCUGUAGCUUCCAAAUAUAUCUUGUCACCGCAACUGGCCAUGACAAAAUCACCACUCAGAUUGUAGUUUUAGGGGCACGAUUUAACGAAACCAGUGCUUAUGAUCUGAUUUCCAUGCAUUUGCUAUCUCAGCACCAGGCAGGUGAUGCCAGGAUCUUUGCUGCUGCCGCUAGAUUUGCCAGUACUAGCAUAGCGAGAAGGUCUUCUGGUGGUUUCUUUAGCUGGCUAACAGGUGGACAGUCCGGUCAACUUCCUCCUCUUGAUACUCCGCUACCAGGUGUUACACUUCCUCCUCCCCUGCCUGAUUACGUAGAGCCAGGCAAGACAAAGAUCACGACUCUUCCGAAUGGCAUUAGAAUUGCCUCCGAAACAUCACCAGUAUGUUAUUCGUUAUCUGUUUACGGAAUUAUCAGUUAAACUGUCUUCUACUUGUUGUCUCUCUCAACUUAUUUGGAUCCGUCGGCCAGAGCCCAGCUGCUUCGGUAGGGCUAUAUGUUGACUGUGGUUCUAUAUAUGAGACGUUUGCUUCGCUUGGAGCCACACACGUCUUGGAGCGGAUGGCCUUCAAAACCACAACAAACAGGAGCCAUCUGCGGAUCGUUCGUGAAAUAGAAGCUAUCGGAGGAAGUGUCACGGCAUCAGCUUCCCGCGAACAGAUGGGCUAUACUUAUGAUGCUCUGAAAACUUACAUGCCCGAAAUGGUUGAGGUGCUUAUUGAUUGUGUCAGAAAUCCUGUUUUCCUUGAGUGGGAAGUUAAUGAAGAGGUAGUCUAUCUUGCAAUAUCCUUUCUUUUAGCCUAAUUGUUAUUGCAAUAUAUGAUUUAUAGUUUAUUAUUUAUUUCAGCUGAAGAAAAUAAAGGCAGAGCUCGGAGGAGCUUCUAAUAAUCCACAGGGUUUGCUUUUGGAGGCUAUUCAUUCUGCUGGCUAUUCUGGCGCAUUGGCAAAUCCAUUGAUUGCUCCGGAAUCUGCAAUAAACAGAUUGAAUGGCACCAUUCUUGAGGAAUUUGUUGGUGUAAGAUCAAGUAUUGGUCUUGUAAUAGUGUAUUACUCUUCUUUUUUUUUGUGUGUGUCUGUGUGUGGGUUGAUAGGCUGUUUUGACUCAUGGUUGCAAGAAUUUUCAGGAGAACUACACUGCUUCUCGAAUGGUACUUGUGGCAACAGGUGUGGAACAUGAGAAAUUGGUAUCAGUUGCUGAACCACUUUUGUCUGACCUUCCCAAAGUGUCGCAUCCUGAAGAGCCAAAAUCUGUGUAUGUUGGAGGAGACUAUAGAUGCCAGGCAGAUCCAUCGGUGUGUAUUAAGAGUGCGGAAUUUGUUCUGNNNNNNNNNNUAUUAUCUUGUUACUUUCCAUCUUUCUGAAAUUCAUUUUGACAACAGAAGACACAUGUUGCCCUUGCAUUCGAGGUUCCUGGUGGAUGGCAUAAAGAAAACGAAACCAUGACACUCACAGUACUUCAGGUUCAAGGAAAAACUUAUCUGACAAGCAGCUCAUUAGUUUUUAGGAUCAGGCAUCAUUUGAUUCUGUUGGUUAUUUGCUCAUGGUCUUUCAAACAAUAUCAUCCGAAGUGAUGCCAUAUCUUCCAGAUGCUUAUGGGAGGCGGUGGUUCAUUCUCUGCUGGAGGACCGGGGAAAGGAAUGCAUUCUUGUCUUUGUAAGGACUAAAUAUUCUGGAUAUGGUGCUUUGCAAAUAAACUACGGUUUCUACUGUUUAGCUACCAAAAUUUGAAUCCUGUGAAUAUUUGUGUUUGUAUGUAUCAUGUUGAAGUGCUCUAUAAGGUGUAAGACUUGAUUUUCCGUUACUUAUUUGAUCUGUCUAUCAUAUAUCUAACCCUUACACUGGUUUACAGAUCUACGAGUCUUAAAUGAGUUCCCACAGAUUCAGUUGUUUUCUUCUUUCAGCAAUAUCUACAAUCAUACUGGCCUUUUUGGAAUUUAUGCAACCACUGUAAGACUAUAUUACAUGGAUGAUUAUAGAUUUUUUUUUUAAAUUCUUUGGAUUUCUUGUUUUAUUUUGAAUUUUAUUGCCAAAUAAUUCUUGUGUUCAAAAGCAUUGAUGCUAUGUAACAAUUUGCUUCUAUCAGCAAUAACUUUAGUUAAACAUGUGGGAUUUGUUGAAUGUUUCAUUUAUGUAAUGAUUAUGCUGUUUAUCAUGCUUAACAUAAUGCAAUAAAUCUGGCAAUGCAACGGAUAUUGCUCACUCUUCCAUUUAAUGCCUUGAUAUAUUUUAUUUGAUUUAUAUGUUAUUUAUGGAUUAUACUAUAGGGAUAAACAUAAAUGUAAAGACAGUAAUCAUCCCAUGAUUUUAUGUAUCCCGCUGUAAUAUGUAUCGAUACCUUCAUCAUGGCAUUAUCUUUUGUUUCUUAUGCCAAUUGAAACUCACUUUGUGCAUCGAAUCUUGUUUUUCUUUUAUUGUUAGAACCUUGUCUGCAGUAUGGGCCAAGUAUCUUUUUUUCUUUUCUUUUAUAACUUAAAAGUGGGGAUUGCUGAAAUGUUUGUGCUGUAUUAUACCCUUUUUCUAAUGUGAACGUCUUAUGUUUCAGCACUUUUUUGCUCCUUGCUUCUAAAGAUCGAGAGUCUUAAAUGCUGAUAGAGUGUACAAAUUAGCAUUGGAUAGGAAGUCUCUUAAAAAGUUGCAAGUGCCCAAACAUGAAGUUAAUGUAAUUGUGGCAUAGAUUACAAAAAUGCAAGAGUCCGCUCUCGUGCUAGCAGAUGAAAAGGAUGCCACAUUGUAUCUCUAAAUAUUUAGCAAGGUUUGCAGACUCACAUGUAGAGGCCCAGGAAAGCACCAGCAUGCAGCUGUGUCUAGUUCCUGCUCUGUAGCUAUCCACUCCAGAACAAAGUUGUUCUGUCACAGCACAGUACACGUGUCAUCAUGGCACAGCGUUACAUUGGCACAACGUGUGCCAGCCACUAAUUUUAAGCUUUUGAGAAAAAUGUUUUGAGUGAAUGACAUACAAAGGAGUGCAUAUGGACCUGCACAGUGAUUCGUGAAGUUGUUAUAGCAUUCCUGUAAACAGAGUCUACAAGCAAAGCCGGAAAGAUCAUGAUUUAGGCAUGUAAGAAAAAUAUUUCAAGAUCUACACUAAUUUUCCUUGUUCAUGGUUGACAAGCAUACAACUCAAUGCAGUUACACUUGAUUCAUGCCUGGCGGCCGUAGGUAAAGGGUUUGUAGAUUAUUUAGAAACCUUUUAUGGGAUAUCUCGACUGUAAUUUCUAAUGAUACUGUUUUUAGGAUUUGUAAAUUAAUAUGAAAGUUGUUUGUGGUUGGAUUUUCAAAAGGUUGGAAUGAUUUAUUCAAGCAUGAUUUUCACAUGUCACCAUGUGUGCUGCCUGAGGUGGGUGUAUAAGAAACUAGAAGCUAAAAAGAGUUUCUAAAGAGUGAAAAAAUUAAAGAACCAAAACCAUCAAUUCUACGCCUAUCUCCAUUGCAUCACUUGUAUGAAGGUCCUUCUGAGAAUACAAGGUUAAAUAUGAGGAUCACAAACCUUAAGGUACAUGCAAAACAUGUACUGGGAUGAGUAUUGCUAAGAAAGAGACAUAUUUUAAGUAUCAAAAUUCUUUAUAUGUAACUAGCAGGGAGCAUGGAGGUAUCAAAUGUCCUUCAAUGAGCAGAUCCAACAUCUAUGAUGCAAGAAACAUGGGUAUAUUAGUGACAGUGAAAGAAUGUUGAAGGGCACCAGAGGAGUUAUGUCGACAUCAAGUUGCUUAGCUAGGUGGGUGAUGGUGGGCAUGGAAAUCGGGAAAUAACUUUGGGAGGUAACUUAGAUUCAGCAUUAGAGGAGGGUGGAGGGUCUAGGAAUGUGCUUGCUUCGUUGAAUGCUUCUAUUAAACAUGUCGUUGUGAGACAAAAUCAACAAUGUCAAGAGCUAAAAGAAGGGCAAGAAGUAGCAUUAACCAUAAUUUUAAUGUAAGAAGUUGAAGUAUAAGUAGGCACAGCCAGAGAACAUAAGUGAGUCUAGCAGGUUGAUAAUGGCUGCCAUGAGAUCAGGCUGAAGAUAUUUAGGGGAGCCUCUUUCCAGAUAUGCAAAGUUUGCUAGAGCUACUCAUUUUAAUCAAGUUAGAACAGUUAUAUUGCCUAGUUUUAUUCCAUUUUUUUGACCUAAUUACCAAAGAAUUUGGUGGCACUGCAGUAGCAGCAAUAGAAGUAUUUGUGGCAUUUUUUAGCGGCAUUCUGUUGGCUUAUUUGUUGGUGAUCUCCAACUAAUGUAGACCAUGUUAUAACAGGUGAAAUCUAAUGGUUCUUUGGCUGGCUUCUCAUUGGAGGGUUAUUUCAAAUAUCUUAUUACGCAUGAGUUACAUCUGGAAACUAGUGAUGAAGCUCACAAAUGAAAAAAAAAACUAAUAAUGAAUAUCUACCAUCCUUGUUAAACAGUAUUUUUCAGAUUUUCACUACUAAUGUACUACUAUUAAUUUUCACAUUAAUGCACCAAAAAAAAAUUGCUUUUCACAUAUUCUGAGGUAUUGUUGUUCAUUCUAUCCAAGGGGGGUUUGAAAAACUAUUGGUUGAAAUCUACCCUCCUUUUUGCUGUGCUGUUCAGAUUUUGCCACUUAUCAGAUAGUGCUAUCGUGUGAAAGCUUCUAAUAUGGCAGCUUAUGUGCUACAUCCAGUAUAUAUGAUGCCCUUUUGUCAUUUCCUCGCAGUUGAAACUUGAAGGCUAGACACAUAUGGUCAUUGAUUAAUAAACCCAGUGAAAAACAACCUUUGUGAUUCUCUAUACAACCAUAGAGUCUAGUAGCUGGACAGUGAUUUUGGUUGAUCUCCAUUGGCAGAUCUCAAUUGUAGCAAUUUUAGAAUCUUUAGAUAGGUUCGUCUAAACAACAAAACUUCCAAUAUUCGUUGUAUUUGUGCAUAUCGUCCCAUAUCAUGCAUGUUGUACUGUUACCAAACUGAUAUUCGGUAUGGGGGGCAUAGAGUGUUGGUAUGUUGAAUUGACUUGUACCAAUAUUAUACCAACAUAGUAUUGGCACGAGUACCGAAACCGGUAUUGCACACCAUGAAAUCUUUAGAUAGAUAUAAAUGAUAGUUGAGGCAUGGAUACAAAGGUGAAAUAAUUGGUUUCUUACAAUUGAUGAUAUUAGGAAAUAUUUAGAUUACAUAAUGAUAUUGUAGUGAUGGGAGGCUAAUGAUUGAUGAUGCAGUCAGGGAACUGAAUAAGAGAUUUGAAUUGUAGAUCAAGUGGUUAAUGCAAAAAUUAAUAUCAAUAUCUAGAUGUAUUAUGCUGGAUAUUAUUCAUAUAUGCCUUUUUCCAAAAAAUGCAUAGCACAAAUAGCUUGCACAUCUAAGAAGACCUAUGCACUUGCUGGGCCGGGCCAUGUUCGCUAUGAGCUAAGAAAUGAUCAAGGCAAGGCCUGUUGGUUUGAACUUGGCCCAGCCUCAUCUUGACCCUAUUUUUUACAGCUCAGGCUUGACUCAGCUAUGAAUUGUUGGGCCCAAGCCCAUUCUUGGCCUGAUCUAUGACAGCCUUAACCUUUGUAGACUCUUAAGAGGGAAAUGGGGCAUAGUCUAGGGGAAUCUCUGUUAUUGGAAACGUGGGACAUGUCAGCCAUUGAUGGGAGAGGGUGACGGAGGAAGGAUGGUGUGAACAAGGGUAGACUAAGAGAGGAAGAGAUAUGGGUGAGUGGUUGGAGGUUGAUGAGAGAGGGAGGAAGUGGAAUGGGGUGGACAGACAGACUUGCUCAAGAUCAUGGGGCUGCAUGGUGGUUUGGUAUCUAGUGUUGUGUGAGAGGAUGCUGGCAUUCCGAGAAAGGAGGGAGCAGGUGUAGGUGAUGGGGGAUCGGAAACAACUAGAUCUAGGACUCAGAGAUUGGGGAAAUAAGAUAAGACAUAUAAUAUUGGUUCUUUAUAUUAUAAUAUAGAUGUGUUUUUUAAAAUAUUCUUUAUGACUGGCCAAGCUGGGUCAAGGUACUUCUGUGUUAGCUUGGGCUCAGCCCAGUCUUCAUUGGGCCUAGAAAUUUAGGCCUGGUCCAGCUCAUUGGGCCAGAAUUAAUGUCGAUAUUUGCUCAAAAUCAGGAUGGUUUUGCUAAGGAGUACUUAUGAGUUAGCAAACAUGUCCAGAAAUUGAGCUGAUAUAGAUUAGCACAUUAUGCAAGGUUUGUCACAUCUAUCAUUGUAGUUGGGUUCUGUCAAAUUUGUCAAAUUAGCCUUAACCCUGAUUCACAUAAAGAACAUUGUUAGUCUUGUUUCAUCUACCAAUUUUAUUACAACUCAUGAUAAAUGAAUAAAAAAAAGUAGUAUUAUAAAUACCCUUGGUAUGCUUCAACUAUGCAAUUCUAUUGAUAUUAGGAGGCAAAUCUUUUAUCCUCCAAAUAUCUUUGAGUUUCUGUGGAAACAACUGCUCGCCGAAUGGCAUUCUGUUUGGAUUGUCAUUUGUUUUCAUGGACUCAUGCUUCUGGGUGCAAAAGUCUUAUUACAAACUGUAAUCUAGUCCUUUUUUCGGUAUGCAUGCAUGCAUUCUUCAUAUAACCAAAUCUUGUUGUCUUGUAUCCUAGCCACUGGAUAUAUAUAAUAGCAUGAUUGAGGAUUUCAUGUCUCUUAAUUAGGGUCCAGAUUUUGUUUCUAAAGCUGUUGAUUUGGCAGUCAGAGAGCUUCUUGCAGUUGCAACUCCUGGACAAGGUUUGCUGUUUCUCUGUUUCUUGUCAGACUAUUCUUCAAUUGGAUUCAGAUUUUGUAAGUUCUUUGUUUCUUUCUCUUUUUUUCACAGUUGAUCAGGUACAACUAGAUCGUGCUAAAGAUUCAACCAAGUCUGCAGUUCUAAUGAAUCUGGAAUCACGAGUAUGUUUAUUUUAGUAAUUUUUAAACUUGCAAAGGUAUUUCAAUUUUUGUCGUCUGGUCAGUUUUUAAGUGCUUAUUGCUUUUCUUUUGCAGGUACUAACAUCCAAAGAUAUAGGACAGCAAAUUUUGACAUAUGGAGAAAGGUACACCAUGGCUUCUCUUUGUGCAGUAUCUUUAGCAUGUUAAUCUGAUACAUGGUCUAGUUUUUCUUUUCUCUUUUGGGAAAAUGGGUUAGGGAGACCUAACCCCAUUAGUGAAGUACACAUCUGAUGGUUGUUUCUUGUCACUGUUCAUUAACCUACUGCAGAUUCUAAGGAUACAAUUACAAAAGUUUGUAGAAAAGAAUAUUAAUAAAGGAGAAAGUUGAGAAUCAUAGGAGGACAGAGUAAAAUAAUUGGCUAAAGUGCUUUUUAAAGAUAUGAGAUAACAGAUUCUGUUAUCAAAAAAUGGUGAUAAGCUUUUCUCUGAAAGUCUCCAGAUUGCUUCAUCCUUCAAAAGUUAGUUCAUAGUAUGCUAAGCUAACAAACCCUGAAGCCCUACAAGAUAUCUUGGCCUAAACCUAAUACCUGUCCAAGUAUUAUAAUGUAAAAGCAAUAUGGCAGGUAUUUGGUGCAACAAAACCAACACUAAUCAAAAUACUCUCUCAUGUUCAGUAGAACUGCUCUAUGCAUAAAUCCUCCGCUAAUGUAUUUAUGAUAAAGUUAGCAAAAUUGAUUAUUUAAUAUGAAAAAUAUUAGAGUAAUGCUGAUGUUGUUUUCGAAUUUAAAUUUUGUAUUUUAUUUUCUUGCUACACUGUGGGAGAAACAUAUAGAAGGCGCAAAAGAAUAGUUCUUCAUUUAUUUAGAUCAAGAUUUAUUAUGAUCUUGAAGGACCCAUGCCCAUAUUACCUGUGGAAUAUGAGUAUAUGACCUAAGAAAAAGUUGAAAAUUGGAAACCAGCUGACCAAGUUUGAGCAUAUCAAUCCUGUCAAUGUAUCCAAUCUUUGUUUGGUGGGAAUCGAGCAGGGUUUUGUCUUUAACCCUCUUUUUAUCCCAUACUUGGAGGUGAAGCAGCUGUAUAGCUGUCUACACAUAUCUAUGCUACAAUUGAUCAUUUGCAACUUAAAUUCAAGUUGAAACUUGAAUCAUAACUGUUGCUUCUGACAUGUUGAGCACUAUUCCAAACUGUGUAAGAAUGAUUUAUGCAUCUUGGUGCUUUACAACAACUUUGGCAAAUGGAAGCCUAUUAGUAAUUGAAAUUCAUAGUUCUGGAAUUUAAAAUGGUGCGUACAAAAGGCCAGUUAGAUUGUGAGAAUUUACAAUCGGUAGCUCCUGACUGGUUCUUACUUUUGGCUCUACUAGUUUGUGAAUUGAAUGCACUCGGUUUAUCAAAUCAUUGUUGCAGGAAACCUACCGAGCAUUUUCUGAAAUCCAUUGAUGAAGUUACGCUAAAAGAUAUAAGUUGCCUUGCUGAAAAGAUUCUCUCUUCCCCACUUACAAUGGCAUCUUGGGGGGAUGGUGAGUCUGAUGUUGGAUUUCAAAGUAGUAAUGCCUUCAAAAUCUUUAUUUGCCUAUUUGGUUGUAAUUAACACUUGGAACAUCUCUUUGCACAGUUGUCCGGGUCCCCAGCUAUGACUCCGUCAGCCGAAAGUUUCAUACAAAAUGAGUUUCUUCAUGCCUGAUGGUUCAAAAUAUCUUUUCUGGCAAACCUCGUUAUUCAUAUGCGCUGCUUCCCAGUCAUGGAUAUAGCUGCAGAAAAUAAGAAAUCAACGUGUUUGAAAGAAAAAUCGUUUUGGUUCAGUAAUCUGGUGACCCAUCACAGCUGGAAGACGUAUUUUCUUUAUUUUACAUUGGAAGUUCAAUUUGGUUCGCUAUUCGGUGUGCAUCUUCUAUGCCUUGUGCCAUUUCACUCUUUUCCCCCGUUUCGAGGCUCCGUUAGACAUGGAAAGGACUAUAGGUCUUUCGUUCACUCAAAUCCAUCAGCCCAGUUACAGAGCCUCGUUGCAGACUGAAUGUGAAUUGAUGCGGCACAAAGCCACCUGUUUGGAUGUAAGAUUAGCUCAUAAGCAGCAUUGCCUGAAACUGAAAUUUUUUUAGCCUAAGGUAGGAUUGGUUGUGGUAAUAUUUCCCUCUAUAAGCUCACAAACUAAAAUAAAAGUUCUUUUGGAAGGAUUAAGAUGACAAUUUCUUGGGUCCAUGUACUGUAAUUAAAUCAUAUCAAUUUGCCUCGUGAAAGUUCAGAGGUUUUUGUGCAAUUAAACAUUGCCAGCAUGGUUAACAUAUGCACAGAUCAAAUGGAAUUUAAUUAAAGCAGCGCAGAUGAGUUGGCAUACAUUAGGUGUGAGGGCCUGGUCCACUUACUGGCCUGUCCUUGAAUUGGGCCUAUGGCUGCUCCUAAGAGGCCAGCCCAGCCCUUCAUGUGCCCCGCGCGUGAUGAAUCGGGAAAGGACUCCGGCUGGGAGUCUUCUUCCUUUCCGAUCGCGAUUGCGAUCUAAAUAACUAAGUUCCAAGCCUAAUUAAACACCAAAAGCUCGGAUCUUUGUCUGUUUAAGAUUCUCCAUCCUUCCCCUUUGAGAUCCAUGAAAGAAUAGGGGUUGUUUGCUCUUGAUCUCAAGCUUUCUUCUUGAGAAUUUUCCUCUGUUUUCCUUCGGAAAAGGUCGUCGGAGAGCCUUGCCAGACCUAGGUACGAGCUCUCCAUCUUCUCUUCUUCGUUCUUUUGUGUUUUAGGCUCUUGUUCUCUUGGAUUUGAGCCGGUAAUCGCCAGGUUGCCCUUAGGUAGGGCAGUCGGGUCAUUGCGGCUGCCACAAGUUAUCGACAAGGGAAAAAGAAAGAAGAGGGAGACAGAAAGAAGGAUUCUUCCUCUUUCUUUAUUUUCUCUCUUCUCUCUCCUCUUUUUACUUUCUCUCUAAAAGAUCUAAAAAACCCAGAAUAAAGUCCUGUCGAUCUAACCAACGAACCCGAGCUGAUCUCUGAAAAGAGAUCCCAAAACGCCCUGGUGCCCGGGUCGCCUAAUGGAUCAAUCAUUCGGUCUUGUCAAAUGUCCACGGAAUCCACUGAUGAUAAAUUAUAUUAAUCGAACUUGGCCCUGAUCGAGUCCAUGCCCUAUGAUUUAUUGAUCGAACCGCUCAGGCCUGACCCAUCCGAAAUCGUCGAACGCUAUCAUUUAGCCAAUCAUCCCUAUUUUUUAUUAUUUUAAUUUGAUUAAAUAUUGUCAAACAAAUUAAUUUUGCUUUUAAUAUUUUUAUAAAGUUAACUGAAUUGCCUAGUGAAGUUUGAUGGCCUAAGACGAAAUAGGUAAGUAAAUCAUUCGCCCAUUAUUUUUUAGAUAAUCAUAUUUUUCGUGAAUAAAAUUUGCUUGUAGAAAUAUUAUAUUUUUUUAAAAUUAUGGAUCAGUAUAUGUGUUAUGAAAAUCAUGCUUUAUUAUAAAAAAAUAGUUCAUGAAUGCUUUGCUGAAAAUAGCUUUGUUAUGACAUAUGAAUCUAAUCGUGCCAUUUAGUGUUUUUCAUCUAUUUAUAUGUAUAUUUUAUGAAAAAGAUAUGAGCUUUUUAAAGGCUUUCAUAGCUAUGUAUGAUUCCUACAAAUGAAAAAAUCGAUACUCAAAACUAGCAUCCAUACAACAUUGGCCUCGCCAACGGGUAUAAAAUUGGCAUAUGAAAUAUGAAUCUAUGCCAAUUAUGAAUAUGGGCCCCGUCAUGAGUAUAAAGUGACAGUAGCGCAAAUAUCUAUGAGCAAUGUUUGAACUAUAAUAUGGCUAAAUGACAGAAGAACGAUUUAUAUAUUUAUUAGCAAAAUAAACUUGGAGCCAUGUUUAUGAAAUAUGAAUGAUUUAUGCACGCAUUAUUUAUUUUAUGACUUGUUUUAAUAUACUAUACUAUGAAAUACUUAUUUUGGAAUACAUGUUAUUUUUUUUAAAUGAUGCAUCGACAUGAAAAAACUUAUGCUUAAUCCAAUAAAAUAGUUAAAUGUUUAUUUACUGAGCUGUCGUUCAUAUACCUCUAUUUUUUUCUCUCUCUAAACAAAUAGAAUUGAUAGAAACGAAGAAUGAUCCAGGCUUGGAGUUCGCGCUAGCAAGCUUGGUGAUCUAUAUAGCAGAGCAUAAUCUUAAUUCUUUUGUUGAUUAUGAAUUUGUAGCUAAUGAUUUGCUAAAUAUUGAAAAUUAUGAGUUUAAUAUUAUAUUUGAAUUUAGAUGCUCUGAGCUAGUAUUGGCUCCAUUUAUUAGAUAAUAAAAUUAAAUUUAUAUUUAUUCUAUUUUGUUUGAGAUGAAUUUGAAAGCUAAAUAAAAGGUUUGACUUCGUGUUAUUAUGGGUUGUAUCCUUCGCUAACACGGCCAUAUCAUGCUCUGGAUAUAGGGCGUGACAUGAGGUGAAUAGAAAAAGGCAUACAACAUCAAAGCUCUUAAUUUACGAAUCAAAGUUUGAUCACCUGAAGUUUCAUUUCCCAACUAGACCACAAUUCAAGGUUUUCAUCUUUAUUACAAAUAAAUAGUUUUGAGUGUCACCACCCAAAAGAAACGGUGAAUAAAAGAAUUCAAUCCUGGAAGGCCAAAACACCAUGAAUAUAUGCUAGCAGCCAAAUGCAAUCGAUGUAUAGGAAGGGAAGGGUGACAAACCUAAUCUCCUAUGAACACAAAUUACAAUGGUACAAUGCCGCCCGAAAACUGGGAACUUGAUGGCUAAUGGAAGGCUGAUCAACAUUUCACCUGUCAAGCUCUUUGACCGAAGUCACCUCCCUGUCUGAAGAUGGUGAGAGAAGAUGUUUGUCUUGGUCCGCAUCAUCACUUUCUAUAAGGUCAUGUGUGGUUGUUGUAAUGAAUGAAAAUGAUUCGGAGACAUCUUCUAGAUAGAUAGAAAACAAAGAGUCAAGGUAAUGAACAUAUGCAUCAAAUCUCACUCUCUUUUCUAGCGGCAUUAGGGGGAAAAAGUAGUAAGCCCAUGAUUUUUCUUUAAAAUAAAAUUUCAAUAUCAUAAUAAAUUGAUAAUAAAAGAGAUUAAAGUUGAUCACCAAUGUUCGAAUAAAUUAAGCCAUUAUUGAAGAGUAAAUUACUUAACUAACCUGAGAAGCCAUGGUACUCCGAGAUCUGUUUAGCAGCUGGUAGUCUGAGGCUUUCAGGUAAAAGACAAUUGCAAACAGUACCUGAAACCAGAUGAGAUCAUUAACCUGCAAUUCUCUUAAGGUAUAUACAUGUUACUACUCAAAUUUAAAGGGCAGAGUCAAAUCAGACAAUGAAAUUCAGCAAAUCCACUUUCAUCAUUCACUAGUCACGUGACAAAUGUUUUAUAUAUAAUAGCUAUAGAGGAGGGAUGAGGGUGAGCCACGGGUAACAUAAGGUUGCUCCAUUGUGACCGGAAGGUCAUAGGUUUGACCCUUUUUGGAAUCUGCAAUGGCAGGAGCCUCAUGUACUAGAUUGCUCUUUUUUUUAUAAUUAUAGAGGGAUAUGGCCAAAUUCACCAUUUUGAGAGCUACACCAAAUUUUGCGACACCAAUAUUGUAGUGCUGAUAGGCCCUCCUAAUUUUUCAGCAAGAGACAGAGGCUUAAAAAACCAUCUAUUGUCAAAUUUGUACUCUGCCUUUAGCAAUAUUCAGGAAAAGCUGACUCAAUACUUUUGUAACAUUUCAGAAACUAAUAUUUGGCUUGAGAUAAAUCAUCAGAUAAGAUUAAUAUAAUGAUGAAAAAUAGACUUUGUUUGUCUGCAAUAACACCUGCAUUGUCACAUGUUUGCAGGAAAACCUUGGUUAAACACAAGAAAAUUAAAUAAAACCCUUUUUCAAUUAGUUUUGACACCAAGUUACACGGAAUUUGACACUGAGCCAUGGUCAGUCUUAUUAUGGUCGUAGAAGGACAGUUCUACCACAGCCACUUCCAAUUAGUUCUAAAACAUGGUUAACCAGAAUUUGACACUGAGCCAUCCUCAAACUUAAUGUGGGUGUAAAAGGCAGUUUCGCCACAGCCAUCAGUUAGCAAACAUUUUUUUUUUAAUUUGCACAUAUGCCUUAUAUUUUCACAUAAAUGCAUAUAGGGGAUAAGGUUACAGAACUAAAAUGAAUAUUAAGCCACAUAAGUGAGGGCAAGGACACAAGGGUAAAAUUGUCAUUUUGAACUCAUAAUGGGUUUAACCAUGACCCACAGUCAAAUUUCAUGUAACAUGGAGAUGGAGUGACAUAAGAUUUAGUUUGAAUUGUCACAGACUUUCUUGUGUGGUCUUAUAAAUAUGGAUAACAAAGGGCACUUCCGAAACAAUAAAUGCAAAAUGUUUUCCGCAACUGCUUGAUAACAAAUUGUUGGUGUAACUUGAUAAACAACUACGAAAUGCAAAUCAUAUUCCAUUCAUCAAGGCUAUAACCCCCUCAAAACUCAUGUGGCUCAUACACAAUUCGUUGAGGAAGCAGAUGCACUAGAUGGUCUAGGAACUGGUGAUCAUCUCCAGUCUCCACUAUUUGGAGCCCAAAGAAAAGAUAUGUUUAAAAGAGGGUACAAACAAUUAAGACCCAGAUUUUACUCAGGUGGCAAUUCUGGAUGUUCUCCAUUAACUGUCUAAAGAGUGGGGGGUUUCACAUGCAUUGAUAGUUUUCUUGAUGUGAAUAACUGGAAGAAAGCAUAAGCCAUAUUUUACUUCCUUGCUCUAGACCAUCUGGAGAUAUAUGCCCUACUUGGUUAAAAUUUAUAAAAAUAACAUGAGAAAGGAAAAAGGGUGCAGUGUAUUUUAUUAUCAGUCUAUUUCACUUAUAGAAAACUCUACCAGAAUAGUAUAAUGUGGUUGUACAUAGACUAUAGUAGCAUAUUCGCCACAUGCAUACUGAAAACCAUGCAUGUUUAUUUAAUUUUCUUUUGUGAUCAUUCUAAUCUACAUCUGUGCAUGAAUUUUAUUACACAUAAUUUGUACACAGCAUUUAUAGAUACAUCUUUUGGUAUGAUUUAGUAAUCAUAAAGGGCGAUUUCUUUGUGCUUUUGUAUAAGGAAGAAAAGAAAUACUACUAAAGUCGCUACAUGAAUUCAUUUAUAUCUUCUUGCUAUCUUGUCCGUUUUGGAAGAGACCUCGUCAAGUUUAUGUUGAUCUUUGUAUGCUAAAUUGUAUAAAGAUUUUUUAAAGUAGACAAACAAAAGGUUCUGGUCCCUAUUUAUAAACUAGGAUUGGUAACUGAAUAGUGGCUAACUACAAUCCUCUUAAGAACUAUAUAGAUAUUCCAUAUUCUCACAUGCUGGCUCAUGGCCUGUUAUUAAAGAAUGAAAACAACAAUCAAAGUAUGAUAAAAAAAUAUCUUUUGACUAGAAAUUCUUUAUGUUUGUUCAAAUAGAAAGCAUUGCUUUAUGUACUAUUUGUUUUUUGUGCAAUUUGUCAAAGAGCCAGUCAUCUCACAAUGAGUUCCUUCUCAAAGCAAUGAAUGUCAGCACAAGAAGGUGUAACUCUUCUAAAAAUUAAAUAUUGUAAAACAUAUAAGGAAUAGGUUACAGAAAUGAAAAAAAGGCCAUACUGAUAUUUAAAAAAGAAAAAAUUACCUAGUCGGGCAAGCCGGUUAACCCAACCAGGGAUUGGUCUUCCUGUCAACCUCAAGCUAACAUCAUCUGUAAAGUGAUUGCAGUUUUUGGAAAUGAGGUGAUAGGUGUCACCAUGGUAAUCUGCAGCCAUGUUUUCUAUGAAUGCCCGAAAUUCAGAGGGAGGCAUAUUUACAUGACCCAAUGAAAUAGAACAUUUAUAGCUGAAUCCAGGACAGUUUUUUGGCUCCACCUCAAACACACCACUUGCUGGAUAGUCAUGGGCUCCAAAUCCAUACUCUAAACCAUGAACUGUUUCACCCCCCCCAACCAAAGAAAAAAAAAGGAAACAAAUAGUGAACAUCAUAUGGAGUGUGCUACAGUAAAAAAAGGAAACUUGGAUGCUAGAUAACCACCAUCAAUCAUGUAAACAUAUAUGUAAAAAAAAAAAUAAUAAUAACAUAUGUUACUGUGAAAAGAGAUCAAACAUAUGGAUGUUUAGAACUCAAUGCAAAUAAUUCUACGCUCACAGUUUGGGAACUACUUACCUAGCAUCCAGGUACAAGACCCUUUUAGAAUAGAAGCAAAACAGCAGAAGAUGCUACUCUAUGAAUAUGGACCCCAGAUACACAGAUAGACUUUUCCAAGUAUUACAGAGGCAUUUUUCUUAUAACCAAUUAAUAGCAAAUAAAAUCACUUGGCAGGUCUGCUCCCACCAAAAAAAUGGUUGUCUAAAACAUACAUGAACAACAAACCACUUGUAGCACCUACACAAUUAGCAUAGACUUUUAAAUUUCAGCUCACAGUUUAGGUCUUUGAUCAAGUUAUAUUGAGAUCAUACACUUUUGAUGCUCUUAGCAUCAAAGUGCAUACCAAGUACAUGUGAAACAUCCCACUAUUUAAUUUUUCUUAAGGGUACAGUGACCAAGCUGAAUAUUAGCGUAUCAUGGUAAAUCACUGAAAAGGGCUUCUUCUGUGAGUGUAGUAUUUCGCAAAGAUCUGAAGUGUUUCAGAGUCUUGCUUAAAAGUCUCCCAAGUUCUUUUCUUUUUAGUUCCUUAUAUAGAGUUGGAAUGAGCAAGUUUGCAUAUAUUUACACCUAUUUAAAGUUUAAACUUUAAACUGUUCUUUUGUUCAAGCAAAAGGCAAAUGGGAUUGCUAGGACUCAUCUCCUUGAUGAGUUUAGGUUGCUCCUGGAAAGACUGGUAUGGAGAUUGUAAAUCACCUUGCCUUAUACUUCAAGGAUUUUGAAGUGCUCUAAGGCCAUGUAGUUAAUUUCAAAACCUAGAAAGCUUUUUUUAUGCUACAAAACCAUGGUUAAAUAUGGUUCAAUCUUAUCAUAAAAAAGAAACUUGAGAAAUUUCUUACCCCCAUCUAAAGCAAAAGACCAUAUAGGCAAACAAUACCCCGCCUUCCCCUGCUAAAAAAAGAAAAAGAAAUGACAGAAAACCACUCCAUUUAUUUUAUUUUUAUUUUUCUUUUUUGGUUGCAUUCUUAUAACAUAGAGAAACACAUUUUAAGAACAUCUGAACGAAAAAUAACUUGAUUGACACAUUCAGAGAAGAGUAAUCCCAUUAAAAAACGACAUGAUUUAUACAUAACCCACAUUAUACUAUACAGUCAACUUUUUCUUUUUCUGUUUUAAGUUUUUCUACCAGUCAACAUCAAGUGAUCUUCAACAAAAAAAAAAGGAAUAACAACAACACUUUCUUCACAUAAUAAUGUAAUUACCAAUUCCACAUAAUGCCCUUAGAACUCAAUAAAUUUAUAAAAGAGAAACUACAAAACAAAUCCUAUACCUAAAAACACAACAGCUAAAUAGAUAAUCCUUUUUCAUAUAAUCCAACUCAGACAUAAAAAUUUGACAGAGUUCAUACAAAACUUCAAUACCUAUUACUUAAAUCAGCUAAAAUCCUAUAUUCCAAAAAAUAAUCAGUCUAACUUGUACUCUUCCAUAUUGAAUGCUCACCAGAUUUAUCAAGAAACGAAAGAUACCCAGUGACCAGGAGAAAAAUGUCAACCAAGAUAAAAUUUUAUCUCACCAAAAAAAAAGAGAACCAAUUUAUUUUUUGGGAAAAGGCAAAAUCCUUCUUUUCUCAUAUAAAAAGAGCAAAAUUCGAAGGUUAAUAUCAAACCAGUCCAUCUAAUUGGUGCUAGUCGAAGGUUAAAGGUUCGCCAAAUUGACUAGGAAAGCAUGGGACCAAUUUCUUUCAUCUUUGUGUUGGCAAAUUUGGCAUGAAAGAAACUCCAGAAUCUUCCUCAAAAAGACCAGGCCAAGAAACCAUUUAGCCGAACCACCAAAAAUACCAAGAAAACCAAGAAUUAGGAAAAUCAAAGAAAAAGGAGAGAGAAUCGACGAUGGGACCAAUCGACUCACCUUCGAUCCCCGAGUGGAAGAUGCCCAGGCCAAACCAGUACAUGUAGUUGUUCAACGGCGUUAGAUCGUAGAUGUUCAGCACCACCGGAACCCCGCUCUCGUCCGAAGAAGUCGACCUCGAAGAGAAGACGCACCCCAUGGCUGCCCACCCCUAGAAGAGCCGAGAGAACCGGAACCAAAAAAAAAAAAAAUCCAGAAUCUGGAAGGGGACGGAGGAGAUAUUCCCCCCUCCGCCUCCGUCAGAGCUGGCUGGCUGCCCUAGGACCCCCUACCCAAUAAUCGAAAGGGAAAGGGGCCUCGCUGGUGCACGCUUAAGGGGAGCCCCUCCCGCCGCCAACACGACACGACAAAAGGGACAGCCAAGCAAUGGAAACACGUGGUGGAAUCUAAGUUCGGAAACGCAGGGGGCUUUUGCCGCGGUUCCUAACGGUUGAGAAGAUGGAGGCCGUCCGUUCGCUUGCUGCGAUUUCUCAUUCCAGGAGCCGUGAGAGUUACGCUGUUUGGGUAAGUCGACAUGUCCAUAUAUUUUGGAUAUAUUUGAAAAAUGAAAAGAACAAUUAGGAUCUUUCUUUUGAUAAUAAAAGAACUCGGACUGUUUCUUUUUCCGUUCCCUACAAGAAAGAAUGAGAGCCUCCCCUUUUCCUCCUCCUCUUUGGCGCGCAUCAGCGGCCGUCCGGCUGGACAUGGAGGGUUCCAGGUAUGCUGUUUGGGCUUUCUAAGAUUGGCAUAAUAAGCUAGGCCCAUGCCUAUUCAACAUACAACUCGCUGGGUUUACCAAUUCAAGCAUUACCACCGGAUUCAAAUUAUGACAUCAGAACUGGGAGAACUGAUAGACAGAUUAACCAACCAUCCUUCAUUCAUGAAAAUUUUUUUAGGUGUUCAUUUAACAACGAGGUGAAGAUAUUGUAAAUAUCUGCUUCAGUACAAACAAAAACUAUCUGAUCCGCACGCCUUUGUAAAUGCCCAUUCGCAAGCCUUAUAUCAAUAUGGUCACUGCUUAUGAAACGUUAACAAAUGUUGGUUAACAUCAACAGCAAUCUGGAGCAGCAAGAAGAUAAUUCCUUACAGGGCCCAAGCUAAUGAAAAGGAUGACAGGCAACUAAUAGAACAGUGCCCAGUUCAUGAUGCCAUUUGUCCGUCCCCCGCCCCCUUCUCUUUUUCGCCAAGUGUGUACAAUCAACCAUUUGUACCUUGGUUGGAAAACAGGGUAUGCUGCAAAACAUGUAGGGACUAUGUCCGGCACUUUUGACAGUCUAGGAUCUUCAGGGCACCUGGAUAUCCAUCAGCACCAAUUCACAGUUACUAAUUGGGCACAGGAAUGCAUUAUAUUAUACUGAAAACAAAUAAGAGAUGAAAUUUUUGGGAUAGGGCUACUGAUAAGGAUUCGCCGAAGAAGCCGAGAUUUGGUGACUGCGGUUGAUAUCCUCAUUGCAGAAUGAAAACUAACAUAAGGUCAUAUCAGAAAUAGGAGCAGCUUGACAUGCAAUAUACCAAAGUACCUUCAGUAUCCUAAAUUUAACUAUAUACACAAGGUAUUACUUAUACCUUUUGCUGGACUUCUACUUCAUUUUUUUUAUAAUUGCCACAAUUAAUUCUAUAUGUGCUGGAAUCUAAUUUAUGUGAUCAAAUUGUUAUUUGCAUGUUUCCAUCUUGUUAAUAGCAAAUUCUAGCACCUGAUAUUCAAGUUUAUUUACAGCUGAGCAACCUGUUUUGUUUGCGCUGAAACUAAAUUCUGCACACUUUGACCUUGACACCAGUUUGUUUCAAUUACCUUAUUCUCUGUGUACUUAUAUCAUGCAAAACAAAAAUGAACUAAAAUAGUCUAAAUCUAAACCUAUAUCUUGAGGUCUUCAACCUAUUACCCUUUGGUCUUUCAACCCAAGGAUGUGUUUGGUGUUGCUUCUACUUUCCCAAAGUCAUCCUACAAAACUUGAUUAAUUUAAAUUCUUAGUAUUUGAUCAAUUUAAGUUUUCACCCUAAAAAGUACUAAUUUUUCUGUAUAUUCAGAAUUAUAAAGUAAUCACAGAUUGUAAAAUUUUUCUUUUAAUGGAUGGUCAUACCAUAUUUGGAAAACAAGAAGCAAUUCUCAAAUGAUAUCACCAAACACAUAGAUGUCAUUUGGCAUCACUUUUAUUUUUCUUAUUUUCAGUAACAGAAAGAUAAAAAAUAUGUUCUAUUUUAUUUUUAAUUUUGUUGAAACAUAGACAUGUUUGGCAUUGUCGAUUAUUUUUAAAAGCAUAAGCAUGAUAAUAAUGGCCAAGGCAGUGAUGGUGGUAGUGGAAGCAGUGGAGGCCAUAAUGGUGAUACAAAAACUUACAAAAACUCAUGAGUUUCACAUUUAAUUUUUAGAAGUUAUCAAAUUUAUUUUUAGGUCUAAUCUGAUGAUUUUGAAAAUAUAUGUGGACUCAAGAAGAUGACUAGACCUAAGUUGAGAAGUCAAAUGGACAAGCUUUUGUAAGCAACUCCUGUUUGGCUUGAAAUUCAAUUUGAAAUGGCUCAUUCGACUGGUAAUUAUGUUGAACAUAUGCAAAGUUUUGAGAUAAGAAGUUAAAUGAACUGAACAUAAGCAAGGCCUAGCUACCUUGUGCUUGUCUUGAUAUAGCUCAAAAUACUGAAAUAUAAUAUAGAUAUAUUUAGAAAAAUAAUUUGUUCUAUUUUUACCCUUUGUAUUCUACAAUAGCAUAUAACAAAAAUGUCACACAAGUUAUAUGGCCAACAUAUAAUUACCCAAUUGCUUUCUCUUUCAAUAAUUUUUUGUGUGAGAUUUAUGCAGUGCCCUAGAGAAUUUCUAUGUGAAAAUAAAUUUUACGUAUAAUAGGUAAAAUAAACCUCAAUCCUUAGAUUGCAUCUAAUGGAUGCAAUUGUUUUCAGACAACUUAAAGGGUUAAAGGUACCAACUUGCUAGCCCUAACUCUUGCAACUCUUUGCUCUUUCGUAGCUUCCCUCACCUACAUCCUCCUCCUCAUGCUCUCACAUUAAACUGGUGGGCCUAGAUCCAAGAUCCAACUUCACCGCCUUCCCAAUGGCCAACUAAGAUGGCUACUUUGUUGCCUCUAUUACCUCCAACUUUCUUCUCAACUACCUAACGGCUCAACCUCCAACACUAAGACUGAUGUGGCGGAUCUUUCAAUUCCUCUGGCCAUUCUGUUGCCUCUUUCUUUCCCAAUAUCGAGUUUAAUCAAGCCAAGCUCAAGCCAGCUCAAGAUUAAUAAAGCUGAGCUUGAGCUGGAGCCAGCCAAGAGGGUUUUUGAGCAGAGCUGGCCUUGUCAUGCACAUGUUUGGCUUGUCCACACCCUUAGUAGCAAGAAUCUUCUGUUUUCAGUGGUGCACCCGCUCCCAAAUCUCCUCAAAAACUCAUCCUUGCACCUAGUUUCUAAGUGCUCUCUUAUACUGCUUCAGUGUACCUGCAAUGGAUCCGCUUCUAGUAACUAAGUCUACAACUCUAGACCUAAGGUUUUGUUUAGAAGUUCAGAUAUUAAUUAAAUCUAAUUCCUGUUUUGCAUGACUAACUUUAGAUGAGAGUCAUGAGACUAUAAAUUUGAAGGGCUUUCUGGUGACUUCUACUAGCAAAACUAAUAAUUGGCAAAUCAACCCGGGAACCGGCAUGUAAUAUAAUUAAUUGCAGCAAUAACAAACUGAACAUUUAAAGUUUUUAACUAAUCAAGCUAGAACAUAUAGAGAUCAAUUUCAGCAUAGAUACAACAAAGUUCCAGCAAGCAUUGAACUAGGUCCAAUAAAUAUGAAAUUCCUAUGAUGGUCUAAUUUAGUUUCAGCAAUACUUUGAUAUUAAUUUCAGCAAGGUUAAAUCCAGAUUUCAAGGUCUAAAUUCCGGCCAGAAAAUUCUAACAAAGGCUACUAUUGAUCCAACAAAACUCAGAUAUCAUUUCAACAAAUAAGAGCAGAUUUCAGGUUGCAAAAACGCUGCAAAUAAUUCCCAGCAAUAAGAGAGUAUAAUUCCACUAGAGAGAGAGACAGAGAGAGAGAGACAUGGUCAUUGCUUACGAAAAUAUCUCUUCAUUUUUUUCUUUAAAACCCAUGAAAACCUCCUUUUAAUUUGAAAGUAUAAUAUAGAAUAGCUCAAUAUACGAUUAUGCUGAAUCUAAAUUUCUAAUUUUCUAUCUAAUAAUUUAUUUUUUUAAAAUCAAUCAACUAAUGUUGUGGUUAUGUUUAAAUAUAUUUACUUAAUAAAAAACUGAAAAUACUAAAAUUAUUUACAAUAAAGUAUAUAUUUUUAUAUAUAUAUUUAAUUUAAAAAUAUUUAUUAACUAAUAUAAAUAUAUUUAAAUAUUUAAAUAUUAAAAUAUAAAUAUAUUUAUAAUUAAUUAUUCAUGUAAGGACCAUAAAUGGGACUAAACAAAAAAAAUUAUUAUUUAAAUUGUUUAUUCAAGAGUAUUGUUGGAAAUUUAGUAACAUUCCUAUAUAAGAUUACCUCCAACCAAAUAUAUUAGUCUUUUUCCAGUGCUAUUUUUCGGAGUAAUUUUUACACCAACCAAAUGCAGCAAAUUUUAUUUUUCCUGCAAUCAUUUUUUCAAAUAAAUAAUUUUUAGAAAUCAUCAAAUUACCUUAAUAUACCCUAACUAAAUGAACUCUCACUUAAUUUGGAAUUCGACGAAUCUAUUCUAGCCCUCGUAUUUUCUAGCAAGUUACUUAGCUUGGGUCAAUACCAGUCGGGUUAGGUUGAGCAUAAUUUGAUUUGAGUUAGAUUAUGUUGGUAAUAUAGAAAGUAUUGACAAAAAAUUAUCCACCAGCUGUGCAUCAUCCUCAAACUUGCCAUCCCAUCAAGAGUAGGCCUAAAGAAAGGGCCAAUAUAUAAAUAUCCUCUAAUAUAAAGGAUAUGAGGAAGAAAGGAUACAACUUGGAUAAAUAUGAGUAUCUUGCAACAAAAUGCUCAACUUUGAAGAGGUGAGGGAGUACAAGAAGGUUGGGGUUAGAGGUGAGGGAGUACAAGAAGAAGCUGGCCCGUCAACUUUGAAGAGUUGCUGGGGUUAGAGGUGAGGGAGUACAAGAAGAAGCUGGCCCGUCCAUAAUCCAUCUUGGGUGUAUGGGAGGAUGAGCUAGAAGGAGGCGGCAGUUCCAGGGAGGAGGAGAUGGUGGGGCAACCGGAGUAGAGAAAGUGUCUCCGAGAGGAGUAGAAAGAGAGGGAGCGAAAGACCAUACACAUAUGCUACUCUGGCUUUGAAACCAUUGUGUCUGCCCCUUGGGCUUGAGAAAACUAGUGUGUGCAUGUGUUUUAAGUGUUUUUUUGAACAUGUUUGGAUGAUAAGAUCGUACCUCUCGCCGUUAUGAAUGUGGUGUAAACAUUAAUUUAAUAAUUUACAUAAGAGAUGACGGUUAAUUGAAGUUUUUGUAAAUUAGUAAAACUUAAUUCACUAAUGUAAUUAAUUUGUUUUUCUGAAGAUAGAGGGCUAGUUCCAUAAAAGCCUACAACGAGUCUGAUUUUGUUGAUCCCAAUCUUGCUCCAUCUUGAACAGGAAAUGAAGGAAGCAAAAAAAAAAAACUCAAUGUUCAACGGCGGGAAGGGGCUCCUUAGCAUGCAAAAAGAAAAUAAGAAGGCCAUCCAAAACAUCAAGGUGAUAAAAUUGAGAGGCCCAAAGUUCUGGCUAAAUAAAUAAUAAAAAUUGUGCAUGGAUAUUGUGACGAGAAUGAGGUGGCUCUAAAGUCCAAACAAUCAGGAGCUACCUGGACAAUUCCCAAUAUUAACCGGUCAUGAUUUUUGAGGUUCAAUCUUCUUUAGCCUUCCGGUAGCUACAGUUCGGACUCAGGAUAAAAGGCCAUACCAUCUCUCUAGAACUUGUAUUUCUUCCGGUCUAUAGUGUACUAGGAUUAAACAGAACACCGUUAAAUCAGUAACCAUCUUAACUUGGAGCUGUUGAUUAAUCGGCCUUAUUAAGUUUGGGAUUUGACAGACUAAAUCUUUGUUCUUGUCGAAUAAGGAUUUCUAAUCCGAGUAGGACGCGGUGGAUAUGAGUUGAAUCGCUUCCCACAUCUCAUCGUCUUUUCUAUUCUAUAUAUGCAUGCACCCCCAACAGACUUUGCUCUCAGAGAGCACAACCAAUGGAGAUGUGGAGCUGGCUUUGUUUCUCGUUCCAUACGAUCAGCAACUGGUUUCAAGACAUCUCCGAGCCGAUUCGGGGGAAGAUCGUUAAAGCGGCCAUCGAUGCAGUGCGCGAGUCCCUCGAGAAAGUGACCAAGGAGAUGCAAAUUCUGUCGCUGGAUAAGAAGCCGAACACACCAGAAAAACUCAAGCGCCUGAAGGCGGAGGUGCACGUGGCGGAGCGGCUAGGUUUUGACAUGAAGGAAUACAAGGAGAGGCUUGCUCAACUCGAAUCCAUCUUGGAUAAGUGGAAGGAGAAGAUGGAUUGUCUGGCGAAGGUGCGCUACGGGAUGAUUCAUGCUUGCAUGGAGAUGGUAAGGCUCCAGGCCGAGGAGGAAAAGGAAAGGAACGCCCUGCAGGAGUGCGCCUCUGUCUUCCAGCACAUCGCGUCUGCCCCUUGGCAUCGGUAGGAUGAUCCAGUGAAGGAGGAAGAAGGCGGCAACAAGGUUGCACGAGGAGAUAUUUUAGAAAUAUCUUCUAGGUGAUGCAUCACCUGCUAAGCUACCUAGUUAUAGACUCAUAUAUAUAAUAUUAGUAUUAGUGUGAGAACUAUUAGUGUUAUGAUAGUGUCAAGAAACAGAUUUAGUGUUUUUUUUGGAAGUUGUAUUAGGGUUUCAUUUUCUAUUCUUGCUUUCCUUAUGAAAAAAACGAAAUUAAAUCUUCUUCCUUCCUGCUAGAUUCAUGAACCAAACUAUGUUGGCCAUGUUUCAUCCAACGAUAUGAAAAUCUCUCAAUUUUUCCUUCAAAAAAAGAUAAAAAAAUGAAAUAGGAUUUUUCUUGUUUUGCUGAAAGCUUAUUUUUUGCUUUUUUUGUUUUGUGGAAUAGUCUAUUCUUGUGGAGUGUUUGUUGCAUUUUUUGUUUUCCUAAAGCGUAUUUUUCCUAUCUAGGAUCGAAGAACUCUAGGGUUGAACAUAUUUUUGUCUAUAUAAAAGAAAAGGAAGGAAGAAAGAAGUGUCAUCUUCCCUUCCUCUCUAAAAAUAAAAGAGGUAUCUUAUUCUGAGAAUGAAGUAAUUCGAGGAAUAAGCAAGUAUUAGGCCAUAGUCUGCUUUCGAUUAUUAUGAAUGGUGUAUCAAGAAUCAAUUAAGAUGUAAACUUAGUCCAAAGGAGAUCUUUGGUACUUGUACAAGACCAAGGAACUCAAAUAAUAUCUUUCUGCAGAUCAUUUUAAUCUCACUCAAUGGUUUUAGACUAUUGGAUUUAUGUAUGCAAAUAUAGCAAAGCAUUACGGAUAUAGUCUACAAAGAUAAUGCAGAUAACAAAACAAGCAAAAAAAAUUCAGUGGGCCUGUAAGUCAAGGCACGUAACCACUGUGCUAAAACCAUUGAUGCCUCCCUUCGUGCAGGUGCCACUAGCUGUCCACAAUUCCGGUGCACAAUAACCCUUUGCUUCUCAGCCCUCUGCACAUUAUGCAUGCCAGCAGGGAGAAGAAGAGCCAAACUUUAUCCUACUGCGGGAGCUUGAUAAAGGAAGAAGUUAGGGAACAAAGAGAGUGAAGGAUUUUGACACUUUUCUGUGUUGAUGUCCCAAUCAUGGGACUCCUACAACCCAUGUUCAGAGAAACAUUAGGCAUCAAUAGCUAGGGAUUCUAUCUAUCCAAUCCCCUCUCCCCCACAAUGUACCUUAUAAAUAUCUCAAUGGGGCUCUCCAAAUGUUCCAAAAGCACAUUCAUCUGUUACAUAUGUGACCAAAAAAAUAGAAUAACAGAAACGUUUUGAAACUUCAGGGAAUUCUCGAAAACCAAAAUACCCAGGAAAUGUGAGAUAGAAAUACAGAUAUAUAAGAAACUUAGAUAGCCAAAUUGCAACAAUGCUAUCAUUACUAAACUGAGAUAGAAUGUUUUGAAACUUCAGGGAAUUCUCGAAAACCAAGAUACCCAGAAAAUCUGAGUAGAAAUACAAAUAUACAGGAAACUCAGAUAGCCAAAUUGCAAGAAUGCUAUCAUUACUAAACUGAAGACCAAUAAGCAAGAUUACUUUCCUCACUAGGAUAUGUAAAAUGCUAUUAUCUAAAGGGAAUCUAUCUAUCUAUCUAUCUAUCAAUCUACCUAUCUGCCUAUUCAUGGUAAGGUGUGACAAGAUAAUAGCUGUCGGACACAGUUUUUGACCACCUAUCAACAAGUGAUGCCACCAGAAAGCCCAUAUCGAUCAUAAGAAAAGCUCUUCGUAACUAAUAAUUAUCCAAAAACUACCUACCCUCGGACAACAAGGGGUGGCGGAUCAAUCAUAUAUACCAACAACCAUCUUAUGCAGAAGGGGAGAAACAAAAUGGACUUGAAUGCAGGGCCGGCCCGAGCCCUAGGCGACUGAGGUGGUCGCCUAAGGCCCCGGGCCAAUGGAAGGCCCCCGGGAGGCUGACCAAACGAAAGCAAAGGCCCCCUAUAAAACGGGAUCAGGAGCUGGCUACGAGUCUUCCCCCUUGAUGGAAGGGAGGUGGAGAGUUUCCUGGCCUGCAGAGGGGCAAUUUGGAAAGUUGGGGACUGUAGUUUUGUUUUGGGUGGGGGGAGAGAGAGAGAGAGGAGGGAGGGUAGUUUUGGGUUNNNNNNNNNNNNNGGGGUACGUGUAGUUUGUUUUGGUUGGGGGAGGAGAGAGAGAGAGAGGAGGGAUUUGGUUGGCUUGAUAGACGCCUGAAGCCACUCUUAUCUUUCAUCCCUUCUCUUUUUUGGUUUUCCUUCCCUCACAUUACUCCUGAUCCAGCUGGGCCAUCCGGAAGAAAGAUAGGGGGAUUGGAGAUGGACUUCUUGGAGGGUAGAGAUUCUUUUAGUUUUCUCCUCUCGGUUUCUUCUCCCCUCUUGGGUGGUAGAGAGAGAAAAGGAGGGAGGGGGUUGAAUGGCUGCUGUGCUGUGAUGUUGCAGUUGCUGCUUGGGUACUCACUUGAAGGGGAGAUGGUGGGAUGGGACUUUUAUUAAUUAGAUGGAGUGAAUUUCCCAUAAUGACCCUACUUUCUCUUAUAGAGAGGUUCCUUUAUGGACAAAUUCUUUUACCAUGAAGUGCCAUGGGAUGACCUUUUCCUAUUCGGCUCUUGCUUGACAUGGUAAACAGUAUUGCCAAGCAUUAUCUCAGUUAUUUAAUCAGUUCAUGCCCUUCAUUUAGAGUAAUUACUUUUAUGUGCUUCCAUUCAAGAAUUAUAUUAAAUUGAAAAGGCUUCUUGUCUAUCUUUUUUAGAUUCAUGUAUCUUUGUUGAAAUAGUGUACUUGAUAGCUAUCUAUUUUCAUAUAUUUUUUUAAAAUAUUUUAUAUUUAUUAAAAAAAAUAUUAUUAAAAAAAAGAGGCCUCGUUCAUUGGAUUCGCCUUAGGCCCCAAAAUGUAUUGAGUCGCCCCUGCUUGAAUGAUUGUGGAUUGGGGUAUUUCUUCAUCCUCGAGGGAAAAGAACCUUGCAACCAAAGUCUGAUUGUUUCUAUUGUCAUGCUUGCAUAUCUUGGAAGAAUAUAGUAGAAUUAAAUCAUCAAAAAAAUUAAAAGUUUAUAGCUAAAAGAGCCUUAUUUUUCAAAAUGCUCUGUUUGAACCUAAUGUUGAUGCAAAAAUGCAAUUUCUGUUGAAAUUGGAAGUGUAAAGACUACCUAUCAUUAAACAAAAAAUCUCAGCAAGAACAUGUCUCAAAAAUUAGACACAAGCAUGAUUCCCAGCCUUCACAAGUCAGAUACUUCGUAAAAUGUAAACCAAAACAUUUCUUUAUGCGAACACAAGGGACAUUAUCAGUCAAGAUUGCAAUCUUCCAGAAAAAAGAAUCCUGAAAUGGAUCUCUUACCGUCACAAAGUUGGACCAAGAUUUUUGGAGACACAAACUCUAGCAAGCGACCAAGAAUCUGAACCCAUAGUGUUGCCUGCUCAUUUAUAAAAAAGAAUUUCAAGAUAGUCUAAAAAACUAAUGAACAUAAUUCAUGACGCCAGUAAUACUGCAUGUCAAGAUAAUAACAAGAUAAGCUUUAUACAAGCGACUCAGGGUAAGACAUAAUAGCACUUCCACUACAUCCAUAACCCUGAUAUUUCAUCAUGACUCAGAAACUGUAAGCCCAAGUAAAGAAUACUUACAUCAUGGCUCGGGAAUCACAUGAAUCAUGUUACGCACAUCAAUUUCAUAAUUAAAUAGAAAAAUACAUAAUUAUAACCAUGAUAACGAUAGAAAAAAGCAGCAACAUCAGGCUAACCAUAUAAAAAUCAAGCAAAUCUGGAGCGUAAAUAUUACUUAAUUCGGAUGCCCGUAGGCUUCUUGACGAUAUUUCAAGAAGGAGGGGAUACAAAGGAAAAGGACGAAAGAAACAGAGAGAGAAAUGAGGAACCCUGAUUUAUGCAGCAGAUCGGUAAAGAAAAGAGUUAACAGAACCCUAAACUAUGCAGCGAAUGGAAAAAAGAUUCAAGAGAAGGCAAGAGAAGGCGAUACCAAUCAGAGGGGAAGAAAUCGGGAAAGAAGAUGUCAAAGCGUCGUGGAGACGAGCGGUCAAAUAGAAGCGCUUGGAUUCACCGCCAUGAACGGGUACCACAAACAGAGAGAUCAGUGUGAGCAGAACACCACGCUCUUUUUAGGACCUUAUUAUCUCCUUCCGCCGCCAUCGCCCGCCACCGGCAACGGACUGGGCACGCGAACGAGGGGGCGGCUCGUGGAGGGAUGGGGCCGGGGUGGAGUGGGACAGAAGGAGGAGGAACGGAGGCGCUCGAGGAGCCCGGAGGUCGCCAUGGACUCGAAUCAAGAAGGAAUGGAUGAGAGGCACUCUCAUAAUCCAAUCGGCCGGUUUAUUCCCUGCCCAGGUGUAUCGCACCCCUCCGCGUCAAUCGCACGCGAGUAACCGUACCACGCACGAGGGACGUUGG